AAGCACUGCCUGAGAUAGAUUAUAAUUGGGAUUCAUCACAGAAACAGAAACUAUCUUUGGGUGGCACAGAAGCCGCACCUCUGUCAGAACUGAACAUAUCUGGCUGCAACUUUUUCUUCGUAUCAAGCCAGUCACAGCUAACACCUGGGGUCUGGAAAUGGUUUGAACAUCUUGUAUAUUUCACAAUUGAAAACUGUGAUGUGCUCAUCUACUGGCCAGAAGAAGUGUUCCAAAGCUUGGUAUCUUUGAAGGAGUUGUGGAUUCAGUCCUGCAACAAGCUAAUAGGGCCCACACAAGCGAAAGGUGUCGAACCUACACAAACGACAGAUCAACUCCUACCACAUCUAAACAUGAUACGUAUAUACUGUUGUGAAAGCAUGGCACAGCUCUUCAUUCUUCCCCCAUCUAUCAGACUUAUUCAUAUUGAGGAAUGCCCUAAGCUUGAGUUCAUAUGGGGAAAGGAGGAGCAUAUUGACACAUAUACAUCGCUGGAACAUUGCCGCGACCCUGCAUCCACCACUGGUAACCUAGAGCAAUCGCCGUCUCCAAUUAUUCGCCGUCCAUGCCUUGUAGAUCUAUCUAUAAGCAGUUGUGAUAGCCUGUUAACACUUCCAAAUCUACCACCGUCCCUCAAAUAUUUACACAUCUGGAGCUGUGAGAAGCUCUGCUCUGUGUCAGGAGACCUGUGUGCACUCGAGGAGCUACAUAUUUUUGACUGCAAUAAGUUACAGUCAGUCAAUUCCUUGGGAGACCACCCAUCAUUAGAAACACUGUAUCUUAAUCGCUGCCGAUGCCUUGCAUCUUUAGGAUGUGAUGGUGGUCGUGGAAGUUACUCUGCUCUUCAGAGCCAUAAGAUCGAAGACUGCCCAGCCAUAGACAUGAAGCAGUUUUACUAACGCCAUCAAACAGCUGCUUGACAGCUUUGAAUAUGAAGACGUAUCACACGUUCAUUCAAGCAGCUCUGAUGAAGGUACGACCUUUCACUUUCCUCUUAUUCAAUUUGUUUCCUUCAAAUUUCCCUGCUUUGCAUGCCCUCCUAUUUUGUUGACUAACUGGUGUAACCCCACAUAUUGGUGUUGAGAUCAGUUGAUGCGGAAUCACUGAAGUACUACUGAAACGAGAUCCUGAUCGGUCUCAGUUUUGGAGAGCAAUUUGUGGUGAACGGAGGCAGUCCAAGGCUUCAAGAACUCAUGGAGUCGUGCUGUACCAUUCUGCACUGCCAGGGCCAAAACAACACAAUUCCUUUAUAUAAGUUGGGUAAGUAAAAAACCAUGCCUUCGUCUGUGUUAAUCAAAUCUCAUUUAGCACAUAUAUGGGGACGUGUUGUUAACUUGUUACCCCAUGCUUUUCAUUUUUUCUGUGCAGACAUGACCCAUUUGUCCUUAAAAAGCAUAAAGGAGGGCACUCACAUGUACACACGACUGCUAUCUGGAAGCUUCAUUGCAGAUCUAGAGAUCAGGAGAAGAAGGAAAUCGUGGGGAUGCAGAUUUGCUUUCAACGGUCAAAACAGAGCUACAAAUGAUUAGUUGUAGUCGUGUGUGGUCCUUCCAUCACGAGUCGGUUUUUUCUUUUGCGCUAUAGAGAAGCUUUUCAGUUGUUGUCUCUUUUACGGUUGAUUUGAUUCCUUUUUUCCUUUCUAUGGGCCUGUUUGGCUCCACCCUAUUAAAGUUUAACACCUGUCACAUCGGAUGUUUGGAUGCUAAUUAGAAGUAUUAAAUAUAGACUGAUUACAAAACUAAUUGCACAGUUGGAGUGUAAUUCGCGAGACGAAUCUAUUAAGCCUAAUCAGUCCAUGAUUUGAUAAUGUGGUGCUACAGUAACCAUUUGCUAAUGGUGAAUUAAUUAGGCUUAAUAGAUUCGUCUCGCGAAUUAGCACAGGGUUCUGCAAUUAAUUUUAUAAUUAGCUUAUGUUUAAUUUUUCUAAUUAGGAUCCGAACAUUCGAUGUGACACUAUUAAAGUUUAGCACCUCGUAUCCAAACACCCCCUAUUAAUAUAACAUGAAAAUCCUCUUGCCAUCUUUUUUUAAAAAAAAUCGUAGGGAUGCUGCUUGAUGAAGCUAGCAACAUGGAUUUCAUGGUUCUUCCGAUUGUUGGAAUGGGUGGGAUAAGCAAGACCACCUUUAAUUUGUGCAACUCAUUUUUUCGGCUGUCAGAUGAACAUCCGAUGCGUUUCCUUCAUCUUCUAGUAAGUAUAUAUCUAGGUGCAUAGUAAAAAUUAUAUAUCUAGAAAAAAUGACCUACAAUUUAAAAUGGAGGGAUUACGUUGGAACAUCAACCAAACAAAUGGACGAACCCGUUUAAUUAUUUGGCCUCCAAGAAUGCUAUACGACCUGAAUGAAUAACUGAAGGCUAUCAAGGCACUUAUUGUUGUACAUAGGAACUGAGCUUGACUUAGAUAUAUUUAUUUGCAAACAGGUGUGAAAUGUGAUACAAUAAUUCAGAAAGCUAGACGUCGUGAGCCAUCCGAGAGAUAAGAAGAAGCUUCUCAUUACGGUGCACAUCCAUCCCAUACGACUCUGACAUUUCGAUGCCUGUCAACACUGGCGGAAGCUCCCAAUUGAAGUGGUAGAUGAGGUUGGCAAGAAUGAUUUCGAAAGUGGCGGUGGUGAAGUUUAUACCCAGGCACAUCCUUCGCCCAGACCCAAACAGCAAGAAACAGAAGUCGUUCCCCCGGAAGUCGGAAGCAGCAUCCAUGGCUUCUUCCAUGAACCGCUCGGGCAUGAACUCCUCUGCACUCUCCCAGUAGGUGGUGUCCCUGCAUAGAGCCCACGCGUUGACGAUUACACGUGUCCCGAAGGGUAUGGUAUAGCCCUCCACAUUGCAUUCCGACUUUUUUAUUUUUUGAACUUUUUUUUGAAAGAUUCUUACAAAUAGGUCCUUGGCGAAAACAUUUCAAAAUCUGGACCCUUAGCUUGGCGCCACCAUCGUACACGUCUCGGCGCUAGCGGCUCUGGCGCCUAGGUCAUUGCGCAGCUGGUGACGUGGAUGCUGACAUGGCGGGGGCUUGGCACCAAGGUGGAUGACGCCAAGCUUCGUAUUUCAACCACCUGCCUCCUUCCUACCCGAGCCUUCCUCCUCUUCUUUCUCCUCCCUCUCGGAUUUUUUCUCUCCCCACUUCACCCUACAUCACGAAUCGGCCUAUUGGAUCUUGAAAACUUUGAUUUGAUCCGUGGAUCUUCGAGAGCAAGGUAUCCUCGCUCCCUCAUAGUUUUUUUUCACGUCGAUUCGGUAUAUAUUAGUCGGAGUUUUGAACUUAGGGUUCAUGCAACCGUAGGAUGUCAAGGCGUGGAAAAGCUAGGAAACUAAGGUAACCUCAACGCACGUUGUUAUGUUAUGGGUUCAUUGUUGUGGAUCGAAUGGGAAACCCUAGGUAUAGGUUUAAUGUUAAUUGCUUUCGGUUCUUACAACGAAAUGGACUAAAUUGUAGUUAUGGCGGGAUGACUGGAAAUGCCUUCGACCCAUUGCCUCUGCCAAGUGGUGUUCCAGUGCCCAUGUGCUUUUACAGCGAUCCUUGCAAGGUAGCCAAGUCCGAUGCAGAGGACACGUAUAGGAAGAGGUAUUGGAUGUGUUCCAAUUUUGCGUUUGAGCCUACACUUCGUCAGCGCCGCAUUAACAAGAUGGUGAGAAAUUGAUGUUGUCUAAUAAUUAUUUUGUUUCGUAUGACAUCUUGCAUGAUUUUUUUAUUUUCUAACAAUUGCAUUUGUUGCAAACCCCUCUACUGCUCUGUGAUUUUGAGCAGUGGAUUGACACUGAGAUCAAGCCUGAAGAUAAGGAGGAGAUGCAGGAAAUGUUGCGGUGGGAGGCAGAGAAGAAGGAGACAACGGAGAACAGACACAGAGAGGAGGCUGCAGAAAAGGAGCACAAGGAAAAGGAGAAAAAGAGGCAUGCUGCUGCGAACAGGGAGGAGAGGGAGAAGAAGCUUGAGCGUGCACGCUGAGCGAAAGCAGCGAUUGAGGAGAAUCCCAAUGCCCUGAGGAAGGGAAAGUGGCCUCGUUGCACACAGUAGUCUUCAGUACUUGCUAGUUCUAUGGUUUAUUCAUGAACAAUGUUAUCUACUGUUGGACUUUUCAUUGUGUUGUCAUGUAAUGGACUUUAAGUAUGGAUGAUGAUAAAAAGAAGUACCGACAGAUGCUCAUCACUGAAUCAACACAUGCCAUCGAAAUUUUGGCAGAAUUUCCCCUAUUAUUUUUACACAAUCCAUACAUGUAAGUGAGAUGAAUUUUUAACCUCAAUACAACAUGUUCAAACAUACAAAUAUAUGCCACAUUCAUAAUGAAAGUCCACAAAAUGCAUAAUGAAAGUCCACAAAGUUCAUAAUGAAAGUCCACAAUAGUACAUAUACACAAUAGUUCAUAAUAAAAGUCCAUAUACACAUUAGUUCAUAAUAAUAGUCCAUAUACACAAUAGUUCAUAAUGAAAGUCCACAAAGUCCAUGUUAUUACAUAAUAACAUCUACCACAAACGUUCACUACCUCCUAGUCUUACCCUUACCCUUGUGACCAAGAGUGUCGGUACCUGGAGUGUAAGGGGAAGGUGGACGAUAUCUCCUAGUGCCUGCAAGCUGUGUAGGCUGAGUCAAGGGAGCGUCCUGGAGCUGAAACGGGCCAAGCUCUUCGUGCCUCUCGUCAUCCUCAUCCUCGUAUGCAAUGCCUUUGGCCUGUGUAGCUGCUUGGCUAGACGAACCUAUGCCUCCUCUGCUUGAGGAAGGAACAUGCAUGUCUCGCAUUGUGGCUGUCCUGCAACCACAAUGAGCAGCCGCACGGCGUAGCCGACGUGAUAGUCUCUAUUGUACAAGAAAUAGGUUAAGUGAAAGAAUUUAACGUAUUAAUAAUAUAUUUGAAAGCAUAUUUAGAAUCUUAUGUCUAGGAAGCUACGCGUCUCGUCGUCUCUGACUCUCGGACGAAACUGCUCAAUGUCUUCAACCGAGGUUUUGAGGGUAUGGCCCUACAACAAAGUAAAUGUACCAUCAUUAAAUCACUAAGUCACUAUCUACCUAAAUCACUAAGUCAGUAUCUACCUAAAUCACUAAAUCACUAAAUCUACCUAAAUCACUUAAGUCAACUAAUCACUAAGUCACUUAACAUAGAAAAAUAAGGCAAUUGACUUACCAAUCUAUCCAAGAUUGGUCCUGCCUCCACUUGCCUUCCUACACAAGUACUUCGGUCGUAUGUCGUGUCUUCAUCGUCGAAGGACUCGAUGUCGCUGUAGUCAUCUUGUGUCCAUUGUAGCCUCAGCCUGCAACGGCUCGCACCUUGGUACCAAGCUUGGUAUCGCAUGUACUCACUGUUUGUGUGCGGCUCGUUGUUCUCAUCCACGUUGUCGUGGAACUCCUCCCAUUGCUCAAUGUAAGGCUGGUGGUAUACAUGUCACUCAAAAACCUUCCUGUUCUUCUUAUGAUCCAACCUGCACGUCACGUAAGAUGUAUAACUGCCCAUAGUCGUAUAACCUGAGUUAAUGUAAGGGACCAUCAUGAGAUAAUUGAAAUAGCAAAACACUUCCUUGUGUAAACUCUACGCCAGUCGAGAAUGGAGCCGUUGGCCCAAAUCUGUUCUCAUGCCAAAUUAGAGUGCAACUCGAUCAGGCUGGGUGGAACUCGACCGGCAUAGAAAACAUAUAAGAGGGCACCUCAUCUGUAUAAAGUCAUCCAUCGCUCGCACACAUGGUGCUCAAAAGGAAAAGUAAGUGCCCCCUCUCCCUAUGUAUGGCUCCCACGACACCUGCAACAUGUCCAAACAAGAUGUCAGAUGAUAUACUAAAACUAAUUGAAAUCAGCAUGGGAAAUAAAAUGUACUUACACUAGACACCGUGAGCGUGUCUAGCUCGUUCGUGAAAUCAUGGUACGCCCACUCCAACAUCGUGUGUAGAACCCUAACCUGGUCCCAAAGGUACGCCCACGUAGGAUGCUGUCUCGGAGGCUGACCUGGGAACCACUCAUGGCGAGACAGAACCUCAGGACGGCCAACUGGUAGACGCGCCCACAUCCACAACUGCUGUAGGUACACACAUCCACCAAGUGAUGCUGAGGAUGAAGACCGACGACAAGCCUCGCACAGCUGCAGGUAGAGAAAACCCAACAUUGCAGAGCCCCAGCUGUACUGACCCGCCUGGUGCCAGUCGGUGAGGCAGUGGAUCCAAAACCACAAUGUAGUGUCACCCGUGGCAUCGGGGAAGAGAAUGCAUGCAAAGAGGUGUAGGAUCCAUGCCCUGCAGUAGUUCUCAACUGUUUGCUCAUUUACAUCCUCGAGGCAUUGUGCAAACUGUUGCCGGAGCCAGGAGAUUAGAACACCAGAAGUGUGAGCACCUUGCUCGUCAACCUCAUGCCCAAGGAAGGCUGCUACUCGUUCUCUCCAACCAUCUGACCUGCACGGCCCAGUCACUGCAUCACCGCGAAUCGUCAAACCUAACAUCUUCUGACAGUCCUCAAACGUAACUAUUAUCUCUCCGAAAGGCAAGUGAAAGGUAUGAAUCUCAGGCCGCCACCUACAGUUUAGACAAAGGAAGAUUACAUGUCAAAUAGGCUAGGGCAUGAACGAUUGGCUAUGAAUGGACGCAAUGAUUGAAGAUAGUACCUGUCAACCAACGCUGUUAUGGCUGCUGAGUUGAACUUGGGCAACCCAUGACGAACCUGAAAUGAGAUGACAUCUAGGCCAGCAGCUUGCACCAUAGGAGUGUACCGGUCGUCGUACCGCAUGUCCAAGAACCCAUCGUGGGUUCUAGAACCAAGGAGCGGAAGGUCAUGCAUGCAAUGAAACAGAGUCUUCCGUUAUUUCACGAACAACACAUGUACGCUUACAAAAAAUCAAUCAACACGUACAUAUUAUUACUACCCCCCCACCCCCCGCUAUGAGACAUCCUUGAUGGGUCUGGUCGUACACCGGGUCGAGCAAGUGGAGUUGCGCCAUCCUACAAAAAAUCAAUGAAAUAUAAAUUAAGUAUGCAGUGAAACAUAAACUUAGAAAUGUACAAAUAAUUGACACAAUUGCAAGUAUAAAUUGAGACAUGCAUAAUUAAUUGAGUGGAUACGACAUAUAUGAAAUAAUGAAAAGAACCACUAGUCGCACCUCACUACUCUGCCAAUGGCACGUGCAUGAACUGUGGUCCAGUCUACCGCACUUGCUGCACUCGUUCUGCUCGGGGUCAGUAAGAAAUGGGGUUGCCCUACCACGCCUCGCUCUUCCGGGUAUUUGAUCCAUAACCAUCAUGUGCCUCGUCCUCUUUCUUGAUCCACGCCUGUUCCAACGGUAAGCUGGAUCCGCAAUGUACUUUAGCCCAUCAUCAACAUGAGGGACAUGACUAGUAUUCCAACAGAUGCGCUCCUAUUCUUUCUGCACUUCUGCUCCCAUCUCCGUGUCAAAUUGUAUUACGGGUGUAGUUUAGCACUGAACAACAUGAUUUUGUGGUGCUGGGAUUGAAUCAUAGGAGUGCUAUUUGUGUGUCCGGAGCCAACUUUGACUGAUCUGAAUUUUGGUAAAAUUUCAUCCGAAUUUGUUUAAAAUCCAGUUGAAUCCAGGCCCGAAAUUUCCUGAAUUUCCGAAUUUCGUCCAUUUCGGAAGGCUCCGAAUUUUUUCAACUUUUGAAUCCCAGAACCUUGGUUGAGAAGCGGAGAGAUGGGAGACCUAGUUUUCAUCUUCGUUGCCUCGUUGGAGGGGAAUACUGCAUCUGGAGGAAUCGCGCGGAGGACAAGCUCAUGGAAGGCCCCGCUUUCGAUUACAGAGAAAAUCUUCGUUGGUCCGUGGGAUUUGAUUACAGCGAAGGCGAAGCAAACAUGUUUAACCGGUAUCUGAUUACAUGGUACCAGAUACGGAGCGAUUUUUACUGAAACAAACAUCACCUAGAGCUGACUAUUAUAUUCAAAUACUGACAAAAAGUAGAAUACUUCUCAGACAAGCCAGCCAUUACAACAAUAACAACACAACAACUGGAUUACCGGCGUGUCACAAUAACACACAACAAGAAGCUACGUACCACGAAGCAACAGAAACAGCACUCUUGCAAAUUAAGGGAUAAACAACACCCCCAAGGAAAUGGCGAUGAAAUUAAACCAGGCCCCGCCUGCAGAGCUUUGAGCACCUACACAUAUAUAGCAGGUGCAUGCAGCUCUCUAUUACAGAAACAGUAGAUCGAAAACGACGAGCAACCAAGCAUCGAGCAGCAACACUACUUACUUCUUCUCUCAAUGCAAGCAGGAAGAGAAGGCAAGCUAGCGAGCUGAUCAGCAGAGAAGUCGCCGGGAUUCAGAUGACUGCCGCGGUCGGCGUGCAGCGGCGCUCGCAGAAGUUUCCAGCAAAAUGCGGAACUUCAAGCGGGCCGGGGCUCCUAGAUAGCAUGUACAUCUUUGGGCUUGUUCGCUUCAGCUUAUAAGCCGGCUGAAAAGCUGAAACGGCUGAUUUGUUGUAAGAGGAAAACACUGUUUGGUGGCUGAUAAGCCGGCUGAAUAAGCUGAAGCGAACAGGCCGUUUGAUCCAACAGCAGCCCAUGAACAACAAACAGUAGCAGCAGCUAGCGUAUGAGGGUGGUGUGUGGUGGGGCCAAAGGCCAAUCUUGCAAGACAGCAGGAAGGAGCGUAACAUGCAUGCCCGUGUGCAGUACUGCCGUGGGUGUUGAGCACUUUUUUUUCUUGCUCCCGUUGUACUCAUGGAAACAUUUCAAAAGUAUAGAUUCAAUAUUUUGCAUAUUAUUUAAACAUUUCAAACAUUUAUGGAAACCACAUUUUAGAUAAACUGGUUCAAUAUUUUGCAUAAUAUUGUUGAAAUAGUGUACCUUAAACGUUGAGCUAAAUAUAUAAAAAUGUUGAGCUAAUAUAUCUAAAAUGAUGAAACUAAGAAAAUAAAGAUGAAAAAAAUAUAUACAGUCAUGUGGGAUCUCAAUCCGUUAGAAAAAUUUCGAAAAGGCUCAUAGUUUAUUCGGAAUUAAAAUUAAAUGAACCGUUAGAGAGAUAAGUAAGUUGAAAAGUUCGAAAUCAAAACUCACAUCACCCAACAAGUAGCUGACACCUAUCCGUCCUUUCAGCAGCUCCACCCACCUCGCGCCAGCAUACUAGCACAUGGUGGUCCCCAGCCACCUCUCGCCAGAUCGCAGUGCCCGAUGGGAGAUCCGGCGAUGCCGUUGCGUCGAAGGAGAGGGCGGAACCGACGAGGGUCGCCGGCGGCUCCCACCCCGAACGCGUCCUGACCCACUCCGGCAGGGCCUCCCGCAGGUACGGUGAGCGCUUCCAUCCGUGGUCCGCAAGCAGUAAUGUCUGAUUUUUCGCUUUCUUCUCCGGAAUUCGUCACAUAUGUCAUCGUCCUGUGUUUAUAUAUCCUUUUUAUGCUGCAAAGCUUUCACGAUUUUGAUGAGAGAUUUGUUCAUGUUUGUGCCCACAUAGUAGUCAAUGUGCCACUAGUACUGAUUGCAAUACGUACGGAAAUUGGUUUUGUGUCUGUUCUUUCUCCAUCUCAAUCAUCAAUCAAAUGGGGGUAGUCGUCGGUACGCCGGGUGGGCCGAGUUGGCCAAACUGCACAGUGGUGGUGGCAGCCAAGGUGUUGUUCAAGGUCGGGCUGGCACGCACACGGCCGUACCACAUCAGGGUGUGUCCUGCUUCCCCGUCAACUUCCUCAAUACGACUCGGUACGCCACUGUACCUAAUCCUCCAAAACUCCAACUCCAAAGGCUCGCUGAACGGAAAAAAAUUCUAGGAGGACGGUCCCCAAAUCCUUCUCCGUGAGGAUCCACUCCCGAUGGUUGCAGGCAUGGCAACAUAUAAUUGAUCCGCCGCCACCAACGACUGAGGUUUCUUCCACCUCGUCAACUACCACCACCUCCUCCACCCACCUCUCUUCUUCUCCGGCUACCCUGCGCGCGCCCUCGCCGCCGUGCGUGCCUCCAGCGAGCUCCCAGGCCCCGACGGCGCCAGCACUACGGCCGCGCCCCGGUGGCCGGCGGCGUCUCCUACUCCUCUAACGUGGACCUGUUCCGCUCGCCUUCAGCUGCCGUGGGAGCCGCGUAAUGGAGGAGGGUGGUGGGCCAAGCGACAGCUAGCUGUGGUGUGGUGGGCAUCCUCAUUUACUAAUCUCCACCCACCUUCCGAUGAAUAAAAAUUGACCUCUUUAUGCUGCCUUUGUCAUNNNNNNNNNNNNNNNNNNNNNNNNNNNNNNNNNNNNNNNNNNNNNNNNNNNNNNNNNNNNNNNNNNNNNNNNNNNNNNNNNNNNNNNNNNNNNNNNNNNNCAUCUAAGGUUAGCAGCCUCUUUCAGUGUACAAAUGAUUAUGCACCUAAUACUUUCCUCACCUUUGCAGUGCCGUGGGCCGCCACUUCCCUUCUGGCCCACAUGUCAUGGAGGCGCGCGAGGAGGGGGAUCGGUUUCACGUAUGAUUAAUAAAGAAAGGCCCAAGACACGUCACGCUGCGGGGGACAAGGGAAGACACCGCACCGCACGCACCUCCACCACUUGCGUUGCCUUUGCCUUUGCUUUUCCCCUAGCUCGCCCGCCUAGGAGCUCCAGCAGCCGGUCCGCUCCGCCGCCGGUGCGGCAACCACGCCGCCGUCAGAUCGCCUCGCGCGGCCACGCGGCCACCGAUCGUCCCCGCGAUACACCGCCGCCGGUGCGCCGUGCGCGGCGGCGCUGUCCCGCCGCUCCUCCGCCUACCGUCGGCCUGCGCCACCGCCAGCGCACCGGCAGCACCGCGAGCUGCUGCGCCGCCCCGACGUUGGUCCUUCCUGAGCCCGGUGUCGUCACCAGCGUCGCGGAGAAGCUAAUUACCUGGAGCAAUUUGUAGAAACAAAUAGUACUGGUUCGUUCACUUAUUUCUUUGCUCAAACUUAAUUUCUGCUUAGAGUUUGUGCCUAAAUUAGCUGCUUAUUCUGCUGGUUGCACGCAGGAGAUCGAGCUGCGGGCGUACGGCCGGAUCGGAGGAGGACAUAUCAGCCGGGUUCCUGUUGGUUGUGUACUUGUGUUCCUGCCGGCGGAGAAGCAACCAUGGCCGAGUUACUGAUCGGGCCACUGAUCUCCAUGGUGAAGGAGAAGGCAUCCAGCUACCUGCUGGACCAAUACAAGGUGAUGGAAGGCAUGGAGGAGCAGCGCAAGACCCUGGAGCGCAAGCUGCCAGCAAUCCUGCACAUCAUCCAGGAUGCGGAGGAGAAAGGAGCCUCCCGACCUGAAGUUGCAGUUUGGCUUAAAGACCUCAAGACAGCGGCCUAUGAGGCCAACGACGUCUUUGAUGAGUUCAAGUACGAGGCGCUUCGGCGAGAAGCCAAGAAGAAGGGCCACCACAGCAAGCUUGGAAAUGAGGUAGCAAGACUCCUAGUCCCCGCUCGUAAUCCCAUUGUAUUCCGUUACAGGAUGGGCAAGAAGCUACGCAGGAUUGUGCAGACCAUCGAGGCCUUGGUCACCGAGAUGAAUACAUUUGGUUUCAGGCACUUGCAGCAAGCACAGCCAUCAAGGCAGUGGCGACAGACAGAUUCCAUAAUCAUUGACUCCGACAGAGAUAUUCUUAGCAGAUCUAGAGAUCGGGAGAAGAAGAAAAUCGUGGGGAUGCUCCUUGAUCAAGCUAGCAACAGGGAUCUCAUGGUUCUUCCAAUUGUUGGGAUGGGUGGGAUGGGCAAGACCACCUUUGUGUUGGAGUUGUUCUAAAUUCACUCCAGGAAUAAAGGCCGACCUUCCCGACCCUUGACACUCAGGGUCGGGCGAGGCGGAGAAUCUCCCGACCCCGGGACUCGGGGUCGGGCGAGGCGGAGCGUCUCCCGACCCAGGCUUGAGGUCGGGCGAGUCGGAGAUCGACCCUCAAGGGGUCAGGCGCAUCCGACCCCAGGCUUGAGGUCGGGCGAGGCGGAGUCCCAGGCGCAUCCGACUCCAGGACAAAGGACUCAGGGUCAGACGAGAAGGAGUUCCAUCCUUGUACGGGACCAAGAGUCCGUACAGCUCAAUACCCCCUGUCUGGGGUUUCGGUACUAUAUAUACAUACACCCUUGCUAGGGUUUUGGGUGGUGACAGAAGAGAUAGAAGAGAGAGAGAUUAUCAGAUUCUCUUGUAAGCCGCCAUAGGCGUGUAGCCCUAAACUCUUGAUAUAGUGAGAUUGUUGCCGGCUGGUGCCCGUGGUUUUUCCUCUUCACAUUGAAGGGGUUUUCCACGUAAAUCGUGUGUCUUCUUUUGUGGUUUGAUUCUUUACUUCAUAUUCCAUACGUCGUACCUAACAAGUGGUAUCAGAGCUUUGGUUGCUGUUUGGAUUUCAUGUCGACGUCGAUGAAGUUUGAUCUACCGCUGCUGAACUACGACACGCGGUUCUCUCUAUGGCAAGUCAAGAUGAGAGGAAUUCUAGCGCAAACUCAUGAUUAUGAUGAGGCGCUGGAUAGCUUCGGAAAGAAGACAAAGGCCGAGUGGACUCCAGAAGAGAUCCGCAAGGAUCAGAAAGCACUCGCCCUAAUACAGUUACAUCUUCAUAAUGAUAUUUUGCAGGAGUGUCUGAAAGAAAAAACUGCUGCAGAACUAUGGCUGAAACUGGAAUCGAUCUGUAUGUCCAAGGAUCUAACCAGUAAGAUGCAAAUGAAGAUGAAGCUGUUCACCUUGAAGAUGAAGGAGGAAGAUUUAGUGAUGAACCACAUCACUGAAUUCAAGAAGAUCGUCGCCGAUCUAGUAUCAAUGGAGGUGAAGUAUGAUGAUGAGGACUUAGGUCUUUUACUGUUAUGUUCUUUGCCAACUUCAUAUGCAAAUUUUCGUGACACCAUACUCUUGAGCCGUGAUGAACUAACCUUAAAGGAAGUUUAUGAGGCUCUCCAAUCAAGGGAGAAGAUGAAAGGUAUGGUGCAGACUGACAGAACGUCGUCCUCCAGAGGCGAUGCUUUGCUUGUGAGAGGCAGAACUGAUAACAGAUCCUCCAAUGAUGAUGGAAGAAAAAACUAUGAAAGGAGAGGCCGUUCAAAGUCCAAGCCGCAUGGUAACAAAAAAUUCUGUGUCUAUUGCAAGCUAACAAAUCACAAUGUUGAGGAUUGCAGAAAAGUACAGAAUAAGGAGAAGAAGAAAAACAAGUCGGCUGGUAAGGUCUCUGUUGCUGCUGCCGUGUCUGAUGAAGAAUCUGGAGAUGGUCUGGUGGUAUUUGCCGGUUGUGUUGCUGGUCAUGAUGAGUGGAUCCUUGAUUCUGCAUGUUCAUUUCAUAUUUGCAUUAACAGAAAUUGGUUUAGCUCUUAUAAGUCUAUGCCGAAAGGAGAUGUUGUGCGGAUGGGAGAUAAUACCCCGUGUGAUAUUAUGGGAAUUGGAUCAGUUCAGAUCAAGACUCAUGAUGGCAUGACACGCACUCUGAAAAACGUCAGGUACAUACCAGGGAUGUCCAGAAAUCUUAUUUCAUUGAGCACGCUUGAUGCAAAAGGUUACAAAUAUUCCGGUUCGGAUGGUGUUCUGAAGGUAUCAAGAGGUAAUCUUGUCUGCUUGAAAGGUGAUCUCAAUUCUGCAAACUUAUAUGUCCUUAGAGGGUGUACUUUACCUGGUUCUGAUUCCGCUGUUGCUGCUGUUACUAAUGAGGAACCUAGUAAAACUAACCUUUGGCAUAUGCGUCUGGGACAUAUGAGUCACCAUGGUAUGGCAGAAUUGAUGAGGAGAAACCUACUGGAUGGCUGCACUUCGAGUAAAAUGAAGUUAUGUGAGCACUGUAUUUUCGGGAAGCAUAAAAGGGUACAUUUCAACACUUCUGUUCACACCACUAAAGGUACUCUUGAUUAUAUUCAUGCUGAUUUAUGGGGUCCUUCCCGUAAGUCCUCGCUUGGUGGUGCUCGUUACAUGCUCACAAUUAUUGACGAUUACUCUAGAAGGGUGUGGCCUUAUUUUCUGAAACAGAAAGAUGAUACCUUUGCUGCUUUUAAGGACUGGAAGGUCAUGAUUGAAAGGCAAACUGAAAGGAAGGUGAAAUUGCUUCGUACUGAUAAUGGUGGAGAAUUUUGUUCGCGUGAAUUUAAUGAUUAUUGCAGAUCAGAAGGUAUUGUAAGGCAUCACACCAUACCCUAUACUCCACAACAGAAUGGUGUGGCCGAACGCAUGAACAGAUCCAUCAUAUCCAAGGCCCGUUGCAUGCUGUCUAAUGCCAGGAUGAGCAAGCGUUUUUGGGCUGAAGCUGCUAAUACUGCCUGUUACUUGAUAAACAGGUCACCUUCUAUUCCACUAAAUAAAAGAACUCCCAUUGAGGUAUGGUCUGGAACGCCUGCUGAUUACUCACAGUUGAAAGUUUUUGGAUGCACUGCAUAUGCUCAUGUUGAUAAUGGAAAAUUAGAGCCUAGAGCUGUUAAAUGUCUUUUCCUUGGUUAUGGUUCGGGUGUCAAAGGCUAUAAAUUGUGGAACCCGGAAACAGAAAAGACCUUCAUGAGCAGAAGUGUUAUUUUCAAUGAAUCUGUGAUGUUUACUGACAGCUUACCCUCAGAUCAAGUUCCAGACAAAGGACUGCAGCGUAUGCGCAUGCAGGUGGAGAACGCUCGUAAUGAUGUUGAUAACCCCGACCCCUUGGUCUCGGGGUCGGAUGCGCCAGACCCCUUGGCUCCAGGGUCGGCUGAUGCUCAAGCGCCAGACCCCUUGGCUCCGGGGUCGGAUGUUGCUGCGCCAGACCCCUUGGCUCCGGGGACGGAUGUUGCUGAUGCGCCAGACCCCUCAAUCUCGGGGUCGGCUGAUGCUCAUGAUAAUGUCCAGCAAACUCCAGAGGAGGAUCUACCCAUUGCUCAACGCAAGUCCAAAAGGACAGUUGCCCCUCCUAACCGCCUCAUUGAAGAGUGUAAUUUGUCUUACCAUGCUUUGAGUUGUGCUGAACAGGUGGAGAAUGUUCAUGAGCCAGCAACCUAUAAAGAAGCUAUUCAUUGUGGCGAUACUGAAAAUUGGAUUUCGGCCAUGCAUGAGGAGAUGCAAUCUCUUGAGAAGAACAGUACAUGGGAACUUGUACCUUUGCCUAAGAAUAAGAAGGCCAUCCGCUGCAAAUGGAUCUUCAAAAGAAAGGAGGGUUUAUCUCCAAGAGAGCCUCCGAAAUAUAAGGCAAGGUUAGUUGCAAAAGGCUACAGCCAAAUUCCGGGUGUCGACUACAAUGAUGUUUUCUCUCCAGUGGUAAAACACAGUUCAAUUCGCACUUUCCUUAGUGUUGUUGCUUCACAUGAUCUUGAGCUUGAGCAGUUAGAUGUGAAGACUGCGUUUUUGCAUGGAGAGCUCGAGGAGGACAUAUACAUGAACCAACCAGAAGGUUUCAUAGUGCCUGGCAAGGAGAAAUAUGUGUGCAAGUUGAAAAGAUCCUUGUAUGGUUUGAAACAGUCCCCUCGACAGUGGAACAAGAGGUUUGAUUCAUUUAUGUUAUCACACAGUUUUAAAAGAUCUAAGUAUGAUAGCUGUGUUUAUAUCAAGCAUGUUAAUGGAUCACCUAUAUACUUGCUGAUAUACGUUGAUGAUAUGUUGAUUGCUGCCAAGAGUAAGACUGAAAUAAAUAAGUUAAAGAAGCUAUUGAGUAGCGGUUUUGAUAUGAAAGAUCUUGGUAGUGCUAAGAAAAUUCUUGGUAUGGAAAUUAGUAGAGACCGAAAUUCUGGUUUGCUAUUUCUUAGUCAACAGAAUUAUAUCAAGAAAGUUCUUCAGCGUUUCAACAUGCAAGAUGCUAAGGCUGUAAGUACUCCUAUUGCACCUCACUUCAAGUUGUCAGCUGCUCAGUGUCCUAGUACAGAUGCAGAGGUCAAAUACAUGUCAAAGAUUCCUUAUUCUAGUGCUGUUGGGUCCUUGAUGUAUGCCAUGGUUUGCUCUCGCCCAGAUUUGUCAUAUGCUAUGAGUCUUGUUAGUAGAUAUAUGUCUAAUCCCAGCAAAGAACAUUGGAGGGCAGUUCAGUGGAUUUUCAGAUACCUCAAAGGCACAGCAAAUUCCUGUUUAAAGUUUGGAAGAACUGAUGAGGGUCUUAUUGGCUAUGUGGACUCAGAUUAUGCUGCUGAUCUGGACAGGCGAAGAUCACUCACAGGCUAUGUGUUUACUGUUGGCAGUUGUGCUGUGAGUUGGAAGGCUACUUUACAGUCGGUUGUUGCUUUGUCUACUACUGAAGCAGAAUAUAUGGCGAUUUGUGAAGCGUGCAAAGAAUUGAUUUGGCUGAAAGGUUUGUACGCCGAACUUUGUGGAAUUGAAUCUUGCAUAAGUUUGCACUGUGACAGUCAAAGUGCAAUUUACCUCACUAAAGAUCAACUGUUCCAUGAGAGAACUAAGCACAUUGAUAUCAAGUAUCAUUUUGUGCGUGAUGUGAUUGAAGAAGGUAAGCUAAAGGUAUGCAAGAUCAGUACUCAUGAUAAUCCUGCCGAUAUGAUGACAAAGCCUGUUCCUGUUACUAAGUUUGAGCUGUGCUCAGGCUUAGUUGGUUUAAUUGGAUAGUCCAAGAGACUAUUAUUGGCACCAGUGGUUUUUCCUGUCUUUGUUCUGUUCAGAAUGAAGGGUUGAUGAUACAAGAUGAAUUUGUCUCAAGGUGGAGUUUGUUGGAGUUGUUCCAAAUUCACUCCAGGAAUAAAGGCCGACCUUCCCGACCCUUGACACUCAGGGUCGGGCGAGGCGGAGAAUCUCCCGACCCCGGGACUCGGGGUCGGGCGAGGCGGAGCGUCUCCCGACCCCAGGCUUGAGGUCGGGCGAGUCGGAGAUCGACCCUCAAGGGGUCAGGCGCAUCCGACCCCAGGCUUGAGGUCGGGCGAGGCGGAGUCCCAGGCGCAUCCGACUCCAGGACGAAGGACUCAGGGUCAGACGAGAAGGAGUUCCAUCCUUGUACGGGACCAAGAGUCCGUACAGCUCAAUACCCCCUGUCUGGGGUUUCGGUACUAUAUAUACAUACACCCUUGCUAGGGUUUUGGGUGGUGACAGAAGAGAUAGAAGAGAGAGAGAUUAUCAGAUUCUCUUGUAAGCCGCCAUAGGCGUGUAGCCCUAAACUCUUGAUAUAGUGAGAUUGUUGCCGGCUGGUGCCCGUGGUUUUUCCUCUUCACAUUGAAGGGGUUUUCCACGUAAAUCGUGUGUCUUCUUUUGUGGUUUGAUUCUUUACUUCAUAUUCCAUACGUCGUACCUAACACUUUGUGCAACUCAUUUACAAUGACCCUGCAAUCGAGAAGCACUUUGAGUUUCGGAGGUGGUGCUGCGUGUCAGAUGAUUUCGAUGUCAGUACCAUUGCAAGCAACAUCUGCCAGACCAAUGAGAAAUAUCGUGAAAAAUCAUUGCAGGAGCUCCAGAGUACAAUAAGUGGGAAAAGGUACCUCAUUGUGUUAGAUGAUGUCUGGAAUCGGGAUGGUGAUAAGUGGGGAAAACUAAAGGCCUGCCUUAAGCAGGGUGGCAAGGGCAGUGCAGUACUAACAACAACUCGUGAUGCAGAAGUGGCUCGCAUUAUGACCAUGGGUGUAGCUGAAGCCCAUAAUAUCGAGAAUCUGAGUGACGAGCAUUUAAAGGAAAUUGUCCAGAGCAGAGCAUUCAGCUUGCAAAAUCCAAAUAUGGAAGAGCAAGAUGGCAUUCUCAGUGGAUUUGUUCGUCGAUGCGUUGGAUCUCCCUUGGCUGCCAAAGCCUUUGGCUCUAUGUUGAGUAACAGGACUAGUGUAAAUGAAUGGAAGGAUGUAUUAGCUAAAAGUGACAUUUGUAGUGAGAAAACCGGAAUUUUACCGAUCCUCAAGCUCAGUUUUGAUGACCUAUCCUCAGAUAUGAAGCAGUGCUUUGCAUUUUGUGCUUUAUUUCCUAAAGAUUAUGAGAUUGAUGUGGACCUCUUGAUUCGACUGUGGAUGGCACAUGACUUCAUACCUGUGCAGGAGGAUGACAAUCUAGAAACCGUAGGAAAAUAUAUUUUUGAGGAGCUAACUCGGAGGUCAUUCUUUCAAGAGGUCAGGCAAACACUUCAAUUUGGCUAUUUUGGAAGGUCGUCACUUCGUAAGUCAACCAUAUGCAAGAUACAUGAUCUCAUGCAUGACAUUGCUCUAUCUGUUCUGGGGAAAGAAUGUGUCACUAUAGUUGGUAAGCCGAGCAUCAACAAGGUGUUGCUAAAUCCGACCCGCCACGUCUUCUUAUCAACAAGGUGUUCUCAUUUCUGGAAAGAACAGGUUACAAGUCUACUAGAUCAUCUAUUGAAGAAACAAACUGCAAUGCUCCAUACGUUGUUUAUCAAAGGUUAUGGUCAACCCCUUGAUAUAUCAAAGUACACUUCACUGCGAGCAUUACACCUUCCAGCAUAUAUAUAUAUACCAUGUUCAGGACAGGAACAGCUUACAAGACACAUACAACACCUAAGGUAUCUUAAUCUGUCGUCACAUGAGUUCGAGAAACUUCCUGAAGGUAUAAGCAUUAUGUAUAAUCUACAAACGUUGGACCUCUCAUAUUGCAAAUGCCUUCGUCAACUUCCAAAGGAUAUGAAGUAUAUGGCAAACCUCCGACACCUCUAUACCCAUGGAUGCGAAUCAUUGACAUGCAUGCCUCCAGGACUUGGACAGAUCACUUCUCUGCAGAAUCUAACAUGUUUUGUUAUUGGUGAUGGCUUGGGAUGUAGUACUAUAGGAGAACUUCAAAACUUAAACCUUGGUGGAGAGUUAGAGUUAAGUGGUCUGCAAAAUGUAACAGAAGUGCUUGCAAAAGCUGCCAGUCUUGAAAAUAAAGAGAAACUCACACACUUAUGUCUCAAAUGGAAUGAUGAUGCCCGUGAGAAACCAGAUUCUCAUAAUGAGGUGUUAGAUGCCCUUAAACCUCAUCAUCGGCUGGAGAUGCUAGGCAUAAAGUCCUACAAAGGCACCAAUUUACCGUCAUGGAUAACAGAUCUUAGUCUGUUGCAGCACUUGACUGAGCUCCAACUGGUUGGUUGCACGCUGUGCGAGGAAUUUCCUCAAUUCUGCCAUUUCAAAACCCUUGAAGUUCUGUAUUUGAAAAAGUUGGACAAAUUGUAAAGCCUAUGCAGUCAUAUGGUGUCUACGCCAUUUCCAGCACUGAAGCAACUCCGGUUACAUGAUUUGGAGAGCUUGGAGAGAUGGGUCGCAACAGAAGGAAAAGAAGAUGAAUUAACCUUUCCUGUACUUGAGGAGGUUGAUAUAAAAAACUGUCCAAAGUUGACUAGCCUACCUGAAGCACCAAAGCUCAGGGUUGUAAGUCUGGAUGAAGGCAAGCCGCUGCUCUCCUUAGGAAUAGUUAAAUCAAGGCACAUGUCUUCAAUUUCUAAGCUAAUCCUGUGUGUCCGUGACACAGAAGCACUGCCUCAGAUAGAUUAUAAUUGGGAUUCAUCACAGAAACUGGAACUAUCCUUGGGUGGCACAGAAGCCGCACCUCUGUCACAUCUGAACAUAUCUGGCUGCAACUUUUUCUUCGUAUCAAGCCAGUCACAGCUAACACCUGGGGUCUGGAAAUGGUUUGAACAUCUUGCAGUUUUAGCAAUCAAAAACUGUGAUGUGCUCAUCUACUGGCCAGAAGAAGUGUUCCAAAGCUUGGUAUCUUUGAAGGAGUUGUGGAUUGAGUCCUGCAACAAGCUAAUAGGGCCCACACAAGCGAAAGGUGGCGAACCUACACAAACGACAGAUCAACUCCUGCCACAUCUAAACAGGAUAUGUAUACGCAGUUGUGAAAGCAUGGCACAGCUCUUCAUUCUUCCCCCAUCUAUCAGAAUUAUUGAUAUUAUGGAUUGCCCUAAGCUUGAGUUCAUAUGGGGAAAGGAGGAGCAUCUUGACACAUAUACAUCGUUGGAACAUUGCCGCGACCCUGCAUCCACUACUGGUACCCUAGAGCAAUCGCCGUUUCCAAUUAUUCGUCGUCCAUGCCUUGUACGUUUAUCAAUAAGAUUGUGUGAUAGCCUGGUAACACUUCCAAAUCUACCACCGUCCCUCAAGGAUUUAAGCAUCUACAGCUGUGAGAAGCUCUGCUCUGUGUCAGGAGACCUGUGUGCACUCGAGGAGCUACAUAUUUAUAACUGCAAUAAGUUACAGUCAGUCAAUUCCUUGGGAGACCACCCAUCAUUAGAAACACUGAUUCUUUAUGACUGCCGAUGCCUUGCAUCUUUAGGAUGUGAUGGUGGUCGUGGAAGUUACUCUGCUCUUCAGAGCCAUAAGAUCGAAGAGUGCCCAGCCAUAGACAUGAAGCAGUUUUACUAACGCCAUCAAACAGCUGCUUGACAGCUUUGAAUAUGAAGACGUAUCACACGUUCAUUCAAGCAGCUCUGAUGAAGGUACGACCUUUCACUUUCCUCUUAUUCAAUUUGUUUCCUUCAAAUUUCCCUGCUUUGCAUGCCCUCCUAUUUCACUCAUGUAACCCCACAUGCAUUUCAUUUUUGCUGUGCAGACAUGACCCAUUUGUCCUUAAAAAGCAUAAAGGAGGGCACUCACAUGUACACACGACUGCCAUCUGGAAGCUUCAUUAUUGCGAGCCUCUGCUAACGAUGACAGGCCUGCAAUGGACGACAAAAACGACAAAGUUUGUUUUCACGGCACUACCAGCUAGCUGCUGGUAAUGCUCUUGUCACUAAUGUACAGUACUCCAUUCUGUCAUCCAUGAAAGUCGUGGAGAAUGGUCUAUGAUGUUACUCCAUUCUGUCAUCCACGUGAGCCGAUGAAGCAGAAACAAAUGAUGAUGAUGAUGGAUGAUAUAGCUGCCGGGACCCACUGCAACCUCGUGCAUCAAUCAUGACGAUCUCUAACGGCAAAGGCAUGCAUCCAGUAUGGCCUGAUGAAGUAAUUUAGUCUGCCAAAUUUCUUUCUGCUCGUUGCGCAUAGAAGGCGUAUUUUCUUUUCCUUUUUUCCACCCGAGAAGGAAGAAGAAGAAGAAACUGCUGUGGCCAAUUCAAUCCGGAUCAUCAAAACAACAGCCCAUUCCAGACUAGAAGAAUUUGGUCACCAAAUUCGGAUGGAGGUAAAAAGUCACUAGUUACCUGCAGCACCGAAUAGUACUGGUUCGUUCAUUUACUGUUUCCAAAAACUUUCUGCUGAGAGUUUGUGCAUUGUGGUGACACUAAAUAUGCGCGUGCGCGGUUCGUAGGAUUCGAACCCACAACCUCCAACCUCGCGCGUAGCUUUCUUGCCAUCCCACCUACACACCACAUCUAAGUAUGUAGGGGAUCCUAUCCUUUUGUAUUAACUCGUGGGGGACCCUUUUAUCCCGGUUGGAAACACCAACCGCGAUAAAAGACCCCCUUUUAUCCCGGUUGGUAUUACAAACCGGGAUAAAAGGGUUCGAGGAUUUAAUCCUCUUCCAGCCACCUUCCAGUCACCUCGUUGGGGACCCUUUUAUCCCGGUUUGAAACACCAACCGGGUCAAGAGCCUUUUAUCCCGGUUGGUGUUUCAAACCGGGAUAAAAGGCCCCUCAGAGUCUUUUUUCCCACUAGCCUUUGCAACCGGGAUAAAAGGUCCCGGUUGGUGAGCCCCCCACCAGUGACCGAGUUUUAAUCCCGGUUGGUGAACCUUUGUCCCGAGCCAACUUUAAACCGGGAUAAAAGAGGGCGCAUGGAAAGUUAAUUCUCUACUCGUGUUUGCGGGACACAAUCAUUUCAAGCAGGAGACGGUGGUUCAUCUGGAUGGACACCGGCCUCCGAUCAACAAUUUCCCCAGUUUCCCGUGUAGGCAAGGGGGAAGAUGGCAGGUCGCCAAGAAAUAGCAGCAGAUAUGUCCCUUGUCAAAACUUCAAGCCAGUAGUCUGUAAAAUAGAAAGAGAGAUUUGUUCCACUUAGGCUGCUACGCCUACAACAAUAAUGACUGUGGGGAGCUAGGAAAUAGCAUCAUGCUGAUAAGCCCAACAUCAUUGGAAUACAGUAACAGCGUACUGAAAACAAAAGAGGCUACAUCAUGGGCCAACUGAAAUUGUGUUAUCCAUAACAUUUUUUUUUAGAAAAUCCUCAGCCAUCAACACACGCAACCAAAUUAUUACAGAAUCUUAAGCUCAGUUGCUGAUUAAAAAAAUAAAAAGAGAAAAUAAUUAUAAGCAAUGUUUAAUGUUGCUUAUCCAUCCAUUUUUAAUAGAAACUUUCCAAAGCUUUCGUUGCUCUACUAUCGAACGGACGGUCUCCCUUAUGUCUUCACACCACGUUAAUAAAUCGCAAUUAAUAUGUUCUCCCGAAGGUAACCUUCAAAGCGAUGAAUGUAGAUCACCCACGAGCAACCGAGCACGCACAAGGGAUGCUGAAACACCACAUGGAUCUCCAUGACAACACCUUCAACAAGAACAUGACGCUAAUGACACCAUUGUCAUUGGCCCAAGUAUUGGGUUGGGUUUACACCCGGAGAAUUAAAAAAUCACCAUUCGGGGGAGGUGCAAACAAAGUCGCCUCCAAGGAGGCAACGGCACCCGCAAGCGUCACCAUCCACACUUUCAUCCCGACCUCCACCAUGCCAUGCCGGCAGCAGCCUGAGCAGAAAUCCACUCACCAAGCUGUUGAUGGUGCUGAGCAAGUUCGCAAGUGCCAGCCAUCAUUAUUGAGAGCCAGCUGCUGCCGCCGCAAACUCAUGCCCAUUGCGCUAGGGCUAGGGCGCCGGCCAUAGCAAGGCCUAGAUGCACGUGUUGCGUCAUGGCUGGCACCACACUAAGCCCACCAUGUCACCAGACUGUCACAGCCGGAAGGGCGCCGGUCGUCAGAUCCGACCCCCAGCGCAUGGAAUCCACCGCCUAGAAGCUAAUAUCUCUAGAGUGAAAAUCAACACUUCAGAAGAUCCCUGAGGGAGGGGGAACGUGAAGGAGAGGCUCCCCGAGUGCCGUCAGCAUCACCGGAGAACCCAAGCAGCCACAUAUCCAGGGGUCUCCGAGGGACCCGUCGUCGGAUCCGGUCACGCCAAGGGGAAGCACCAUCACGUUCAAAGGUUUCACCUCUAUGUGUAACGCUGCACUGUCCGACUGCCCGAGUACCUCCAGCAUUGGAUGGAGUGAUGGCAAUCUUAUUAGGGGGAAAAGAAACUACACACACCAAUGACAUAUGGUAACAGCUUACAAUGAUGGUAGUGGAUAAAAGAAAUGGGAGCACCAGAAACAAAAUCUAGAGUCUCAACAGUCAAAAUCAAAUUAACAAGAUCAAACAAUAAAAGUUAUGAGUACCACAAGAGCUUACACUGUCCGACUGUCCGAGUACCUCCAGCGUUGGUUGCAGAGCACCAGGGGGGGGGGGGGAUCAUUUCCAAAGUGGAUGCAUCAGUGGAGAUCUCUCAAUGUUUGUCACAUAAGCAGUGUGGUGCCCUCCAGGUGCCCAGGUUGGUGUGUUAAACUGCCUCCGAUCCACAGCCAUCUUAGAACACUGCAUUCCAAGUUUCCAACACUUUUCAUGGUCUCAACUCUACUUUUACAUUCUCUCAGGGGGUGUUUGGGAACACCGUGCUAAACUUUAGCACCUGUCACAUCGGAUGUUUGGAUACUAAUUAGGAGUAUUAAAUAUAGUCUAAUUACAAAACUAAUUGCACAGAUGGAGUCUAAUUCACGAGACGAAUCUAUUAAGCCUAAUUAGUCCAUGAUUUGACAAUGUGGUGUUACAGUAACCAUUUGCUAAUGAUGGAUUAAUUAGCCUCAAUAGAUUCGUCUCGCGAAUUAGACUCCAUCUGUGCAAUUAGUUUUGUAAUUAGCUCAUGUUUAGUCCUUCUAAUUAGCAUCCGAAUAUCCGAUGUGACCCUGCUAAAGUUUAGCACCUCGUAUCCAAACACUCCAAUGUGCUUUAUCUUGCUCCAAUCAUCUCCUGACUCGCUGCAUCUUUGCUUAAACCUCUUUGUGCAUUGUGACAGUGUCAAGGUAUGCAAAGAGGUCAGCCUCUCAAUGCACGGAGGCAAAGUUUUCAUCCAGUAGGCCUCUACUUUGAGCUCACGGAGAGAUGCCAUAUCUCCCAACCAUUCUGGCAAGGUUUCCAUGUCCUCACAGUUCAGUAUCUCUAGCUUCCUGAGGGAUUUCCAGCCUAGAAUGCACUUUGGCAAAGGUACAGGAUCGAUGCAACUGUCAACAGUUAAUUCUUCAAUGUCAAGCAGUUGAAGAGAAUCAGAGUCAGAAGAUAUAUUUUUGAUGUACUUGAUUUCCAUUUUGGAUGAUAAAGCAGAUGUUGAUAGCCCCAUGAUCGACUUGGUAGAAUGAUGGCCAAUUGAAUAAGAACGGAUAUUGUUUAAUUCCAGAUAUGAUAUACCUGGCACUCCAAGGGAUUGAUGGUUCGAAUCUUACAUUCAAACAACAGUCUAUCUCCACAGUAACUUCCCUACUCUUACUAUUGUAACUCUUCUGAGAUUUUUCACUGGCUGUGUGAUCAAGAUGCAUAUCGAUGAUUUGGCAUAUAGGUUCACUAUAACUUCACCAUCCCCCACAAGCAGAGACACCGGGACAGACGAGAUAUACAAGUCUUCAAGAGAUUGUAAAUAAUCUAAAUGGAGGUCACCAGAUUGAACAUUGAAAAGCUCCAAUCGUACAAGAUUUGGUAGCCAACGUAACCAGUUAGGAAAAUCACCACCAACAUAGUUCUUUAUGCAAAGCCUUUUAAGGUUUUCACGAGGCUGGAGCUCUUCUAACGCGACCUUGUUCAACACUGGCCCACUCCACUCCAAACUUAAAAAUUGGAGCUCCUCUUUUUGCGCCAAUUCAAUUAUGUUUGCGUCUGAGCUUGAUAGAUCUUCGAGAUGUUUAAUAUUAAGUUCAGUAAGCUGGUGACUUGUAGUCUUUUGUAGAAGAGCCAUGUCCUUUGAUGAACUGACGGCGAAACUAGGGCCCUGCUAUUUUACAAAAACAAAGAAAAUGAAAAAUAAAACAUUCUGCUUUAGUCAAGAUGGCAUGCAUACUAUAUAAAACCAUCUCUAGGUGCAAACAUGCAGCUUAGAGCAUCUCCAAUAGUCAUCUAAUUAAUGUUUCUAGAUAACUAGUUAAUAGGGAUAUCCCGAGUUGCUUUUACAGUCUUCUAUAACCUCAUCCCAAUCUAACUACCGUUGUUGGGAGAGUCACAGCUCCUCAUUUAUUUGGGGAGUUGGGGUGAAUUAUUUGUCGAAUAAUUAUUGUAAAAAAGGAAAGGUAAAGGGAGUGUGUUAGAGCACUAUUUUUUCACAAACUCUCCAAAUAUGGUAGUUGUAUUGGAGCACUGAAUAGUACUGGUUCGUUCAUUUACUGUUUCCUCAAACUUUCUGCUGAGAGUUCGUGCAUUGUGGUGACACUAAAUUAGCUGCUUAAUCUGCUGCAGGACAUCAAGCAGUGGGCGUAUGGCGCACCUAUCAGCUGGGUUCCUGUUGGUCAUCUUAAUUCUUGCUUGUGGUAGAGCAAACCAUGGCCGACUUAGUGAUCAGGCCCAGGGCCGGCUCUAGGGGAGCGGCAGGCCGUGCGACCGUCCGGGGCCCAUGAAGCUGCGGGCCCAAAACCAUAUAGGUAAUCAAUACAUAUAAUUUGGUUGGUGGACUUUGUUUCGGCCUUUCUAAAUGGCCCGCGUAACAACUGCGGCCUGCCUCCGUCCGUGCCAAAUCAGGCCUACCAAAUUGCUCCAUGACUAUGCUGUCCCUGAUUCUGUAUACAUAUACGCUCCUGACUCCGUGGUUGUGCUGUCGCUGAGCACCGCGUCUGGAGCGCGUCAGAGGAUAUAGGCGAGCCGCGAGCACCGUUAGGGUCAGAGGCGAGUGCUUAUUUGAAGUUCAAUCUUUGUUUUCUUUUUCGCCAAUUUCGUCAAAAAGCAAUCAUUUAAUUAAUAUUAUUUCUUUCGUGUAGUAAUUCCAUUCUUCAUCAAUUGCGUAGAAGGAGCAAUGCCUUACGACAUUGAAGGAGAAUCUUGGUAAUUCUAUCGUCAAUUGCAUAUCAGAUUCUCUUAACUAUUCCAAUGACAGUAGUAUCAGCCGAAAGUAGUUUCUCCAUUUUGAAACUAUUGAAAAAUUAUUUGAGAUCAACUAUGUCACAAGAAAGAUUGAAUGGCUUGGCUAUGUGCAAUAUUAAGAAGGAUGUUUUGGACGACAUUAAUCUUGAUACUGUUCAUGAAGACUUUGCAUCAAGAAAUAUAUCCGAAGAUGUUUUUCUACAAAGCACUAAAGCAUUAUAUUUUUAUUUGAGAUAAUCAUAAUGGUUAUUGUUUUUAGUUUUUUUGUUACACUAUUAUUAUGUUUUAUGAGAGAUAUAUAUUGCAAAAAUGAUGCGUAGCUCUCCUGAAUAUAUAUAUAUAUAUAUUGCAAAAUAAUUUUUAUUAUUCGUAUUAUAUACUUUAGUUUUGAUAUUAAAAAUAGUUCAACGGGUCCUUAUGUUUGCCCAAGGGUCUUCAAAAUUAUAGAGCCAGCCGUGAUCAGGCCAUUCAUCUUCAUGGUGGAGAAGGUGAUCGAAGGCAUGGAGCGCAAGCUGCCAUCAAUCCUGCAUGCACAUUAACAAGGAUGCGGAGGAAAGAAGAGCCUCCCGACCUGAAGCAGCAGCUUGGCUCAAAGACCUCAAGACAGUUGCCUAUGCGGUGCUGGCCGGUGGCGCGAUCCAACGCUCUUGGGCAGCGGUAGCGAUGGCUUCCUGUUCCGCGGGCAGCCACAGCAGCGGCGACGGCGCGCUCAGCGGCCUCAACCCGUGCGCGGGCCCACUAGGAUUAAAACAAUCUAACACAUCCCAAUCUUAAGGAAGUGCACCAGUAGGUUCUUUUGUAUCACUUUUGGAUAGUCAUCGAAUUGCCGAACCUUUGAGCAGCGGAUCGACCCCCGCAUGCACUCAUGUCACACCCGAUUUUAAGGACAAAAUCGAGUGCAUUAAAUACAUGUGUGCCAGGAUCAAGUUACACACAUGUACGAUAAUAGUGAAUAACAAAGAUAGUGCUAAAACGAAUAAAGAGAGUAUUAAACAUUAUUACAUGACCGAAAGUCUCAAUAAACCAUAAGCCUAAUUUAUUAUGCAGCGGAACUCCAAGGACGACGACGACUCCACAGGCAGCUGACUGAAGAAACGUACGCCUAGAACUCCUCAAAGUCGUGUAGGUACUCCUCCCAAUUAGCUUAGUCUGAACAACGGUUUUGCAAGGGUGAGUACUGUAACAACUCUACCUAAAUUAAGUACUUUUAACUCUAAACCAGUGAUAAAUCCCUAAGUUAAGAAGUGAAAUGACCUUUAUAAACCUAAGAAGCUCGUUUUGGAGUUUGAAUUAAAGCUUGAAAUUUUGUAUACAAACCUGAGUUUCUGCCCAAGUAAGAGUUGUAAAACUUUUUAAUUCCAACAACUUUUGUUAAAGUCACUUUGACUAAUUCGGAGUGGAAGGAAGUCAAAAACAUCAACCAAAGCCAGUUUUUCUAAAGGACCCUGAAAAUCUCUUAAGUCCUGAAAUUCGAGUUUUCCUCCAUCUUGCAAGCUUUCAUCUCCUGUUUUCCCUAUCUAAACUCAAGUCAGGGCCUGAAUGAAAGUUGUAGUACCUCAAGAUUGUUCCAACUUUGUUACACUGAUCCAGAUCCAAAUCGGGCCCGAACUUGUUCAAAACUCCGGUCAAAGGGAGGUAAACCAGUCAACUCACCCCUGGUGCCUUAAAAAUCCUAAGUCUGGAAUCCCAGAUUUUUGGCUAACUUUGACCGGAAAUAUCUUUGAAUCCUUUCACAAUCUAAACCAGCACCUUAAACAAAGUUUGAAGAACAAUCAGAGUUGAGCAAGUUUGUUUAAGGGAGUUUUGGAAGUUGUGUUGAAAGAUUCGGAGGAAGGAUCACUCCAAAGCUGGUCGGGCUUGUUGCCCGAAGGGAGCCUCGACGCCCGCGCGCCAGAGCACGUUCACUCGCGCGCCGCGUGCCGCGUGGCCGCCGGCCACCGGCAGCUCGCCGGCACCCUAUCCCCAGCACGACAGCGAUAGGACGAGAGCCACGGCGCCCAACCCGCGCCCGCGACAGGACGGAGCGAGCGCAGGGCUAGCCAACCGCCAGCCGCGCGCAGGUCGCCUUCCGCCUGCCACGGCUCUGCUCCGCCAACCCUGUUCCGCCCGUCCGCUGAGAAAGCUGACACGCCCCCGACGUCCCGCGCCUCCGCCCGUUCGCCCAACCCCCACGGUAGCCCUUCCGUCUCGCCCGCCCGACAGACCGGAAGCCCUAGAUGUGCGCCGCCCAAGGCCAAUCGCCGCCGAAGACCACCCGGAGCUCCGCCUCCUCUGCCCAAUGGCGUUGUCGGCCAAUGGCCGCCUCGCCUGAGCACUCGCCGCUCCCGGCCUUAUCCUUUCCCCACCGGAGCCCCGCCUCGACCCUCCGCCCCACCACGACCCUAUAAAAGAGAACCCCCUCACCGGCAAUGCCACCCCUUGCCACCGCCUGCACCUGCGCCACCGCUUUCUCCUCUGCGCCCCCGCUUUCUCCUCUGCGCUACCGCUGAGCUUCCGUGGAGCUCACCCCUUUGCGCCACCCCACACUCCGGCGAUUUCGCCGCCACCCUCUUGAGAAAGUUCCCCUCUCCGCUCCAGCCGCUUCUUCCAACCCACCAGCCGCCCGCUCCUCCGCGUGGUACUCGAGCUUGCUAGUGUCCGCAAGAAGCACCGCCGCCGCCGGAGCACCGUCGAAGCAACGCCGCCGCCGGACCACCGUCGAAGUCUCGCUGCUGCCCAAGCCUUAGCGCGUACAACUUCCCGCCCCAGCCUACUCCUGUUCGGCCCCAAGGCUUCACCGGUAGACCUGGAGGUAAGUGACCGACCCCUUGUGUUCCGUCUCGACCGACCCCUUGUGUUCAGCCUCAACCGACCCCUUUUCUUUCCGUCUCGCCCGACCCCUGUCCUUUUUGUUUCGCCCGACCCCUGUCCUUUUUCGUUUCUCCCGACCCCUUUGUUUCGGUUCGCCCGACCCCUUUUCUUUUCCUCUCGCCUGACCUUUUUCCCGUUCGCCUCGCCCGACCCUGCCAAGUUUCGCCGACCCUUUCUCCGUCUCGCCCGAGGGCUCGGCUGUAACUUUUUCUUUGACCCGAGGGUAUCGGUGAAAUAUUUUCGGGGAUUCCUCUGUGUUGAGUCUGAGGACCUCGGUACGGUUUUCCUUAAACCUGAGGGUCAGACCCUAAGUUUCCCCUAAUCCGACCCUCUCAUCCUGAUCUCCUCCAACAGAAGUUGAACUCCCCCACCUUUCCUGUAGCUUGGCUACAAGUGUCCGUGUUAAAACAUUAGUGUGUUGAAAUAACCAUCUAAAAUGUUUAACCCCUGCAUUGCAUUUCCGUGUAGAGUUGAAUCUCGCCGAUGGAACGUACGAGCUUCACCCGGCACCGGAAGAAGACCCCGCCGAGGAACUGCAUCCCUUCGAAGGAGAGCCCGAACCGGAGCAAGACCCCGAGGACCCGCAAGCUUUUCCUGAAGGCAAGCCCCGGAGCAUAAAUUCCUAUCUUGAAUUCAUGCAAUAUUAUUGAUUACUUGAUUGCGCAUUUACGUUUCGAGGAGUUGUAAUGGAACCUUAGAUGCAUAACUUAGUACCUUAUUUUUGAAUACUAGUUGCUAAGGCCGAGUAGUUGCAUUGCUUAAUAGGUUCCGGUAAAAGUCGAGUGAUCUCCUGUCACUCGCGAGUUAUAGGAGUUGAAUGUUUCAGAUAUGUCGCAACUAUAAGGACGACGGACGGGGUCAGGCUUAUGUUCGAUACUUGGUGGAUUGCCCCGUCUGUCUAAAUGAAAAUGAACUAAGGUCGAAACGUGUCGGCGUUCGUGAUCAAGUGUUUGAAAGUACUAAUCUCAUACCUAGUAUGGGAUGGGGAAGCCUAGUACCUGAUUGAAUUGGGGCGUGGCAUACCCUCCGGCUGUCCUUGGAACGUCGUUCCCAUGGUGCAUCAUGUGGGUGCAAGUGCGGUCACAGUGCAGCAAUAGGCCGGGACUGUGGAGCAUUGCAUGCCAAAGGAAGUUGGCCCUGACACGUGCCUAAGGGAUCGAUGGGGACGGCUGAUAAAUGAAGCGACCCUUCGUGGUGCGCGGAUGUCAUGAGAUUAGGUUUGCCAUGCAUGGUUAAUAAAUUCGAAUCGAUUCAUCUGCCUCUCAUAGAUUGGGACUACUUGAUCGCUAUUCUGCACUGAGUAAAGAUGGAACAUGAUGAUGAUUUUAAUCUUGAUGCUUGUUAAGUAAUUGCUUGGAAACCAUGUUUGUUUAGUAUAAGUUGCUAAUCUGGAAUGGAUAAAGAACAUAGAACAUGAGCUAAAAUGUUGAAAGUAAGGACUGACUUUAGACGCUUUUGGCAAAGAAAACCCCAGAGCCAGAAAGCCUUGCAUGUCUAGGUCUCGGUCGUGUCUUUUCGACAGGUCAGUCUUGCGGAGUACUAGUUGCUCAGCCUUGUUGUGGCUAAUCUUUUUCAGGUAAUGUCAAUAGUUUGGGUGUUGGUACCACUUGGCCGACCCAGCUUCCUCCAGGUUGGACCGUCGAGUGGGAUCCUUCCUUGGAUGGCGAAGGAAGAAAUUUUUGAUGUCAUGAACGGCUCCGUCGUGAUGUCAUGUAUCGACGUUUAGUUUUCGCUAUUUUCCUUUGACUUCGAACCAUGCAAAUUUCGAUUUGAAUUUCAGAAACUCUGAUGUAAUAAAUUGUUGAACUAUGUUGUCAUGAUGGAAUGUUGUAACCUCUGUGCUACUCACCUUCGCGUGAGCGAUGCUUCUCGAUCCUGUUUAUGUGGUUUAUCGGAGGAAAUCCGACGGUCGACCAAGUUGACUUGCUUAAAGUGCAUAAUCGCGUGUCAGACGACUUCAAUGCAUUUUAGUCAGGUUAAUUUGGGCGGUUCCGCCACAAGUACACUUAUGGUUGGUACUCAACAAGUCGUGGGGAAUAGUGUAGUGUAAGGCAAAUCAAGGUACGGCUAAGGCAUAAUUAGCAUUCGCUUUUAUUUAAGUUGGUCAAGUUUUAUUAGCAAUUAACUAAGUAUAAGUUCGUACCACUCGAAAUUAAACAUGAUCAUAAAUAAAGUAAACAGCAUAUGCAUGAAAUGACAACAAGUUAAAUCCAUCUUCCGAUAAAUAUUAUCAUGUGAGGGUCCAGGCCUCUCUUAACCGUGAGCACGGCUGAUCGAUCAGUUUUACACUCUGCAGAGGUGGCACAUCUUUACCCACAAGUCGCGUAAAAGUUCAAAAGAACUUUGGACCCAACCAUGCGGUGUUUGCAAGGCACCAUACCACACUUCUGAGGUGUGAUUGCAUAGGGACGCUACGAGGCCUUUACAAAGAUUCAUUAGUCAGUGGUAACCCGCUAAGGUUUCGAUGUCUGGCGUGCACCACCCAUCCCAGGCAAAAAUGCAACGACUCAGUCCCCCCUCUUGCCUCAUCAUGAGUAAGGUCACCCUAGACUAAGGUUUCUAAUUAUUCAGCCAAGACCAGAGCCAUUUAGUCUUGUGGUAGCACUAUUUUCCUGGGUGGUCGCUCCAUGUUACGAUUAAUAAUACAUGAUCUUAUAUUAAUGAAAGGUAUAACAGAAGUAAAGCAAGAUUAAACAUUGUUUUUAGUUAAACCACCAUGUACCAAGUAAGCGCUAAGCAUGAGCUACCCAACAAAAAGUAAACCGGUUGAUCAAGGCAAAGGUAAUUCAAUCUAGGCGAACCUUAAUUGGGACCCAUCAAUUCAAUCUUAACAUGUGCAUAGCAUAAAUGUUGAGUACGAGAAAGUAAAGGUGUAUAGGAUGAAAAGUAGUGAUCAAGGACACGACUUGCCUUCUUGGCCUUGCUCCUACUGUUCGUACUCCUCGAAGGCUUGGUCUUCAACUCCCUCGAACUGCGGGACGUCUACACGCGUCACACGAGCACAUACAAGCAAACAUGGGCAAAAAGUAAGAAACAGUACACCAAUCACAAUUAAACAGAGAAAACAAGCUUGAAAAGUUGAUCUACGCUUUAAAACGAACACGUGGAUAUAAAGAACGCGAAAAACGGAGUUAAGAUGCAAAAGAGAUGAUUAAAACAAGAUCCAGGGGCUUUUCUGUGAGAAAAACAAAACUUUUAGGGCAAAACCGCAAAAACCGAGGGCUUAUACGUAAAUACGCGUAUAAACCAAAGGUCUAACGCGCAAAAACUCCAAAACGGACGGCGGGUUGAUUUUUAGAAAACUCGGGGUUUAAACCGAAAAGCACGAGGGCAGAUCUGUGAAUAUUUUCAACGCGAUCUGGACCGCGGGUUGAUUUGCGGAAAAGGCAGGGGCUUAAGAGCAAAAUGGCGCGGUGCGGCACGGUUGACCGUUACGCGGUCUUGUUUGACUCGCUAUCGGCCGUCGGAUUUAGGUCCGACGGUCACGGUCGGCGAUGACUCGCGACGGCGACGGGAAAAGGGCAGCCAGCGGCGGUGAGCGACGGCGAGGUCGCCGGAGUAGGCCGAAACAACGCCACGGGGCUCGGUUUCGCGCGCGGAAAGCACCAGAAGAGAGCGGGGAACAUGGCGAACCCGUUUAGUGCCUUGGCGGGAGCCACGGCGCGGCGGCGCUCACCUUUUGGCGGCGGCGUGCGGCGGAGAGAGGCAGCGGCGCAAGAGCUUGCGGCAGCUAGGGUUUGGAGGGUGCUGGCACGGGUGCUCGUGGCCGGGGGAGGCGGCAGCUUAAAUAGGGGCGGACGGCUUGGAGAUAGAGGCGGCCCCGGAUUCAAACCGGUCGGGGAAUACGGCACCCACCCGGAGAUCUCGCGCGGCGGUUGCGGGCGGAGGAGAGUCUGGUCGGAGGUGGGAGACGAUGGCGGGUCCCACCUGUCGGCGGUAGCGGGCGGUAGGCGGGCCGUAGCGGCUGUGGGCUGGCGCGCGCGUUCGCGGGCCGCGGGAAAGGGGCGAGCGGAGAGCUUCGCAGGCCGGCUGGAGGUGGAGCGGUGGGCCGCACGGGCAAGGGGGUUCGCGGGCCGGCGAAGAAAGGCGGAGCGGGCCGAGCGGCUGGCACUGGGCUGCCGGCAGAGGAGGAGGCGCUAGGCCGAAAGAAAAAGAAGAAGAGAAAGGAAAGCAAGGUGCGGCCCAGGAGGAGAAGAAGAAAAAGAAAAAGAAGAGGGAAAAGGAAAAAGGUUUUGGAGAUUGAAUUUAAAUUUGGAAUUCAAAUUUUUGAUUCAAACCCAAGCAAUCAAAAUAAAUGCAGCAGCAUGAAUGCACAAUUAACUCCUAUGAUGAAUUAAUUAAAUUAAAGAAAAUGAAAUUAAAUGCCUAGAAUUUAAAUGACACCCUAAUUUGAGUAAAUUUUAAUGAAUUUGAAUUCUCUAAAAUUUUGGGUGUUACAACUCAUGAAACUAAAAGGGAAAUCCUUUUCUCAUAGCUGGAUAAUAGCGCGCGGCGACAGAAAAGCCAGCAUCGUUUCUGAUCUCAUUCACGUAUAUACAGCCAGUUGCUCGCUUCCGACCAUGCAGCUGCAUGAAGAAUAUGGACCGAAUGUUUAGUCAGUAAGCAAACACUGCCUAAAGUAAGUUUACAGAGCUACAUGCUGGGCAUUUCAGACUUGUUUAAACAGAGGUGCAAACAAAGUCGCCUCCAAGGAGGCAGUAGCACCCGCAAGCGUCACCGUCCACGCUUUCGCCCCGACCUCCAUGCUAUGCCAUGCCAGAAGCACCAUCACGUUCAGAGGUUUCACCUCUAUGUGUAACGCUGCGCUAUGGAGAGAUGACAAUCUUGGGGGGGGCGGGGGGGGGGGUACCAAUGACAUAUGGUAACAGCUUACAAUGAUGGUAGUGGAUAAAAGAAAUGGGAGCACCACAAACAAAAUCUAGAGUCUCAACAGUCAAAAUCAAACAAGAUCAAACAAUAAAAAGUUCUGAGUACCACAAGAGCACCAGGGGGGGAUCAUUUCCAAUGUGGAUGCAUCAGUGGAGAUCUCUCAACGUAUGUCACAUAAGCAGUGUGGUGUCCUCCAGGUGUCCAGGUUGGUGUGUUAAACUGCCUCCGAUCCACAGCCAUCUUAGAACACUGCAUUCCAAGUUUCCAACACUCUUCAUGGUCUCAACUCUACUUGAACAUUCUCAAUAAGCUCUAUCUUGCUCCAAUCUUCUCCUGACUCGCUGCAUCUUUGCUUAAACCCCUUUGUGCAUUGUGAUAGUGUCAAGGUAUGCAAAGAGGUCAGCCUUUCAAUGCACGGAGGCAAAGUUUUCAUCCAGUAGGUCUCUACUUUGAGCUCACGGAGAGAUGCCAUAUCUCCCAACCAUUCUGGCAAGGUUUCCAUGUUCUGACAGUUCAGUAUCUCUAGCUUCCUGAGGGAUUUCCAGCCUAGAAUGCACUUUGGCAAAGGUACAGGAUCGAUGCAACUGUCAACAGUUAAUUCUUCAAUGUCAAGCUGUUGAAGAGAAUCGGAGUCAGAAGAUAUAUUUUCGAUGUACUUGAUUUCCAUUUUGGAUGAUAAAGCAGAUGUUGAUAGCCCCAUGACUUGGUAGAAUGAUGGCCAAUGGAAUAAGAAUGGAAAUUGUUUAAUUCCAGAUAUGAUAUACCUGGCACUCCAAGGGAUUGAUGGUUCAAAUCUUACGUUCAAACAACAGUCUAUCUCUAAAUAUUGAAGUCCAGGAAAUAAUGUGCGCUGGUUGGAGGAUUCCCUGCCACUAUCACUGUGUCUUCCUCCCUGCUGCUCUCUUUGAAAUACGUUCUUAUCAUCCUUCUGCUCAAUACAAGGCAACGUCGAUGUUUUCCACAGUAACUUCCCUACUCUUCCUAAUGUAACUCUUCUGAGAUUUUUCACUGGCUGUGUGCUCAAGAUGCAUAUUGAUGAUUUGUCAUAUAGGUUCAGGUCAUUUGGCCUAUUAAUCACCGGGAAAGACGAGAUAUACAAGUCUUCAAGAGAUUGUAAAUAAUCUAGAUGGAGGUGACCAGAUUGAACAUCGAAAAGCUCCAAUCUUACAAGAUUUGGUAGCAAACGUAACCAGUUAGGAAAAUCACCACCAACAUAGUUCUUUAUGCAAAGCCUUUUAAGGUUUUCAUGAGGCUGGAGCUCUUCUAAUGCGACCUCGUUGAACACUGGCCCACUCCACUCCAAACUUAAAAAUUGGAGCUCCUCUUUUUGCGCCAAUUCAAUUAUGUUUGCUUCUGAGCUUGAUAGACCUUCGAGAUGUUUAAUAUUAAGUUCAAUAAGCUGGUGACUUGUAGUCUUUUGCAGAAUAGCCAUGUCGUCUGAUGAACUGACGGCAAAACUAGGGCCCUGCUAUUUUACAAAAACAUAGAAAAUCAAAAAUAAAACAUUCUGCUUUAGUCAAGAUGGCAUGCAUACUAUAUAAAACCAUCUCUAGGUGCAAACAUGCAGCUUAGAGCAUCUUCAAUAGUCAUCUAAUAAAUGUUUUCAGAUAAAUAGUUAAUAGGGAUAUCCCGAGUUGCUUUUGCAGUCUUCUAUAACCUCAUCCCAAUCCAACUACCGUGUUGGGAGAGUCACAGCUCCUCCUUUAUUUUGGGAGUUGGGGUGAAUUAUUUGUCGAAUAAUUAUUGGAAAAAAGGAAAGGUAAAGGGAGUGUGUUAGAGCACUAUUUUUUCACAAACUCUCCAAAUAUGGUAGUUGUAUUGGAGAAUAGGGAUCUGCUGGAGAUACUAUGUAAACCAUUGGACAAUUGAAUGCUGAUGAGGCUUAUGGAAACAGAGCCAGCCAAGGAUCCCUACCUAACUCUACCAAUCACGGGUAUGCACAGCAGAUAUGCUGGCAACAGAUCCUACCAGUAAGUUUUUUUUUCCAAAAAAAACAUAUCCUACCACGUACACAGCACAAAAAUACAAUUCUAAAAAAUUUGAUGUUCGCCUGGUAUAUCCCAAAAGUUGCAUGACUAUUUUAAUUUGGAACUUGCUUGGCUACUCCUUCCAUCCCAUAUUAUAGGUCAUUUUGGCAUUUCUAGGUUUAUGAUUUUUUGUUGUACACCUUGAUGUAUAUUAUAUCUAGAAGCUAUGAAUCUAAAAUUGUCAAAACAACCAACAAUUUGGAUAAUUUGGGAUGGAGGGAGUAUUUUAAUUUGGAGAAUCAGGUCUACUAUAAGUGCCACAAUUAAGCAAGGUAGUGGCAUAUCAAACAAUAAAUUAAAUAUUUAUGUUAGAAAGGGAUUCCAUUAAUUCAUUCAUAUAUACGAUAUUCACUCCCUAGAAUUAAUGAAAAUACAGUAACAAAUCACAUGCCUGCAUGAUAGAUUGAGCCUCUUGUUAUGCAACCGUAAUUUAUAGUAUACAUUGUAGAACAAAAAAAGUAAUAAUUAAAAACAGUGCAUAUUACCUCAUGUGCAUAUACAUGUUUGAUGGGUUUAAUCUUGUCGUAGUCCUCUCCUAAACGGCUGCAGCAUUCACGCAGUUUGUAAUUGCACUUCUUAAGAGUUAAUGUCUUCAAGGAGGUUACAUCCUUGAUGGAGUGAGGCAAACGCUGCAGUUUGGCAGAAUAAACUUCUAGAUGCUCCAGAGAUGCCAGAUCCCCCAACCAAUCUGGGAGUGCCGCAAAAUUACAACAACUGUCCAAUAUCUGCAAGCUCCUAAGGGAUGAUCUCCGGCAAGGUGAUCAGAUCACUGUCAGAUUUAAUAGUUAAAUACCACAAGUCGGUGCUGACGUAUUGGAGAAAUUCUGAAGCGUCAGAGAAGCCAAACAUAUUUGGUUCCAAUUCAAGUGUAAAAAGGUGUGAAGAUCCAACAAGUAUCACGGGUGAUAGUUCUACCUUACUGCAUGAUGCAACUAUAUGCUCUAUGUAUCCUUGAAAAGCUGAACCGAGGGUCAACGUGGAAAUAUUUCAUCUCCUUGCACCUUCUGUUCAUCAUCAUCCCAAGACAUCUCUCUAGCAGACAGCUCCAAGUUCGUGGACAGCACCUCCAAAUUCUCCAUCUUAUUAAUACAAAGUUCCCUUAAUUUCCUGAAUGGGUUCCUGCCUCCAUAAAAACUAGUAGCCACUUCUCGAAUAUUAGGCAUAUCUGAAAUGUGCAGUUCUUCAAGGUUUGCUAACUGUCCUAGUGAAGGGAGGCGUGCGCACCUUGGCUGCCCAUCAGCACUAUCUUCACAAGAUUUGGAAGAUCGAGAUUUGGAUCGCUCAUCCAGCCACAAAAUGUGGCAUCUCCAUAACCUUCUAUUUCAAGUGUUGAUAGGUUAGGAUGAGGAUGGAGUCUUUGGAGAACUGAAGAAUCAUCAGCUCUGGAGAAUUUUUUGCUCAGAUUAAGAUAUACAUUGUUAGGCCUAUCGUCUGAUCCAGAUAAACCAUUGCUGGAAUAAGAGUUUGCGUCAGCGUGCGCAGCUGGUCAUAUGUAGCCAACUCUCCAAGGCCAACUUCAUCAGCGCUAUUCACCUUCUCAAGAUUUGAAAUAAAUAGGUCUGUGAUUCCAAAGUCUGUAUUUUGACAGAGGAGAAAAUCACUUUCUUGUACUGCAAAAUACACUCCCUGUGAAGGAAGAGACAGAGUUAGACUAUUACCAAAUGCAACGAAAAUAUUUAUGCAUCCAUUCUGUUCUAGAUAAGAAUUAGAAAAUGUCCAUUGUAAAAGAGGAGUAACAAAGCACAGCCAAGAGAACUUACCUCAUUUAUCUUGAUGCAUUGAAUGUGAGGAAUAGCCUGUAGGAUUGCAGCUUUGUCUCUGUCCAAGAAAUUCCCAGGAGAUGACAAAGUUAGCUUCGCCAAACGAUCCAUGCAUCUCAAUUCAUCAAAACGGUCAAACAUCUCGAGGCAAUCAAUUUCAAGCUCAUGUACUGAUUGAAUGCCAGGAAGUUUCUGAAGAUCAUAGCUCUUACAGUUCGAUAUCUUGAGUUUUUGGAUGGUUUGUGUCAAUAUAGGGGUUUAUGACCACAGAUUAAUCUUGGAUAAAUCACUCUCGUUGAUGAAUAACUCCUUGCUGUUGGGGAUUCUUGGAUAUAGUUCCAGAUAACCGCAGUGUUCUAUCUGCAGAUAGCAAAGCGGAGGGAAUUCUUCUUCAUCAGUGUUCAUCAGUGCGGAAGAAGAUACAGGAACGUGUGUCAUCAGUGUUCUCUUUUUAGUCACUCCCAAAAAUAUUUCCAUCAUGUUCCUAAACUUUGCUUUUCCUUUUCCUCGGGAAGGAUCACCAGACUGCGCCCUGAACAUUUCAAGCCUCUUGAAUUCUUCUAAAGGAUCUAUUUCCAUGUCACGUAUCUCUUCACCAUCUUGGCAAAACCACAAGGUGCAUCUGGAUGCUAGUUUAACAAGCGACAGUCGCUUUAGGUUUCUGCAUGGUGCUAAACAUGCUUCCAUAAGUUUAGGCAUAUUACGAAUUUCAAGCUCCUCUAAGUUUGAUAGAUUUCCUAGAGUUGGAAGCUGGUCACACUCUACGAGAUCAGACAAUACCAGUUUCACCAGAUUUGGGAGUGUAGAACAUAUCUUCCUCAUCCAACUAGGAAACAUACUGUAAUUAUAGCCCUUUAUAGUGAGAUGCUUUAAAGCUGGAUGAGGCUUCAAAUUUUCUAGCACAUCCAUUGUCGUCACUUUGGGUUCCUCUGACCAUUCUAAUAAGGACCACUCCAAACUCAAAGAAGCAAGCCGAUGUCUCCUUCCCAAUUGCACCCCCUUUGCUUCCUCUGCAGACUUCACAACCUCAAGGCAUUUGAUAUUUAGUUCACUGUUUGUAGAAUCAAGGAUAUUCUGUAGAAGGAUAAUGUUGCUGCAAUCACCACUGCUGCCACUUUCUGAGACCACAAAAUCCGGUAGGGUUAGUAGGUCACUGGAGAUGCCUUCCUUUCAGAACAGUGACAUCCCUCCAACUGAAAGGUACUCAAGACGAUGCAUGUUUUUCAAUGUGUCAUGCAGCAUUUUCAGGCUCAACUCCUCACCAGAAUAAUCAGAGGAAUGCUGUGUAGAGGAGCUUGGAGCUUCAGAAUCUUUUCUUACAUCAAAUCCUGAUAAUGCUGAUAGGUUUAGGUACUCCAAAUUUACAAAUUUACCAAGAAAGCAGAUAAUUUUCAAAAUGCAAGGACAGCCAGAUAAAUUCAGAAAUCGGAGUUUAUUUAGUCUGGCACAAGAUUCAGAAAGAUCAAUAAGCCUCGCACAAUCAGAUAAAUCCAAAAUCUCCAGGUUCAGGCAGCCAUUGUUGCCCACACAAAAUUCAGGAAGUGCCUCAAGGCAAGUACAACCAGACAUAUUAAGAUAAAGAAGUCCCUUCAUUCUAUUGAAUGACAGGGUACGCAGUUGCUUAAGCUGGCAGCAGGAGGACAGAUUCAGAUGUUCCAAAUUUUUCAGUAGACUGAAAGAGUCUGGAAGCAUCUCAAGCUUUGAACAACAUGAUAAGUUCAAGAACGAAAGCUUUGGCAGCUCUCCAAAUUGUGAAGGUAGCUUUUGUAGGCUGGUACAACCUGAUAGAUCGAGGUGUUCCAAAUUUUCCAGUAGACUGAAAGAGUCUGGAAGCAUCUCAAGCUUUGAACAACAUGAUAAGUUCAAGAACGAAAGCUUUCGCAGCUCCCCAAAUCGUGAAGGUAGCUUUUGUAGUCUGGUACAUCCUGAUAGAUCAAGAUGUUCCAGGACUUGGAGUCUGUGAAUGGGACCUGGAAGUUCACUAAGAUUCGAGCAGCCAUGUAGAUCCAAAUAGUGAAGCUUCUGAAAGUCACAAAUGGAAGUGGAACUAUGGAGCUUUAAUUUUUCAGAAAAGGAGCUAUGGAGCUUUUUGAGGCUGGUAUUUUCUGAAAGAUUUAAAAACUGCAGGUGGUGCAAGUUUUGCAUAGAACUGGGUAGCUGGACAGUUUGCAUGCGUGGGAAGUCCAAUACACGCAGCCAUUUAGUUUCUGAAAAGGCACCCUUCGAAGGCUGACAUCCUGUGCAGCCACUAAAAUGAGCAGCCCUUGCUUUGAAAGGCGUAUCUUUGCAUUUUGGGUACUGACCUUUGAAAUUCAACAACAACGUGUAUCGAUAGUUGUCCUCUUUACCGAAGCUUCUUUGUUUGCCAUCACAGAUGGCAACUUCCUCAAUAGCAACUGACCUAGCAAGUUCAUGAACUAAAUCGUGCAUUUUGAAUAAUACAUUAUGCAUAUGAGGGUUAUUAAGCUUGGAGUAUCUUGCAGAAAUCUGAAAAGCAAAUUUGCAGGUCGAUUAGUAGUGCACUAGAUAUUUUUUUCAAGGACUCAACGGUAGGUCAAAAGAAAAAAAUAUAUAAAGAGCAUGCCAAUUUCACAUUUAGAAACGAGAUUGAUCAUUGCCACAUCAGCCGUCCCGCAUGGAGAUGCUAGAGCAGUCAAAGGGAGUGCAAAGGGUUUAAAAUUGCAACGAAUGAACAUUAUUUUCUCUCCAGUAGCAAUUGUGUCAAGACAACCAAGUUGACGUUUCUUCUAUCUGAAAUGAAAGAACACUGCCGAUUUAUUUAUUGCUAUAUCCAAUUUAUAGAAUGGAUAUACCAUUUAAUUGAUAUCUUUUCGUAAAAAUGAAACGCAUAAUAUGCAUCCACAUUUCAGCUUCGAAUUUUACUGGAUAGAGAUACAUGAUCUAGGCUAUUAAGUAGCGACUCAUAAAAGCUAAAUCUUGUAACCAAUGGUGGGUCAAUAAUGAUCAUUUUUGUAUAUAUGUAUCGACUGUUGUAAAAAAGUGAUUCGCUUUUCCUAUGCAGUAACCUUCUGCUCCUAAAGAAUGCCAGGAUUGUGUUUUAAUUAUUGCAAUUACUAUUCACUUAGUAACUUAACUCGCUGUCUUGGCAAUGUUGUAGAGCUUAUGCCAAAAAUACAGCUCAGCCCUUUUUGCUCAGAUUCCAUGACUUUAUGCAGAGAAAACUUGACUUAAAACAAAACUUAGGCUAUGUUACUAGUAAUUUGCAACCUCAGGGAGUUUACUUGUCAUGUUUAUUUGCUUGGUUGAUUUCAGUAAGCAUAAAACUGGCAACUUAAGAAAUAAUGUUCGUGUCGCUAUAUUUAUCUUUUAAAUAAUGUUGACUCAAAUAUUUAUAAGGUGUUAGAAUUGAGGAACCAAUACAACCAUGUCCGAAUGAUUCAUCGUAGGAUCACUCCAUGAAUUUUACACCUUGAUCAAUAUGCUUGUGCGAAAUGAAGUGGAUUAUUCAAAACUAGAAUCAAAGGAUUUAUGACUAUCUCAUUCUUCAAACCAAAGAUUAUAUUGAAUUAGUAGUAGAUAAACACCAUAUUCUGAAAUAAGAUUAAAAUACUAAUAAAUCAUGCGAGAAAUGACAGCACAACUCGAUACAAGGAAAAAAGUUAACUGUACCAAGCUUGGGUAUAUAAUAUAACUCACCGAGAUAGAGUCACUUGAAGCCUCCAGGAAUGACAUCUGACAAAGUUCUAGUAGGUAUUCCUCAGCACGAUGUGUGGUCAGAACAAAUCUCAGAGCAAUCCACUUAUGAAUCAGUUCUCUCUUCUCUAUGAUGAAGCCUUUUGGGAAGGCAGAAAAGUAUACAAAGCAAGGUCUCAGAUAAUAUGGCAUGUGGUAGUAACUAAUCUUCAAGGAUGGUAAUAUUAAAGUAGAUGUUGUUCCAGUCGUUGGAUCGCAUUCGUCUUCCCACAGGUCACUCUUCAGUGUUUCUUCCUACUUGUGCAUCGGCAUAUCUAGCAGACGAUCCCCAAGAGACUUGACUGCCAAAGGCACUCCACCGCAUUUCUUUACUAUUUUCUCCCCCAUAUGUACCUUUGCCAUUUCAGAUUCUUUAAUUCCAUUUGGAAAUGCCUUAGCUUUGAACAGCUUCCAGCAGUCAUCGUACGGCAAGGCACCCAACUUGAAUGGCAACUCACGAUUCAGCCGCUUAGCAACCUGUUCACUUCGAGUGGUCACAAUUAUCUUUCUGCCUGGUGCGCCACCUUUCAACAUCGCUUCUAUCUUUUCCAAUUGUCCUGUGUUUUCUUCCCAUAAGUCAUCUAAAACAAUAAGAUACUUCUUUCCACGGAGGAUCAUCUCCACGCGCAUCUGCACGGAGGACAGGUCAUACUGGUUACUCUGUCCAUCUACUUGGGAGAUAAUUGAUCGACCAAUCUUUUCAUCGCUAAAACUUGUGGAGACAUAAACCCAAAUCUGGAUAUCAAAAUCUCUCUUAGUUGUAUUGUCGUCAAAAACCAUUUGGGCGAGAGGUGGUUUUACCCAGACCACCAAAGCCAUAUAUAGGGAUGAUGAUGUGUUUGCAAUCUUCUUGCAGCAACUUCAUCAACUCUACCUUGUCCUUGUCCCUCCCAAGUAUACCUUCUACAAGGCAAGGGCCUGUAGCCCUUGUCUGGAUCACGUCCUGGUCGUCAGAGCUUGUGUCCACCAUCAAGUCGAACUGCCUCAGCUUUUCUAUGUCGUCCAAUCUUUGCUUCAUGGCCUUCAACUUGCUAGGCAUGUUUAGCCGCAACUUCAGAGGAAUGGAGAUCUCCUGCAAAUCCAUGUCGUGAAUUAGAAAAGGGACGAGAAAUGGAAAUGGACAUAUCGACAUCAAACACACUCGAGACCUACCGUUGUAGAUUUGUUAUUCUGAGAGCCAUCUUUAUUACUCAGGAUAUCACCUUCCAAUUCCAAUAAUAAUGUCCUCCAUGUCAUAGGCUGCUGCCUUUAGCUUCCUCAUCCAGACGCAGACGUCACCAUCUUUCAUCAGCCGCUUCUCCGCCCUAACCAUGCUAUUUUGGAUGGUAUCCACAGUAUCCUUGAGGCCUUUGAGCUCAUCACCUAGCUUCAGCUGCGAGGCGAUCGCCUCCCAGAUGGCACUACCUAGCAUGCCGCCGACCUUCUUCAAUGCGGCCGAGGCAAGAAACUCCCCUACCCCCACCAUGUGGCUGAAGGGGACGCCAAUCACACAGUGUGAUGAGUGCUUGACGUCAGGCCGGGUGAGGAACAGUCCCAAGAGAAAACUGGAGAAGACACAGCGAGAAAUUGUCAGAGUCUCUCUGUUUUUGACCUGAAAAUCACAACCCUUGCAGCAAACUCUGUAUCAAGGACAGGCAGGAAAUAUUUACAAGCAAGGAGGAAAAGGGCAAAUAUUUCAGUCAGAAUUGAGACAAAUAAUAGCACCCAAGGUGCGCUUUAGAUCGCACUCUGUUUCAAUUAAACUGACUCGAGAUGGAAACCCCAAUUCGGAUGCGAGGUGGAAGGAAAGAAAGGUGAUUAGUUCUCAGCUUUUACCGUGAGGGUGGUGUGUUGUGUCCAGCACCCGAUGGGAUGGCAGGUAACUAAGGCCCCGUUUGGGAGGGCUUCAGCUUCGGCUUCUCUACUGGCCGAAGCUUGAGCCCUACCAAAUGACGAGAUGGCGAAAGGCUUCGGCGGAGAAGCUCCGCGAAUCGCUCUGACUGAAGCUGAUUGAGGGAGCGGGAGCUAAAAAAAAUUGGCUCCCCGCGGCUUCUCGCGUCGUUGGACACCCUUGUGCUUCGAUGGGGCCCGCGGGUGGAGGUGGCUGGCGGUGGGCGCAGACGAGGCAUGAGGAUGGCGGCGCGGGAGCAGAAGUGGCCGGCUGCGGACAAGCCGCGACAGAGGACGGCCCAGGACGACCGGCGGCGGUGGGCACGGGGCGGAGGACGUCCGGCGGCGGCGGGCGCGGGGCAGAGGUGGCCGGCGGCGCGCGCUGGGGCGUGGGCGCGUGAAAAGGGGAGGCGGGGGCGCUAGGGACGUAUCUCAGAUGGCAGCGGUGAGAUUCAGCCGGGAGAAGGAGGCCGGGUCAGAUCUUUCACCGGGUGAGAGAGGGGCGCGGCGGAUGGAACGGUCGGUGGUGGUGGAUGGAACGGCGCGUCAGUGGAUGGAACAACGCGUCAGGGUGCCUGGGAAUCAGGGGGUGAGGAGGUGACGAUAGGGUUCGGGGCGCGAUCGAUCCUACCUCAACGUAUGCGUAAGUAGAAGAAUGCAGUGGCGAGAAAUGCGUACGCGAUGGAGAGGGCUAGAUCCAGAAGUAGCAAGUUGCCGAUUCGUAGAAGCGGAAUAAUAAGCUAGUGAUGAAACAAUGCGUUAUUAGCUCGCGUUACGUUGUUUAGGUCCAGAGAGGAGCAGCAAACUCCAUAGCUUAUAGUUUUAAUUUCUCAUUGUUUAUUGCGGCCGGUCUUUUGACAGUCUAGGGACACAGUCGUCGUAGAUCUCGGGAGCCCUGGUGGAAAACAGAUCAGCUUGCGGUUGUUUAUGUAGAGUCUCUCGAGACAAGGCAUGCAUGGCUAUACUCCCACUCACCAAGCCCAAACAGUGCCAGCUCUACUAGUUUAGUUAAUAAUGUUUUAAGUGACUUUUGCCUUUGCAGAAUAGCCCAUUCUACUACGGAGAGGCGACGAACAAGCUGACCAUGUACGUAGCUGCCUGCUUGUCGUCGACCACCACCGCAGAUUCUUCUCUUGCCAUGCAUGUACUCAGCAAAGGAGCGGACCACAUCGUCGUGCAUCUCCAGUUAUCCAGUUGCUCAGGCAGUCCAGCUACUGACCAUGCAGGACUUGUCAAAACAACAUUCCACUCACGCUCGCCUUGCGUAUCUUGUGCUUAAGAGCCCUCCAAUCGCUUUAAUUGCAAGUGGUAAUUAUGCCUUCACACUUCUCAAGAAUUUCCAUCCCAACGUUUUUUAGGCGGUCAGUGCCGACUACCUGCCAACAGUUAAUUAUUUAUUGGAUUAUUAUUUCUGACUACAGUAAGGUCGUCGCGGCACUACUUGCUUAAGUACAUUUUCUUACGUUCCUGUUGUAAAAAACAAUUGGUCAUCAUUUUUUUCAUCCCUUGCACAAAGCAUGAACAGACGAUCCAAUUUCAAAUGGGCUUUACAAGGAUUUUGCAUAAACCGCCACAAAAGUUGUAACGAUCUUACGUAAAUCCUGCAUUCCAAAUGGGGCCUAAACAUUUCAUUUGGGACCUUGGAAUGCAGACUAGAUUGUGUUCCAGUAGCUUGUAUCGUCUUUCAUAAUCACGUUGCCUUUUGUUUUAAAAGCAACAAUUUCAACUAAUAAUGCCAUAAGAUCAAAUUUGUCUACUCCAUCUCAUUUCAAAUAUAAUUCAGUCGAGCUUGUGCACAAGAAUUCAUAAGGUAGGUGGUGAAGUGACACUACUUGCUUAAGUACAUUUUCGGGCAAAAAAGAUUUGGCUACGUUCCUGUUGUAAAAUAAAACAAUUGGUUCACCCUCAGCAUCAGUUCAACAAUGGCCGACUCAUCAAACUCGGACGUCAUCUUCUGUAUAGAACUUGAACUUGAACCCGGACUCAACAGUUAGCAUCCUCGGCUCCGGAUUGAACUUGAACUCGAACCUGUCUGCCUCCUUGUGGAUGCCAUCAAGCCUCUGGUUGACGUCCCUGAUGCUGCUGCCUAUCUCGUGGGCGAACACGGGUUACGCAGGCAGAAGAGCAAUCGCUGGAAGAAAUCCUGCAUCUUUUCUAUGCUCCUGCACGUGAGGGUGAAGAUGGGGUUCCGUAGGCACAUCAACCUGCACUCAUCAGCCUUGAGUUGGCACAGGUCUAGGAUGUCUGUGUGGCAUCGUACAUGGCGUCCUUGAGCUUCCUCACCCAUCUUUGCACACUCUUGUCAGUGACGCGCACCUCCUCUCUGCAUCCGCGAGGAAAGCUUUGAGGCAUCCGGGAUGGCGGCCAUGGCUCCAGAGUACGAUCUAGCUAGUACACAAUACAUGAUCCCUCCGUUUCAGUGGGAUGAGCUCAACCGGAUCUCAAAGGAAUAUACUAUAAGGGUUGGGAUUCAACUCACACUCCUUUGCAACCAGAUAUGGGUUGAAGCGGGUCGAACCCAUCCUAACCCACUUUGACUCCAGAACCAAACACAUGAAAAAAGAUUGCACGAGGAAAAAGAAGGAAAGAGAAAUCGGCGACUCGUAGCAGGGAUGACUGUACGUUGAUUUGGUUGGUUCGGAGCUAAUGUCUUAGAAGAAAUAUCUCUGUAGGAUAAAGGAGAGAAAGUAUUUUUAUUGUGUCACGGCAGGAAUAGAGCAUUCGUCUAACGCGUUUGUCGUUGUCAAGAUUAGCGGAUCAAGACUUAGACUAGUAAAUUUCUUUUAUGCGCGUAAGGCUUCGGAUGGUGGCGUGGGAGACACGGGGUUUAGACUGGUUCGGGCAAGGGAAUGCCCUACGUCCAGUAUCGGGAGCUGCUCGUGUUGCCCACGCGGGGUUCUGUAGUAGGGGUUACAGGAGUGCGAGAGAGGGAGCUGAUCCCAGGUCUCUUGGGUGUACACUGAUGCUCUAGGUGGGUAUGAGUGUGUUUUGUGGCUUGGAGAACCUCCUUUGUCUCAGGCCCCCGGUUCUCCUUUUAUAGCGCAAGGAGGCCACCAAGGUUACAGGCGAGACCGGGUGUAUGGAGAAGUAAAAGAAAUAAACAAAGCUAGGUAAAAUACAACACAAGGGGAGGGACCAAGUCCCCAGGCCACCGGCAUCCUCGCCGGCCUUCGGCUCCUGCCGGCGCGUCUGCCGGAGGAGGGCGGCCGCCGUCACGUCCCGUCGAUGGUCUCCUCGGCGGCUGUCGCCGCCAGGCGUGAUGAUGGUGUUUUGUUGUGGCACCUGUGUCCGUUGGGGCAUUAACGAGUCAAAGUUAAUGCCCUCUCACCGUGUUAUCUUGUCUAAGUUUAAUUACAUAGUCAUGAAAUUGAUUAGAUUUUGUUAACUUAAUUGGCUUGUAAGCGGUAGGCAAGAUGUCUUUGGUGAUUGUGCUCUAGUCUUUUAUGUUGAUAGAUUGAGGUUAAUUCCCUCUCAUUCGUGUUGCCUUGUCUAAGUUCAAUACACUUAUCAAGACAAUUAUUAAGAUCUAUUAAUGUAUCUAGGUUGCGUAUAGUCAGCAUCGGCUGGUCCUUGUUGUUAUGUUCUAAUCUUUUAACUUAGUAGAUUGAUGCCAAUACCCUCUCAUUCUUGUUACCUUGUAUGAGUUCAAUACACUUGUCAAGAUAUUGGCUAGAUCUGUUAGCUUAUCUGAUAAGCAUGUGGUUAACAAGGACUCCCCUUUAUGGUUGUUGCGUUACAAUGCUUUGUCUUAGCGCGUCGGCUGAGAUAGCCGAUGGCACAUGCCAUUAAUGUUUUAUUUAUUUACACUGCAUGCUUACAUUAAAUAUCUAUCUGUCAUAGUGUUUAUUCCAAGAAUGCCUACCCAUGAGUUCGAAAGGCUUCGUCGCCGAUCGGCAAUGUUUACCUUGUCAAUUUUCAGGUCAAAUUGACUGACAGGCCUUGCACCAUUCGCGAGCUGAUUUGGAGCCUGCACUGGAGGUAAGCAGAUCUCCCAGAUCAUCCGUGUUGUUCAACGCAGAAGCCUGAAGUCCGGAUUUUGCAUCAACAGGUAUAGAGAAACAAAAGGAUCUAAGGAAAUAAAACAAAAGAAAAUUAAAGGGUAUUGAGCUACGCAGACAUAGCCAGAAUCAAAGAGGGUUUGGCUCUGAGCAACAGUAAGGAGAAUUCAGACAUAAAUUUUCUUUUACAAGCUUCGAUUAUAGGAUCAAUGUUACUGAAAAUCCGUUCGUUUCUAGUGGACCAUAUGCUCCAUAACAUUAAAAUGAUGACCUCCAUGAAGAACUGGACUUGAAGCUUGUCUUUGAUGAGCUUGAAAAUUUGAAGGAGGGGCCUUGUUGUUAUGACUGACACCCCUAUAGAGGCCCGUCAAGCCUUGGUAAAGUUACAUCUUAAGAACAUAUGGGCAACCAUUUCUAGCUUUUGAAGGAUUCACAAGUCACAAGUAUAAGAGUCUAGGAUCAUGUUUUUUCAUCUAAGAAACUCUCUUGUGCUUAAACGGUCCUUGAGACUAACCAGAAGAAUACCUCGUGUUUCAUUUGGCAUUUUGAACGUUUUGAUGUCCAAUGAUAACGGGAAGCGGCAAGACGGUGAUGUCUUGCAGUGUAGCAUUGUCAUUAGUUGACGGCCAAGAGCAGAAAAAAUUAUGAGAGAAGGAAUGAUAAUGAUUUAGCCAAGGUUGAGUGCCGAUGUGAUAUACAACAAGGGAGAACUAGGAAAUCGAUGUUUGUCAUGCACAUCCAUCCGUAGUAAGCUGAAUGAAGUGGUUGACUAGAGAGAAUGAUGUGCCCAGUAAGUGAUGCAUAUUCCAUGACCACGGUAUAGCUGGCAAAGAUCACAAAGGAGAACUCUAUCUUACUAUUACUAAUUGGAGGCUCCUUUUGAAGCCUCCAGGUGAAGCCACCUAGGAUUACUAGGUGGACACUCUAAAAAAAGAGAGAAAUCCUAGAAAUUCUCACAAAAAAGCAAAACAUCCAACCAUCAAUCUAUAGCUUCAAAUCAUCAUAGCCAUUGGAUCUAUUAUAUUUUCUAAAAAAUUACCCACCUAUGCCAUUAUGAAAAUAGUCUAAAGUAACCCCCUAAAUCUAUAUAUAAAUUACCCACCCCACCUCUGCCAUUAUAGAAAAUAAACUAAAGUAACCCCUAAUCUUAAUCAAAAUUACCCACUUAUGCCAUUGUAAAAAAUAUUUAAAAUAACCCCCUAAUUUGCGACUGAAUUGCCUACCACUAUUACUUAAAAAACUUAAAGUAACCCCUUAAAUUUGCAUCUAUAUUACCCACACAUGCUAUUAUUAAAAAUAACAUGAGGUAAUAACCCUACGUAAUGUACAACAAUAUAUGAUUCUAAAUUAUCUAUAUCUUGCACUAUUGGUAUACAAUAUAAUAAUUAAGAUCUAUACGUAUGAUGUGUGUCACCAUUUAUAAUUAAAGAUAUAAAAUGAUGGGAAUAUAGAUUUCUAUGCUAAAUUAAAGAUAUAAAGUGAUUGCAUAGAGUAAUUAUUAAUUAAAAAUUAAUCAAAACUGAAUAAAGAUAGGUACAUGUAUUAUGUUGAAGUAUUGAAAAAAUAAGAGAGUAGUAGGUAAACAAUUUUGAUCAUUAGCUAAGAGUUUAACUUCUAAAUAAUUUUCAAAUACAAUAGCUUCUAAAAAUAUUAGUCCGUGCGGGAGCACGGGUUGAUGGACUAGUAUGUAAAAUAAUAUGGGAACAUUUAUUUAUGGGGCUACAACCACCGGAUAUUGGUGAUCAAAGUAAAGAAAGGAGAUUGUCACACCCGGUUUUAAGGACAAAACCAAGUGCUACCUAUAUGUAUGCCAGGAUCAAGUUUCAUACAUAUAGUGACAUCAUAAGUGAAUAACAGCAACAGUAUCACGUAAAAAGAUACAAAUAAAGACUUACGAGACCAUCAGAGAUACACAGCUUAAAUACUGAAAACGGAGACUCCAAACUUCACAGGCAAUCGACUGGGGGUUGCGUACGCCUAGAACUCAGCAUCAUCUUCGGAACAUUUCACACACCUUCUUCUUCUGAGCAGCAGUAAGCAAGGGUGAGUACACUUAUGGUUGGUACUCAGCAAGGCCACAAGAAAUAACCAGAAUAACGAUUUGAGUCCAUCUUCAAGUUUAAUUAAUCAUGUGAGGGUCCAGGCCGCUCUUAACCGUGAGCACGGCUGAUCGAUCAGUUUUACACUCUGCAGAGGUGGCACAUCUUUACCCACAAGUCGCGUAAAAGUUCAAGGAACUUUGGACCCAACCAUGCGGUGCUAGCUAGGCACCAUACCACACUUCCGAGGUGUGAUUGCAUAGGGACGCUACGAGGCCUUUACAAAGAUUCGCUAGCAAUGUGGUAACCUGCUAAGGUUUCAGGUCGAAGCAGAACAUAGCAGUCCCCUAGUUGGUAUAGUGUCUUAGCAAAGCCCACUUCCCCCAAGAGCGAGUGCUAUAUCCCAUCAACGCCUCCCCUCUUGCCCUUUCGGUAAGAUCACCCCAGACUAGAGUUUCUAAUUAUUCAGCCAAGACCAGAGCCAUUUAGUCUUGUGGUAGCACUGUUUUCCUGGGUGGUUCUCCAUGUUCCGAUAACAUAAUCAUGAUAUUAUUAACAAAGCAUAGGUAGAAGGAUGGUUAGGGACACUUGCCUUUCUCCAACAGAAAGUUACUCUUACUGCUUUUCAGCUCUUGCUCUCUUGAAGCUCUUACUCUUCAAAACUUCCGAAUAGGGAUCCUUCUACUCAGAGCAAACAUCGGCACAAACAUGCAAGCAACAAACAAGUACAACUAAGAACAAUACACCAAAAUAAAAGGAAAGCUUUAAAAGAGCGUACUAAACGACAAGGCUCGAUCUAAGGUCACGCGAAUGUAAGGAACGCUUAAAACGGAACUAUGGUUGAAAAGAUAAAGCUAUCGAGCAUUUUAAAUUAUAAAAGAAAGAUGAGAGCUACAAGCUUCAUUUAUUUUAGUUGAGAAAAACAAUGUAAAGAUAUUUCACAGAAAUAUCCUUAGUUAGAAUUAAUCAAGUCAUAUUUAUAUUUUCAUAAGAAAAGACGGUGUAAAGCUUAGUCCAAUUUUAUUUAUAAAUAUUUAAGUAUAAUUUAUGCAAUUUAAACAUUUAAUAAAAAAAAUACAUGUAGACAUCUAAGCGUAUAGCUUUACAUUUCGACUUCAACUAAGUAGAUUAAAUUAAAAACAUAUUUAUAUUUAUAUUAGCCAAAUUAAUAUUUAAUUAUGAAAACUCGAGAUAUAACCUAUAUAUAUUUUAUUUAGAAAAAAAAUUAAAUAAACAUUAAUCAAAUUGAAUUUAAUUUAUGAAACACCAAGGUAUAACUCUAAGUGGCUUUUAAUUGAAAGAAUUAUUUGGACAGGCAUUAAUCAAUUUAAUAUAAAAUAUAUUUUCAAAAACAUGUGUGAAGGAAAACUUUACCACUAACGUGUAAUUUACAUCAUUAUGAAUCUAAUGCAACUUGAACGGACAAAAACGGAAUUAAAACGUAGAAUCUAUGGUUUAAACAAGGUUGUAGGGGUCUAAACAUAAUUAACCGUAUACUUGGAGGGUUAGCUGAGAAGAUUACCAAGACUCAGAGAAUAGUCACUGCGAAUAGAUGGAUCUUCGGGGUUAGAUCUGCAAAAGAGGAUGGCUUGGAUCAGAUUGCAAGGAACUGAAAGUUACAGGGGGUUUUCUACAAGGUUUGAAAGACACAAGAAAUAUGAACAAAAAUUAACAGAUUUUCCAGGGGCUAGAUCGAAAAGCAGCGCUUCAUCUUCUUCCUCACGCCAGGAGCAUGGUGCAGCUCCUGGCCGGCGGCCUGCCGGCGUUCUGGUGCGGCGGACGCCCGGGCGGGUGGUGCAGCGCGAUGCGCAGGGCAAGGAGGCGAUGGUGCGCGUGCAGGCAAUGGCACAAGCGAGCCGGAGGUGCUGGGCGAGCAGGAUGAACGGACCAGGCGUGCUGGCCCAAGUUGCGUACAGAAACACAGAAACAGGAGGGAAAGAGAGAAGGAGGGGGUAGCCGGAAACGAAAUCCGAUCUCGCGCAUGAACGGCAAAAUGGAACGAUAUUGAUGAGACGAACAAGAUGGUGUGCUCACCUUCGGCCAGAGACGAACAAUGGCGGCGGAAAAGCUCGCCGGAGUUGGGGAAGACGACGGAGCCGACAUCGGAUUCAUGCAAUUCACCACACCACGGCGUAGAGCUCGAAGAGAGGAACUCCAUGGUGGUGUCGGUUUUCGCCGGAAGUCCACGGUUUCGCCGGAAAAGCUCGCCGGAGUUUGACGAAGACCGAACUUUGACUUCACAUCUACGGAGUUAGGAGAUGCAACUCGUGAAAAGGUUUGCAGAUCUGAAAUCCUCGCGUCGAGACGAACGCGGUGAUAUAUAUAUAGGCCACACUCGGAAAAAGAUAUUUUCGAGUUGACUUUUUAUUUUCGGAAUUUCUGAUUUUAUUUAUCUGCGCGAAAACAAUUCCAGAAAUAGCUGGACUCGUUUUCUAAAGCGAGAAAAAUACCUAGAAAAUUCCGAAAAAUCUGAGAUAAAUCUCAGAGAUGGAUUGGGAUACAAAGAAUCCAAAUAAAAUACUUGGAGCUCGUGAAAAGGAUUCUAAAGCCUUCCAAAAAUUGGAUUUAGCUCUAGGAAAAGGAGAAUAAUUUUCAGAAAAAGAUGGAAAAAAUCCUCACAAGGGUCUGGGCAACGUCUAAACGCAUUUUUCAAACUUUUACACUCAAGAAACACCAAGAUGCAGUGACAUGAAUGCACAGACAUAGAACAACAUUAUUUAAUUUAGAAAAGCAAACAAUUAGUUUCCUAUACUAAAUUUCCUGUAAAGAAAAAUAAAUGUUGGGAAAAUUUUAAAAUGAUGAGAAAAUUAUUGUUUAUUUAUUCUUUUUAUUCACAUCCUGAAAUUUGGAAAUUUCAGGGUGUGACAGAGAUGAUUACUUCUGGUGCUAUACAUUGAAUCACUAACCUUAAUCAUGCAUUGUACCUCAAACUCUCAAGCAAAAAUUUACAUCACCAGCCAAAAUAAAUGUCAUAUUCAUGUUAAAUAUAUAUAUAUAUAUAUAUAUAUAUUAUUGUCAGUACGCACCAAAAAGUGUGUGUGUGUGUGUAAAAGGUACUCCCUUUUCUCUCCUAUCAUGUUCAAAAAAUACAGAAUAUAAUGAUGGAAAAAAGCAUAGACGACACUUUGGUCUGGGCCAUUAGGACAAAAACAAUUACAAGGAUAUGACUAAACAAAACUAUUUGCAUCCAUUUAUUUAUAAAUAAACAUCCAAAAGUAGGUUAAAAAAUAGUACCCACCCUAUUUGUGCGGGCCACAUUGCUAGUUUGACUCACAAGACUGAUCAUUUAUAGCAUGGGGAGAUGGAAAGGGAGAAGAACACAGCGCUUUUAUAUUCCCCAGCAUGCAGCUGGCAAGAUUGUGGAUGAGCAUGACCAUCACGAGCUGGUUAAUAGCCAUGGGAUCGACGACGAACCUGGUUCCUCCAGCCUCAAAAUGGGUUUUACGAUUUCUCCGGACCAUUUGGCAAGCUCGCUCUCCAAGUGUUGCUUGAGGCCGUCAUCAUAGGGACUGCUAAGCCAGACUUCCACCAGACCUUUUAUCUUCUGUAGGCCAGAGAACCGCAGUGCUGACACACACCUGCAGCGAAUCCUCAGCACCUUAAGAUAAAAGUCAUCGUGAAACGUUAUUGUAGCUGGCAACCUGGCGUCAUAAGAGAUCUCGAGGAAGGAUAAGAUGACAGGAUUUUGUCUACCAAAAUGGAGGUCAUGAAACUCUGACAAAAAAAGACGUGUAUUCUCCGGCCAACCAGGACUGUCAACGAGAUCUUGCUGCAACAUAAUCAUCUGUAAACUCAAUUUUGUGAGAUUCUUAAGCUUUUUGGUCCAUACUGGUAACUUGCUUACCAGCCCGUAUAACUUAAGACUCCGUAGGUUCACUAGAUGUUCGAAAGAGAUGCCGUCCAUGGUGCCAGCUUCAUCGUCCUCAUCGACCUGCAUUCUCAAUGACAACGAUUCCAGAUGGGCAAGACCUGAGAUGGCUGAAAAAAGCUUCCAGAUGUUGUCCCGGUUAAUGCCUGACACUCCAAGUUUGUGCAACUGAGUAAGCUUCUUGAGCUCCUCUAGAAUGGCGUCCCCUUUUCCAGUGCCAAUAUCAACGUCACCCAGCGUGUGCAAGUUAGAAAGUUUCCCAAUACCUCUGGGCACCUUCACGCAAUUAUGAGAGCCAUCGUCGAGAUGGUGGUAUCUGCUCAACUUGGACAACAAGCAGGACCCCAGCUGAGUAGCACAUGGCCAGCUCAUUGGCGUUGCGGUUAGUGAUGGGUUCUCUGCUGCUUCUGUAGCUUGAUGAUGCUUGGUGGUACCAGCACGAAUGUACUGCAGUUUCUCCAGCUUGAUGAUGCUCUCUGGUAGCUUCAUCACAGAUGUUUCCCUGAUAUCCAGAGUUUGGAGGUGCUUCAGAUCGCCCAGGGAAUCUGGCAGAUGAGUGAUUUCUCGGCACCUUCUCAGGGAAAGGAACUUCAAGCAGGGCAGCAGCUUCACCAUCUGCUCGACGUCACCAUUUGUUACACCUGAAGACACGUCCUCCAGAUCAAGCACACGGAGCAGCCUCAUCUUUUCAGAGAUGAAGAACGAUUUCCACUCACCAAACACUGUCAAAGAUCGCAGCCGGGAAAAGUCAAUGCUCUUAAACACAUUUCUGUCUCUGUCCCAGCUUCGAUCUAUGGCAAGGUGACGUCCCGUGCGAUGGAAGUUCUUUUCGCAAUGGCCCUCUAGUGCAAAGACAAGAUUAUCUUCCAUCGACUGUGAUAUGAUGUAUUCACGGAAGAAACCAUUAACUUGGCACAAUGGCAUCCUCUUGGAUUGCUGAACUGAUGCUGCUGUUGUUUCUGUUGUUCGUGGCACCUGGACCAUGCUUAGACUGACGAGCUUGGAAAAGGAUAUCUCCCCGUUUUUCUCUGCGGUGUUUUCUUUACUGUCUCUAGAGUAUCCCUCCGCGAUCCACCGUCUCACCAAACGCCUCCGCCGGAUCGUGUGGUUCAGAGGGAAGAUUGACAGGUAGAAUAUACAUGGCUUGAGGAUAUCUGGGCAGGAACGGAAGUAGGAAAGCAACCAGGCAAACAGAUCUUCUAGGCUUGGUUUGUCCUUCAACGCAGACACAAGGUUAUCUUUUCUGAGAAAAUCCCAAAAGAAAUUGCGUCGCGAUCAUCACCAGCUAUAGCGCAUAUAACUUUGGGAAGUCCACCACACUUGUGCAAGAUUUGCAUUUUGUCCUCGGUCCCUUGUCUCUGAAGGUUAUAUCUCUGAGAAACAUAUUGUCCAAAUGAUAUAUAUAUAUAUAUAUAUAUAUAUGAAUAAAUUUAUUUAUUACCAAAAAAAGAUAACCAUAACGAUGGCAUAAAAAAGAGUGUAAAAUUUCUCUUAAAAAAAAACCAAAAACAUCCCGCCCUGAGAUAUUAUGCAGCUACCAUGCAAAUUUGGCAUGUAUAGAUUACUGCAUACUACAAGGUCAGUCUUGAAUUGGAUUUUGAAAAUAGACUAUUUGCUGGAUUAGGUACAUUUGUUAGUUACACCUUCCAAUAAAAAUGGACUAUUAAUUUGACGCAAUACAUUUAUGAGACAAACCUUUUUCAAGAUAAAUGCUAAAGUUAACUGUUGAAUCUAGCCGUGCCCUACAAAUGCACGGGCCACCCCACUUGUUAUUUCUAAAUGAUAUAAGUUUGAUGCUGACAUUGUGCGUUUUUGUUGAUGUCUAAGCACAUGGACAACAUUGUAAGUAAUAUGAUUUAAUUAGGAUAAAUAAGCUGUGAUGUGGUCUAAGACGAAGAGGGAACAUAUGUUGUUAUGACAAGUAUCAAGUCGUUCUCCAGAGUCCAAAAAGUAAAAUAUGACCUUCAUUCCUACCUUGAUCCCAAAUAUCAGCCUAUUUCAAUUAUGUAUAAGAAUUUAGGUGGUCUACCCAUCACUUAUUGUUGCAAACAGUAAGGUAGUUGGAAUGUCUAUUUCAUUCAAUAAGCACAACUAUAUAGGGGCAAAAUAGGAAAGGGUGGGGUCAAAUAGAGCUGCCACGAUGUUUGCUGCUGGACAUGUAAAUAUGGCAUAUAUAAGAUGCCAUGCAAGAACGUUUAGUCUACAUGACAGUGACUAAACGAAGAGAGAGAGCAAAACUAUCUCUUCACCAAGAAAUGGAUUUGGCACAUGAUAUGAUGACCAGCACAAUUGACAAUGUUAUAUAAACAAUGCUCUACCAUUGUAUAUCUCGUCUAUGUGUCAUCAUUAAUUAGUAUAUAAUUGUUGAGAAACGAUGACAUAAUAAAAAAAUCUCAUUAUAUGAGCUAUUUAUAUUACUGUCUUUAUGUGACAUGACAAAAACUUUUAGAUGGUUGUUGUCUAACGGUUGUACAUGCCCUAAUUGUUGAGGUAAUAGAUAUGCUAGAUGGACUUCUAUUGGGGAUAAUAUAGUUCUCCAUUUUUAUUAAAGAUUUUCUUGGUUUAGAAAGUGCUUGCAUGAAGCUAACUAAACAAGGAAUUUUGUGCAUAAGAUGUUAAAUCUAAUUCAAAGAUGGAACUCAUUGGUAUACUGAAGGAAUUAUUAGAAUUGCGGAAUGCUUAUUGCGAGUAAACGGACCUCUGCGAUGAGUUCAAAGGCGCUGUCAACUCCGAGACCUUUGACAUUCCACACAUUCUUGCUGUUUGUUGCGCAGUAUUGUGCGACACAUUCUUCAUUGGUAAUGACAAAUAUAUCCAAGCCGAAUUUUUUGGUUCCUAGUUUCAAGGCAGCUUCUAUCAUGUCCCAUUCUUCUGUAGAUUGCAGACCGUCGAUAACAAUUGUGCAUCCAAAUUGUUCAUGUAGAUAUUCACGGCACUCUUGAAUUAGGUCUUUCAUCGUUGACAUCUGGCGGUCAUGGAGAUAUCCAGGAUUCAAAUCCAAAAGUAAGCGCCAUGACAAGUCCAUCAAAUCGAAUGGAUGGGAUACAUUCACCCAACCGAACUUGAUAUAAGGAUCUUCAAUCCGCAUCUCGUAGCAGAGAUGUUUGACAAGAAAUGAUUUGCCAACACCAGACAUCCCCCACACAGAGGACACAGGCCCAGUACGACGAGACCUGCGCAUAGAGAAACAAAGUAAAUCCGCCUCUUGGCCAACAAGUGGAUGUUUGUCCAGCCAUUCACGAGCAGUUUCCCGCAAGUCCGCCACGGUUUGCUCAACUUUUCCGGGCGCAUCCUGCAAAGAAUUGGAAAGAGCAUUGUCAAUUGGGUUUAUUUAUUGUGUCAAAAUUACAUCCUUGUAGAAGACAACAUACAUGCUCCGAGUGAAGUAAAAUGCAUCCAACAAAGACAAACAUACACGCGUGCAGUAUUAUGCUUUAUUUGUAGCAUCCAUGCAGCAAAAGGUUAAGAAGCAUGAAUCAGUUUUAUAUCACCUGGGCAAAAUGAUCUGAGUAUUCAAUAACACACUUUGACUAUCAAUAUAUAUCAUAUAUUAUAAUACUCAUGACCAUAAAAUUGGCAUCAUAUGAAAGUGCUUUCAAAUUGGAAUGAUAUGAUAAAAGUUUGUACGGUAUAAAAUUUACAAAUCCUUGAUAAUCCAUUGAUACCAUGUUGUAUAGUUAGAAAAUUUGAAUGUUGGAUCUUCGAAACACCCAGUGUUCGAUAGGCACAUCCUUCUAGAUAAACCAUUCUUUACUUUAGAGGUCAAAUCAAAAUGUUGGAUAAUUCUGCGAUCCACAAAUUAAUCACCUAUGUACAACCAUGCCAUAUACUACACGAUGCUAACCGCAAUUUGUGGUUGCCUGAACACUUGCGUCUCAGUCCCACAGACCAUCCGUUGCUUCCACAGUUUAACCUAGAGUAAUCACCGCCAUCCGCAGCUUGUUCAGUACCCCUUUCAUAGUUUUUUCUUUUGCGGAAUUCAUAGUUCUUCCUCGUGAUCCUAUAAUUUAACUGUUUUGAAUUUCUCAACCCCUAUGCAUCAACUAUUUACAAACGCAAAAUGAUGAAAAAUAAUAAUGGCAUAAUUGGCAUGUAAACUAAGUUUUGUAGAAUUACAUUAUGAAGCACAAGUCAGGAAUGUGAUAACAGUCAAAUACGUGCAUUGCAGACCACGUUGAUGCAAAAAUGUAAUGGAAGUAGAAGAGCGAGUAUAUCAUUUUAUUGGAAAUAAUUGAGCAUACCUCCUCGACAAGGGCAUAGACAGAGUGAUGAGCCGAGAUUUUUUCAAGCUCCAAUAGUCGGUGUGGAUGCCUGACACAAAGGCUUGCAACUUCAAACUGAUGCGUGCUGACGAUGAUGCAGCUGCCGUUCUUGUUGUCUGGCAGGUAAGCCCUUACCGCCUCCCAGUCAUCCAUGGUGGUCACGUCUUCAAGGACAACAAGGUAAUUUUGACGGCACAUUUGCUUCAUGAAUUCGUUGAUCAGAACGCCUUCUGUGGCCACCGUCAUCUUCACAACAAAAUCUACGGUAGCGCUUUCUUGUGGACUAUAGCUUCUGCAAAAUUGGGCCACCAAGCGCCUGAUAAAUUCCCGGGCAUUGAAAGGAUGCAUCAGCUUCACCCAGGCGCGGCAUCUGAAGUUGGUGCAGAUUUGUGUGUCUUCAUAGGCCUUCUUGAUGACGGACGCCAUCCCAACUGUUCCUAACAACGAGAUCACUUGAAGGGCAUGGUCACCUUUCCCGCUGAUCAACUUGACGAGUGCCACAGGUGGCCAGAUGGGCUCCCUGGCGGCUUCCCUCGCUGUGGCGGAACGAGGGAGGAUGUUUGAUGCUGUUGCGCUGGCCGCACCCUGCUGAUGCGUCUGCUCGGCAGGCUUGGAGCCAGGGUUACCGGUGUGGUUGUAGCGCAGGUUCCGCUGACCCAUGGCCUCGACCCUAGCCUUGAGUAGCUCUAUACCAGCGACAGCGUUGUCCAAGGCCACGGCCGGCGCCGCCGCUGGUACCCAGGAGGGGAGCAUGCGGCGCCACCAGCUCGAUUUGUUGUCCAGGUAGAGAAUGGAGUCAAUGCAGUCCUCCACGUCCAGGGCCAUGUCGCGGACCUGCCUCACGCAAGUCGUCGUCAUAUCGUCCGCGACACGAUCCUUGGCAACGUUGAGGAAGGAAUGCAUCAUCUCGAACUCGUCCGAGACAAGCAUAAGGUCACGCUGAACGCUCUUCUGCAGCUGCUUCUCCUCCUCAAUAGCGGACUUGGCAAUAUUCACCGUCUCCUUGACCGCCGACUUCGCCAAACCCAGCACAAGGUCCGCCAUUGCACUCCCGUUCACUCUUCGAUCUGUGUGAGGGGAGGUGGGUGGGUGGGUGGGUGGUGUACAAGAUAGAACCUGGUGACGAUGCUUGCAAAUAUAUAUUAUGCUUCAAAAUCAUGCAUGACAUCGGCUGCAAGACAGAAAAUUUGCACAUUAUAAAACAAGAGUGUCGCAGUAAAAGAAGCCAGUUAGAUUCCCUAAUUAAAUUAACAGUGGGCUUUCCCUUAUGGUCUUAUUUUUAGGGCUAAAAGUUGCUUAUUUGGAGGAACUAACCUCAAUCCUACCUGUUUGGUUCCAUGAGCAAAACAACAUUUAAUAAGGUGAAGAAUGAUUUGUUUACCUCUAAUCAUUGCGACGCGUGGGGGGAGAGAGAGGAAUCAGAUAGGCAUUGAAUGAGAGCAAUGGGUGUCCAGUGCACCUUUUAGUCCAAAUAAGCAACCCAAAAUUACCUUAUGGACUAAACUUUAAAAGCUAAACUUUAACUUAAAUAAGCAAGGAUGUUCGGCUCUUUAUUUGGUACUAUAAAAGGGACUAAAAUUUAAUCUCUAAAGUUUAGCAAGGGUACAGCCCCUUAAUCUUCGCCGGCCAAGCACUUAAAUUAAGCUAGGUCAGACAGCUGAUGCAUCGAACGCAGCAGCAGUGAAAAACAAAUAAAGGCCAGUGUGCUCUGUAAGAAAUAUAAACCAAUAAAAUACAUCUUGGCAGAAUGGGGUCAAGUGGGUCUAUAGUCUAUUCUUGUGGCAGUAAGCUGAUCCUUUAUAAUACCGCUGGAUCGGAUCUCGAUCUCCUUGAUUAGCGCUCCACUAGCCCACUAAUGCUUGUCUCGUACUCCAACCACCGAUACCCAGCCCAAAAACUAUGCAUCGGGGAUUCACUUAACUUUUUAUUAUUUCGAGGUCUAAUUAAUAACACUGUUUGGAUUACGUAUGGGUUGCCUGCUGCUGGUAAAUACAUCUAUUUAUCUUUCAGCAAAAGCAUGCCUGCUGGGAAAUAUUAGUUCUGAAAUCUGAGCGCAUACCAGCUGUCAGUUAACAUAUUGUCUGUCAGCAAAUCCCUGCCAGAGCUUACGAUAAGUGGUCCGUCAGCAGACGUCAUCCCCCAACGGAUAAAGUACCCCAUAUUGCCUUCUUCAAGUUUCAUGAUGAAUGCAAUUCUCACACCUUGAAAUUUUUGGAUCUCACGAGGUGAUUAGGAGGAAUAAUUAAACAAUCAUUUUCUCGUAAUUUUAAAAUUUUUCAACAUUUGUUUCUUGACAGAAAAUUUAGUGUAGGAAUAUAAUUGGUUGUGUUUCCUAAACUAAAUGAGGUUGUUCUAUGUGUGUGCAUUCAUGCCCAUGCAUCUUGGUGUUUAUUGAGUGCAAAGGUUUUAAAAUGCCUCUAGACGACGACAAGGUUCUUCUGAGAAUUUACCAGUUUUUUCUGGAAAUUAUUCUCAUUUUCCUAGAGCUAAAUUCUUUUCACGAGCUUCAGUUAUUUUAUUUAGACUCCUCGUGUCCCAAACUAUCUCUAGGAAUUUUUCUGGAAUUUUUAGGAUUUUCAGAGUAUUUUUUGUGGGUUUUAUUGAAUUAUCUGGAUUUUCCUUUAUACGGGAAAUUACUUCUGAAAAGAAAAAGAAAAGAAAACCUCAACCUACCCUUUUGGGUUAAGCCCGCACCCACAAGCUCUACCAUGGCCCAACUCUCCUUCCCACCCUCGGGCCUCAUUGGCUCAGCCCAGUCCAGGCCCGACCAGCCCAGCCAGGCCCAACCGGGACCAUCUGCUCUACAGCUCUCUCCCAAGCUGCACAGGCAAGCAACGCCACCACCAAACCUUUUUGGUGUGUGUGCCACGCCAGGCGCAACCACCGGCGCCCUAUCAAUAGCGAAGCCCGACCCCCGCACGCCACUGCCAUCCUCGCAAGCCACCCUGCCUCGCCUGUGCUGCACCGCCGCCUUGCAAGCCCGCCAGCCGAGUCGGGCACCGCCACCGACUUUCCACUCGAUUCACCAGCUCCGCUGCCCGCCGGACGAAGCCGGCCCCUUCUAGAGCUUCGGGACGUCGUACAACGGUAGAAGCACCAUCGGUGUAGCCUGGGAGGAUGAGCCACAGCGACGGCUGCGUUCUCUCACCGUAUUAACUCACGUACACGUAAGAUGAACUAGCUUUGCUGGCGGUAUACAGACGCCCUCGCAACCACCGUGUACGUGCCCUAAUCUGUCCUGAAAAUUCUAGAAUGCCUUAUAUUAGGAUAGAGGGACAGAGGUGGUACUCUUCAAAUAUCUAGCCCAAAAACCAUGUCAAGAACUUACAACAUGCCUAUAAAUACCCGACUCAAUUCAUUGCAUGCUGCGACACUCCUACCUUUUGCCUUUUUCUUAACAAAUCCUUGCAAUGUAAAUAUAAAUCAUAAGCAAAUCAAAUCAAUCGAAAUUUUUUAUAUAUCGUUUCUUUGUAAAUAGCCACACCAAGAACAAUGUCUUGUAGUCUGAACAGACGAAAAUGGUGGAUGCCUUGGCUUGCUCAGGUGGCUUCUCAAACUUGUAGUCUUAAUUGAUGAAAAUGGUAAUUGCUUUGACUUGCUCGGGUGUUUUUUUGAGCCCUGGCAACCUGCCAAUUGCCUCACCAAACAAGUUGAUAGCUAGAGUUGCCCAAGCUCAAAAAGAUUAUUGUUCUUUUCUCCUUCAAUAAUGAUUUUGCUCCCAUGUUUUGUGAAGCGCUUUCCACGAUUGUUUUCACAACAUGUUCCAUACUUAUAGCUCAAUGCAAUGCAAAAGCAUCCACAUAUUCCAAUAUUAAUUCACUGGUAUGUGGAAUAUCCAACACCUUCUUGGAUUCUAAAAAUUUUGUGCCCAAGUAUCAAUAUCAGGUGCAACAUUUUCGUGUCAGUUUACCUGUCCGCAUUGCUUCACAUAUCCGUACCUUGUCAAGAAAGGUCUAUUUUCCUGACAGAGAUUUCAUUACCGUCAGUGCAAUGUGACCUUCCACAAUAGCCUGUUGCCGCUUGGUGUCCAUUGUGCUGCCACGGACGGAGUGAUCCCUUUUACAGUUUCUUUCUUUUGUUUUCUGUGGAGGACUUGAGAAGAGUCCGGUUUUCUAGAGAAUACUUUGUGCAAAUGAACAGAAGUAAUGUUCCUCCCUUCUAUACGAAGUUCACGUUAGGUGAGUACUCGAUCAUGUUAUUAAUUUAAUACUAGAUACUCCUCGCUCCAUAUGGUUGCGUGAGUCCGCGAAACUUGCUGACAUUGGCUUCUAGAGCGAGGAAAUAUGUUAACAGGAAUGAGAAUAUAUAACAAGCAGCUCGUACAACUAAGUGCGCGCCUUAUCACCUAAUCACCUAGCCAAGCAUCUAAUCACGUGGGGUACCUUUUUUUAUUUGUCUCCUCUUUGAGUAUCCUAUGCUUGACUUGAACCUAGUCUUGCGUAACCAAUCCAUCUUCUCCCGGGUUACUUUACAAGUUUUGAACUGAAUCAACAUAAGGGGCCUCUCAUAUCAGAACCUCGCUUUGCUCCCUUUCGUUGUGUUCUCCCAGCUAGGAUCCCUCAACUGUUUUUCUCGGCCCCGAGGUUAGUACCUUUAAUCAAGAAGCUGGUGUUUUUUCUGUUCCACAAACAGUUAAACAUAUCUAUGUAUAUUUUGUAAUUAUGUCUAGUUGUAAUACAACUGUUUUGUUUGGAUAAAAGAUCUAGUUGUAACGAUAUGAGUUGUAGCAGCUUAAAUCUAUAUCUAAAAUCAUCAGAAAUGGACACUGGUUCGAGCACGCCAAGCCUGCUGAGUACAGUGCCGAAGGAUCUAUCAGCAGCAUUCCUGCGUGAUAUUACGGAUGGUUUUUCCACUGACAGAGAAAUAGGACAAGGGGCGUUUGGAACAGUUUAUAAGGUAUGUUUACGACCUUUUCUGCGUUUUUCAGAAACUGGUAGGCAUGCCAAUAUAUAGUAUAUGGACGGUUAAACAGGGAAUCCUCCCAGAAGGGGAUUGUAUUGCUGUGAAGAAGCUUGUGGAUGAGGACAUAUAUGACAAACAAUUUCAAAAUGAGAUUACGCAUCUUAUGAAUGUCUGUCAUGAAAAUAUUGUGAGGAUAGUUGGCUUCUGCCAAGAACGUGAAAAGAAAGUUGUGGAGCAUAAUCGAAGAUAUAUUAUUGUAGACUCAGUUGAAAGAUUUAUCUGCUAUGAGUAUUUACCAAAUGGGAGCAUUGAUAAGUGUAUAUUUGGUACGGUAAUUUUUUAUCUUUUCUUUCUUUCUUCACUCAUACUUUUUAAUUUGGAGUGUGGAUAUCAAUUGUUAUAUAUUACUUCAGUUUCCUGCACUAAAAUAUUAUUCUCUCCAUCCCAAAUUACUAUUGCUUUUGUUUUUUCUAGAUAUAUAGUUUUUAUAUGCACCUAGAUAUAUAUUAUCUCUAGGUACAUAGAAAAUGUUAUGUAUCUAGAAAAGUCAAAAUGAAUAGUAAUUUGGGACGGAGGGAGUAUGAUGGAACUGAUUAUGGUUCAGGCUAUGAACAUACGCUUUCUAGUCACUAUGUUAUGAAAAUUGAUGUUUUGGAGGUCCUUAUACCAGAUUACUCAUAGAGGAUCUAUCCUUUUUUCUUUCUUCAGAUGAUACACUUAAUUGGGCUACACGCUUCAAAAUUAUUAAGGGGAUCUGCCAAGGUUUACAUUUCCUACAUGAGGGAAUGGAAACACCUACAAUUCAUAUGUCUCUUCAGCCUGCCAAUGUAUUGUUGGAUGAUAGAAAGGUGCCUAAAAUUACAGAUUUUGGUUCGUCGAGAGUCUUUGGUCGUGCUGAUAAAUCAAUGAUGAUCACACAAAACCCUGUGGGAGUAAUGUAAGUUUAAUUCAGAUAGUGCAAUAAGAGUACUUUCCCAUCAAGUAACAAUGCUUACGAAACUCUUGUUGGUAAUGUCAUUCAGUGGAUACAUGGCUCCAGAAUAUCUUUAUAGAGGUGAAAUCUCAACCCAAGCAGACAUAUAUAGCCUAGGCUUAAUGAUAAUCGAGAUCACAACUAGGAAGAAGAAUUAUUCAGACGAUCGAGACAAGUCUGCCCAGAGAUUUAUUGAUGAAGUAAGGCAGUGUUGAUGAUUAGUUGAUUACAAAAUAAUUUUCAUAGAAGCAUGUGUUACAUUUAUUUCGUGUAUCCGUUUUUACAAAAGAUAUAUUUUUAUUUUUAUUUCGUGGUUUAUUAGUGAGUAUUAUGAGUUGAGUUAUGUAGGUGCGCCAGACAUGGACGGAUGAUGUGUACAUUUUAUCCAAAUACUCCCAAUUGGAUGCAGGCUUACUGCAAGAAGUAAAGGCAUGCAUUCAAACUGGGCUUAAGUGUGUGGAUAUUGAUCGCAAGAGAAGACCUUCCAUAUCUGAAAUUGUUAGACUGCUCAAUGCUGCAUGGUAAACGGUGGACGAGGUAUGACUAGGAAUAGCAUACAUUCCCUCUGGUCUUUGCACAUACUUACCAAAUUUUACUUUGCACAUAUAUAUUUAAAGUCCUUAAUAUUUAUGGGAUUUUGCAAGUGUUGCUCAAUACAAUUCCACAAAUACAACUUGCAUGCUUUCAAACUUAAUAAUGUAAAAGUUAUUGAUGUUUUUAAUUUUUAAUCUUUGACAAAACCUUGUCCUAAACAACAUGUUUUUUAUGACUGGAGUUACGGGGUGUUUGGAUACGAGGUGUUAAACUUUAACAGUGUCACAUCGGAUGUUCGGAUACUAAUUAAGAGAACUAAACAUGAGCUAAUUAUAAAACUAAUUGCAGAACCCUGUGCUAAUUCGCGAGACGAAUCUAUUAAGCCUAAUUAAUCCAUCAUUAGCAAAUGGUUACUGUAGCACCACAUUAUCAAAUCAUGGACUAAUUAGGCUUAAUAGAUUCAUCUCGCGAAUUACACUCUAUCUGUGCAAUUAGUUUUGUAAUUAGCCUAUAUUUAAUACUCCUAAUUAGCAUCUAAACAUCCGAUGUGACGGGUGUUAAACUUUAACACCUGGUUCCAAAUAGGCCCUUAGUAUAUGAUCACUAAUAGUUUUCUUAGUUUUUUGAGAGGAGAGGAGUUUUCAUAGUUUUACAUGCAACAACUACAUAUGAUCACUAUUAGUGGAAUCUUGUACUUCUAUAUAUGGCAAACUGAUCAGGUGAUCUUAACAUGCUAUCUCAAACUACAGGUCUACAUAUAUACCGUGUUCGCAUCAUGAAUAAAAGUUGUCAUUGUGGAGAAGACAUGGCCAAGAUGAAAUAAAGCAUGCUCUAUUAUUUCUAGAAGACCUGAACUUUUCUAUCACAACUAAGAUUCCUUUGAUGUAAUUUCAUUGUGGAAGCUACAUUUACUCCUCUUUUGGAGAUUGACACUCCAAAAGUGAUUUUCGAAGACACCCCAUUUACGGCACAGGUGGUCCACAAGGGAAUACGCUAGGGUCCUCAGUCAUGGAAAGCCUAUAGAAAUGAGUUUCCAGAGAAUGUUGGUUCAGCCGAUCAUGUCUGAAAAAGGUUGCUGACUUAAGUGACUGCGUUAGGAAAUCCCCAUUACUAGACGUAGACACUUAAGCUGAUGGACUAGAAAUUGAUUUCAAGAGAUGGUUCCUCAAUUUGGGCUGCCUCUAGAAACUGUUUUCCACAAGAGGCAAAAGAAAAGGUCAUCCCAUUUCCGUUAUCAAUAGGUUUGUGGUGGGAUGGCAAGGGGGGAUGUUGUUGUGGGUUUAAAGGUUGACACCCCCCCCCACACACACACACACAUUUCACGCAAAAAAUUGCAUGUGUGGUGCAGCUCAAUGGUUUUUACAAAUCUUUUUGUAGUUUUUCCAUGCCCAAUGUUAUCGUAGACAGACCGACAUAACCAAUGUCAUGUGGAAAUGCAUUUUUAGAGGUAAUUAAUUCCAGAGGUAGUGAACUUAGGGAACUUCCUCUAAAAAUGUCUUUUCUUAAUACGAUUGAUUGUCCACCUAUGAAAAUGCACCAUUUCCAUAUGCGAUGUCACACCUGGUUUUAAAAAUAAAUCAAAUGUACACCAUAUGUGUGCCAGGAUCAAGUUUCAAACAUACAACAAGCCAAUAGUGAAUAACAGAUACAGUAUCAUGUACUAACGAGUUCAACUAAUACAAAGUGACAUAAAUCUCUAAACAAAAUAAACAUACAAACGUCUCCUAGCAGCGGAUUACCAUUCUCCAUAGGCAUUCAACUGGGGGAACAUACGCCUAGCACUUAUGGAAAUCUUCUAAUACUAACAUCCUCUUGUUCUGAGCAGCAUUCAUUGUGUGGUACAAAUAUAUGUAGGAAAUAGCAAGUGUGAGUACAUGCCGUACUCCCACUACUACAGAAGAGGCCAUCACCGCUGGGCUAUCACCACCAGUUAUAGAUGAAUCAUUUGUGAUGCCUUUUCACUGUCGGUUUUGGAGCAAAUGGGGGCAGCAGCCUUUACAACCGGCGGUGGUGCUCGUUUUCAUUGCCGGUUCCUUAUUGAGCCGCUAGUUUCAAGCAAGAGCCAGCAGCGAUACUCGAUGCGAACCUGAAAUUUUUCUUCAACCCAAUUUAGAAAACGACUUUGCGUCCACUUGCCUCCCUCUCCCCACUCCUCCCCUCCCCCACCCUCUCUCCACCCCCUCCCUCUCUCCCUCUCACCCCAGCCCUCUAUCCCACUCUCCGCGGGCCCCCUCCCUCCCUUCCUCUCCCGCCGGCCCUCCCCUUCUCUCCCUCUCCGUUCGCCGCCCCUCCGCUUGCUUCCGCACCCCCCCCUUUCCCCCUCCACUCGCUACCCCCUCGGCCUGGCAUAGAGGAGCGCUGGCAGCGUGCAGGGAUCCGCAGCGGCAUGGCAGGAUCCGCGGCUGGCAGUAGGGAUCCACAAUGCAGCGAGGCUCCAGUGACAUCAAGAUGUGCGGGGUAAGCAGCGGCAGUGACAAGGCCGGGUCAACGGUGGCGGCUGCAGCGUGAGUAGCAGCAGCGAUGCUACCUAGGGGCCCACGGUGGGCGCGGUGCGAUGGCGGUGGGGACGCCAGGUAUAUUUCUUCUUUUUUUUGUGAUGUGCAUCACCGUCAGUUCCUGGUUUAGCGGUGAUAGGGACUCCUAUCACCGCCGACCUAAUAAUGUCCUCACUCAAAAUGAGGGUUGCCUAUAUCAUAUUGAGAUAUGAGAUACAUCCCCCUAAUGCUGUUCUAUGGACAUUCUUGAGGCACUGACUCUGGAGCCAAAAAAAAGGUUUAGUCAACGAGCACAAAAGUUUCAUACUAGAACCACUAGACCUAUGCUAGUCAAUUCACUGUGCUAAGGGCACAUGCAAGAGCUACAACCACCCUAUGCCCAUUGAUCACAAUUAAUUUGAAAGGAUGUUUAUGGAUGCUUUUGUUUACCAUAAGUGUAAUAAAUCUUGUAGUCAUUUUCGGCACAAGUCUUGCAGCUAGCCAAUAUAAUCCAAGUUUUUGGUACCCUAUAAUCCAAGAUAAGAUAUAAUCUCCUACUGUUUUCAAAUCUCAGAAUCUUUUGCAGUAAUCUCCUACUGUUUUCAAAAAGUGGUAUGUCAAUCGUAACAGGAUUAGACAGAGGGAAGUACCGAAUGGUUGCUUGCAGAUGAGGUGAUUCUAACUUUAGACUUUGCAUGUAGACGGCGUGGAGGAUAUGAAUAGUUGCAUGCAGAUGAGAUGGUGCUGACAUUAGCCUUUGCAUGUAGAUGGCGUGGACGAUUUGAGGUAAAUGACACAAGAACACACACCAUAUAUAUAGUGGCAUUGUUGGACCUUGUUUAGUUACCCCAAAAUCCCAACUUUGGCACUAUGCAAAAAUAAGAUUCCCCAUCACAUCAAACUUGCGGUACAUGCAUGGAGUACUAAAUGUAGACGAAAUAAAAAACUAAUUGCACAGUUUUGUUGUACUUUGCGAGACGAAUCUUUUGAGCCUAAUUAGUCAAUAUUUGGACAAUAAUUCAUAAAUACAAACGAAACACUACAGUAUGCUACAGUGCUGGCACAGUGAUUUUGGUUGUCCAAAAUUGGGCAACUAAACAGGGCCUCGUUCUCUUCUCAUUAAUUGUUAAUAGAAGUUACUACAUGUACCUAGAACUCCUAAACUAGGUGUCCUAUCAUAUGAUUUGCAAUUAAUUCCAUUAAGCUUGAAGCAGGUGGAAAGGGCACUUGCAUCGAUAGGAGGCGCACGUGCACAGAGAGUCUGUUAUGUCUUUUAUCUUUUAAUGAAACUAGGUGGCGUUGGGGCUGCUGGCCUUUCCUCGCUGUUUAGCAUCCUGAGAACAUCCGGCAUGGUUGGCCGCUCCCUUGGAUUGUCUUGGGUGCACAACAGUCCGAUAUGUAUUCUUCUUUCCACUUCCUGUAGCUGUGACUCUCCACAAGAUGCAGAGUCAAAUAAAUCCUUCAGACUCUGAGCUUCCCGUACCUCCCAAGCCUGUGAAAAAGGUGUCAGUGUGUAUAACAAGGCAACAAGUAAAACCCAUUGUGUAACUGAAGUUCUUCAUGUGGUCAGCUAAGUUGCCAUUUUCUUCAGAUCCGUCUAACCAAUUUUGAUUAACGUGUUGGAUCAUUAACACACUAUUGCUUCUUGACUGCAUCAUUUUGGUCGAGAUUGGUCACUGACUAGUCCUAAGAUGAACAUCCACAAAUUCAAACAAUGAUGACCUAUAUGCUACGUUAUUGAGACUGCUAUUUCUUUGAUAAUCUUAUACUUGUCUGUAUUGAAAGAUCAUGUUGAUGUUUGGUGUAGUAAAAUUUGGAAAGGUAAGAGAACUUUUGAGAUUAUACGAGGCUACUACCCAAAGUAUGAGGUGGCACCCAAAUAGAACGACAUAUCCUUAAAAGGAACAACAUGACAUGAAGAGAUGAGCAAUUAUAAACCAAUCCAGUUUUUUAUGCUCAGAAAUUAUUGCUAGCGCUGACAGCGAGCAAGAUGCAGAAUUACCAAAUAAAGUAUGACCUACAAAAGGAUUCCUCUUUUUUUUGUGUCACAGCUGAUUACACUUUUUUCCCUUGUUGAAAAAAGUGGACAGUUUAAGGCCAAUAUCUCCACCGAAGUAUGGAUAUCAGAAUAGAUCGAAUAAUGAUGAAUGCAAAAAAGAGAAAACCUUUAUCUGAACAAGUUCCUUGUGAAGAUACCCAACCAAUGCCUGCCUAUAAAUGUUUUACGUACCCACUCAAUUGAAUGUUGGAGAAGUCCAGACCUGCUCAUUCCUCUAAUGGUAGAUAAGACUAAGAGGCCAAAACUGUAGACAUCAUUCUUGGCUGAGAUGACACCUUGAGCAAUAUAUUCUGGAGCCAUAUAUCCCCUAAAUGGUGAAAAAAUAAAUAAAUGGGUCAGCAGAAGGGGGGAAGCGACAAGAAGCUUGAUCGUGCAUGUCAUGGCAACAAAAAUACAGUAUAUAUGGAAAGUCGUCCUACAGGGUGCCUGCUAACUCUUCCGUGACUUCUUGAGUCACCUCUUGAUCAAAUAUUUUGCACAUUUCAAAAUCACAGAUUUUAGGGUUCAUAUUAGAGUCAAACAGGAUGUUUUCUGGCUUCAAAUCCAUAUGGAUAAUGUUUUUCCAGUGCAGAUGAGCUAUGCCUUGUGCCAUCCCUUGAAUUAUUUGGAAUAUGAUAGACCAAUCCAUCUGCGGACACUGUCCUGGAAAAUUAAAAAAUCAAACAUCCUAUAGAGUUAACAUUGUUAAGCUAAAUUUUGCUCCAAAUGAUAACUGGAGUCAUUCUUUAAGUGGAAACAUGCCUUCGAUAAUGUCGGACAAGUUUCCAUUCGGGGUGUACUCUUCGACCACUAUCAUACUAGUUAUUUCAGCCUCCACAUAGCGGCCCUUGUAUAGCAUCUUCUCGUAUGUGGUUUCCUGGCAAUAUCCGAGAAAGCAAACUAUAUUUUGGUGCUGACCCAGCAAUGCAAAGACAUUCACAUAAUGAUCUACAUCUCUUCGUAAGUGCCGAGCUGCACAAAAUCUCUUUAUGGCAACCAAUACGUCAGAUAUUACACCCUGGAUCAUAGGCAGCAAUUUUAAUCACGAAUGCAGUUAACGUGAUAUUAUAAUUUGAAUGCCUCAAACAUAAUUAAAAUACCAAGCAUAUGGAGUACCUUGUACACAGUAGCACUGCCACCUCUCCCAAUCAGGUUGUGUUCCGAGAAGUUAUUUGUAGCGGCCUUCAUCUCAGAUAAACUGAACAUUCUAAAUCCUGUCAUAAAAACAGGUACACAUACAGGCAUAAAUGAUGUUCUGCAAACACACACCAGCAAGAUCACUAUCACUAGUGAAUAAUAAAUAGCUCGAAUUCAAGAUCAAAGAGGCCGGUAAACAAAUAUGUGAUCUUACCUGAUUGGUUGAGAAAGUGCUCCAUACAGGCUGGAUCACUUUUUCUCUCACCAUCAGCUCCAAAUCUGUCAUCGUACAUUCGAUAAGCAAAAUGAGUGCCCUCCGAUCGAUGUAAUAAUACUGAAUGGAGGUAGACCAAUGGUGGUAGCAUAAUGGUAAGGUUUUAGAUGCUUCCUCCAUCCCAAUUGUAAAUCGUUUUGGCAUUUCACCUAGAAAUGCCAAAACGAUUUACAAUUUGCGACAAAGAGAGUAGUUUACCAGGGCUUUUAUGGAAAUAAAAGCUAAAAUUGCGCAAGUGCAUACUUUGAUGGUAUACAGACUUGCCAAGGGAAUUACAGUUUUUCGUAAUGGUGAUUAAUUUCUAUGUUGAACUCACUAAGUAUUACAACAUAUAAUUUACUAUGCUACAAUUGGAAUGGCACACUGUAAAUAUCAGACCUAGUAUCAUUGUUUGACGCACUGCUAGACGAGCUCUCCACUGCCCCUAGAUGGCCAGCAUCCUGAAAUAGAAAACCAAAUCCCUCAAGGUAUUAUUGAUGAAAUUUUUAUCCUAUCUUAUUAGUUGAAAUGGAAGAGCUAGGAAGUACCAAUUGAAUGAUACCCCUGAAAUAAAGAAACUAUCUAAAGGUUGCUGCGAAACAAAAGAAACUGUCCGUAUAUUGAUCUUGACGAGGUGAGGUGGGACACUUAAAUCUGUUAAUGCCGGACCCAACACCUGGGUCAACCGUGCUUGCGGUAGAGGCAUACAUUCUACAAAUAUGAUACGUACAGGUUGCAUCUGUCCAAUUUUUAUUCUUAACAAAAUGAGUCUAUCAACCCAAAGCUAAUGAAAAACAUGGAGAAGUUUCUCUAAAAUGGUGGAUAGAAUCGUAAGGAACAUUAUAUAUGGAAGUGACAAAAUUAAAAAUACGCUGUAAAGAUGUAGUACCUGUGUAAUCCAGUUUGCGGCCGCAAUUUGGUCCAUGAUAACCUGGUUUACCUGGCGCAACUCUUUGGUCAGGUAUCCAGUUGCACCCAGGUGAAUGUUGCGCGUCGACUGGCAGGCCCUGACAAGCUUCAGCGCCCGAUACAGGGUCUCCUCGAGGUUCUCAAGCGCCUGGAUCAUCGCCUGGUCCUUCACCAUCUCCAAAUUCUCCAUCUUUGACAGGAUAGCACUUAAUCUGCUUACGCGCCUUCCGAUCUCAUAACAAUCAGCCUUAUUCUUUCGAACGGUGUCGACCGCCUCCUUGAUCUGGAGCGCAACCUCGACAAUGUUCCUCACCCUGCCCAAUGCAUCGGACAUCCUCUCUCUAGGGGAUUAUAAUCUGCAGAUCGAAAGGAUAAGGGAGUCGUAUCGAAUCAGACGAACAAGCCUGAUGAACCAACUGGAACAAACAAAAAAAGCUCUUCGAUUUUCUUUCUCAAAGCAAUCAAAGCAAAUAAAGAAGCAAGCAUAAACCUGGCGUCUUCGGCCCUCCUUUACUAGCUGCGUCAGGGAUCUCUUCCUCCAAGCUAUGGUACGCCCGGAGCAUCCGGUGUUCGCCGGGAAUCAAGUCUGCUCGAUGGGCAAGCUUAUCUGAUAGGGACAUAAACAAUUCCGUGAAAAACAAAUAAAGGCCAGUGUGCUCUGUAAGAAAUAUAAACCAAUAAAAUACAUCUUGGCAGAAUGGGGUCAAGUGGGUCUAUAGUCUAUUCUUGUGGCAGCAAGCUGAUCCUUUAUAAUAACGCUGGAUCGGAUCUCGAUCUCCUUGAAUAGCGCUCCACUAACCCACUAAUGCUUGUCUCGUACUCCACCCACCGAUACCCAGCCCAAAAACUAUGCAUCGGGGAUUGACUUAACUUUUUGUUAUUUCGAGGUCUAAUUGAUAACACUGUUUGAAUUACGUAUGGGUUGCCUGCUGCUGGUAAAUACAUCUAUUUAUCCGUCAGCAAAAACAUGCCUGCUGGGAAAUAUUAGUUCUGACUUCUGAGCGCAUACCAGCUGUCAGUUAACAUAUUGUCUGUCAGCAAAUCCCUGCCAGGGCUUACGAUAAGUGGUCUGUCAGAAGACGUCAUCCCCCAACGGGUACAGUACGGCAUAUUACCUUCUUUGUGUUUCAUGAUGAAUGCACGGUUGUCACACCUUGAAAUUUUUGGAUCUCACGAUGUGAUUAGGAAGAAUAAUUAAACAAUGAUUUUUCUCAUAAUUUUAAAAUUUGCCAACAUUUGUUUUCUUGAUAGGAAAUUUAGUGUAGGAAAAUAAUUGGUUGUUUUUCCUAAACUAAAUGAGCUUGUUCUAUGUGUGUGCAUUCAUGCCCAUGCAUCUUGGUGUUUAUUGAGUGCAAAGGUUUUAAAAAUAUCUUUAGACGACGACCAGGUUCUUCUGAGAAUUUACCAAUUUUUUCUGGAAAUUAUUCUCAUUUUCCUAGAGCUAAAUCCUUUUCCCAAGCUCCAGUAAUUUUAUUUAGACUCCUCGUGUCCCAAACUAUCUCUAGGAAUUUUCCUGGAAUUUUUAGGAUUUUCAGAGUAUUUUUUGUGGGUUUUAUUGAAUUAUCUGGAUUUUUCUUUAUACGGGAAAUUACUUCUGAAAAUAAAAAGAAAAGAAAACCUCAACCUACCCUUUUGGGCUAAGCCCGCACCCAAAAGCUCUACCAUAGCCCAACUCUCCUUCCCUCCCUCGAGCCUCGCUAGCUCAGCCCAGUCCAGGCCCGACCAGCCAAGCCAGGCCCGAUUGGGACCAUAUGCUCUGCAGCUCUCUCCCAAGCUGCACAGGCAGGCAACGCCACCGCCACGCCCUUUUGGUGUGCGUGCCACGCCAGGCGCAGCCACCCGCGCCCUAUCAAUAGCGAAGCCCGACCCCCGCACGCCCCUGCCAUCCUCGCAAGCCACCCUGCCUCGCCUGUGCUGCGCCGCCACCUUGCAAACCCGCCAGCCGAGUCGGGCGCCGCCGCCAACUUUCCACUCGAUUCACCAGCUCCGCUGCCCGCCGGAUGAAACCGGCCCCUUCUAGAGCUUCGGGACGUCGUACAACGGUAGAAGCACCAUCGGUGUAGCCUGGGAGGAUGAGCCACAGCGACGGCUGCGUUCUCUCACCGUAUUAACUCACGUACACGUAAGAUGAACUAGCUUUGCUGGCGGUAUACAGACGCCCUCGCAACCACCGUGUACGUGCCCUAAUCUGUCCUGAAAAUUCUAGAAUGCCUUAUAUUAGGAUAGAGGGACAGAGGUGGUACUCUUCAAAUAUCUAGCCCAAAAACCAUGUCAAGAACUUACAACAUGCCUAUAAAUACCCGACUCAAUUCAUUGCAUGCUGCGACACUCCUACCUUUUGCCUUUUUCUUAACAAAUCCUUGCAAUGUAAAUAUAAAUCAUAAGCAAAUCAAAUCAAUCGAAAUUUUUUAUAUAUCGUUUCUUUGUAAAUAGCCACACCAAGAACAAUGUCUUGUAGUCUGAACAGACGAAAAUGGUGGAUGCCUUGGCUUGCUCAGGUGGCUUCUCAAACUUGUAGUCUUAAUUGAUGAAAAUGGUAAUUGCUUUGACUUGCUCGGGUGUUUUUUUGAGCCCUGGCAACCUGCCAAUUGCCUCACCAAACAAGUUGAUAGCUAGAGUUGCCCAAGCUCAAAAAGAUUAUUGUUCUUUUCUCCUUCAAUAAUGAUUUUGCUCCCAUGUUUUGUGAAGCGCUUUCCACGAUUGUUUUCACAACAUGUUCCAUACUUAUAGCUCAAUGCAAUGCAAAAGCAUCCACAUAUUCCAAUAUUAAUUCACUGGUAUGUGGAAUAUCCAACACCUUCUUGGAUUCUAAAAAUUUUGUGCCCAAGUAUCAAUAUCAGGUGCAACAUUUUCGUGUCAGUUUACCUGUCCGCAUUGCUUCACAUAUCCGUACCUUGUCAAGAAAGGUCUAUUUUCCUGACAGAGAUUUCAUUACCGUCAGUGCAAUGUGACCUUCCACAAUAGCCUGUUGCCGCUUGGUGUCCAUUGUGCUGCCACGGACGGAGUGAUCCCUUUUACAGUUUCUUUCUUUUGUUUUCUGUGGAGGACUUGAGAAGAGUCCGGUUUUCUAGAGAAUACUUUGUGCAAAUGAACAGAAGUAACGUUCCUCCCUUCUAUACGAAGUUCACGUUAGGUGAGUACUCGAUCAUGUUAUUAAUUUAAUACUAGAUACUCCUCGCUCCAUAUGGUUGCGUGAGUCCGCGAAACUUGCUGACAUUGGCUUCUAGAGCGAGGAAAUAUGUUAACAAGAAUGAGAAUAUAUAACAAGCAGCUCGUACAACUAAGUGCGCGCCUUAUCACCUAAUCACCUAGCCAAGCAUCUAAUCACGUGGGGCACCUUUUUUUAUUUGUCUCCUCUUUGAGUAUCCUAUGCUUGACUUGAACCUAGUCUUGCGUAACCAAUCCAUCUUCUCCCGGGUUACUUUACAAGUUUUGAACUGAAUCAACACAGGAAUUUUCGUGGAAUUUUUAGGAUUUUUUGAGUAUAUUCCGUGGCUUUAAUUGAAUUAUCUGGAUUUUUCUUUAUACAGGAAAUUACUUCUGAAAAUAAAAAAAAGAAAACCUAAACCUAACCUUUUGGGCCGAGCCCGCACCCGCGAGCCCAACCAUGGCCCAGCUCUCCUUCCCUCCCUCUAGCCUCGCUGGCUUUCCGCUCGAUUCACCGGCUCCGCUGCCCGCCGGACGAAACCGGCCCCUUCUGGAGCUUCGGGACGUCGCCCCGCACACCCGCCGCUACACCCUGUCGUCGUUUGGCCGCCGGAGGAGCCCCGCCCUGUGGAGCCCGAACUAGCCGCCGCCUCCACAGUCCGCCAUCGAUUCCGGCCGGUGCCGUCGUCCUCUACCGUCGGUGAGCACGCCCCCGUGACCCUCUCGACCUCCUCUAUCUCCUUCGCCACCCACCUAAGCCCCUACCUCUCAACCACCGGCGAUUUCAUCUCCCAGUGCGCCGUCCGCCAUGGCCAAAAGCUCCUCGAGCUUUUCCGUGGAGGCCCCUGAAGAAAUCUAUAAUUAUUCCAAGAUCUCUGUGUCUUGGAUCUUUUUUGAAAAGCCCCCUAGAUCUAUUAGGUUCCUUCAACCGAGCCCAAGCCGUGAUCUAUUUCAGAUCGAACCCUGCUCUUUAUCGUAUUCACGGGCACUAUGUGUCUCGGGAAUCUUCCUCGCUAGCCCUUGUUCUCUAGGGUUAAUCGCGAUUAGACCCCUGCAGCUUGAUUAGCUCGUAGAUCUUAUGUUUCAACUCCGUUUAACCUCUUUCUUGUUGCGUUAGAUUCAUAUCAAUUUAAAUUACGCAUUAGAAGCAAUGUUAAUCAUUUUAUCUAUUUUAUAAUUUACUUCAAAUAUUAAUAUGAUUAAGUACUUACAUACUUGUUUUUCUAAUUAAAAUACAAUAGAGUUUAACCCCGUGUUUUCAUGCUAAUGUUAAUUUGUUUAAUGCUUAUCUAAAUAAUUUUUCCAAUUAAUAGCUAACUAGAGUUAUACCUCGGUUUUCAUAGUCAAACUUAAAUUGAUUAAUGUUUAUUCAAUUUGCUUUCUAAACAAAAGUUGCAUAGGUUCUAUCUCGAGUUUUCGUAAUUAAAUGUUAAUUUGGUUAAAUAUAAAUAUAAAUAUAAAUGUGUUUCUGAAUUAUAAUUUGUCUAGUUCAACACGAAUCAUAAAGUUAUGCGCUUAGAUCUUCCCACCUAAGUUAUUUUCCAAAUAAAUGUUUAACUAGUAUAAUUUAUACAUGAACAUUUAUAAAUAAAACUUGAGUAGGAUUUACCUCGGUUUUUGCCAAUAGAGUAAAAUUUGCAUUAUUUCUAAAUUAGGGUAUUUUCUUUCCAAAAUAUCCUUUAGAUAUGUUUUGCUAAUUAAAAUAAAUCCAGCAUAUAGCCUUGUGUGCUCUCAUAAUUGUUUGAUAGCCGUCUUUGUUAGCUUUAGCUUUGUAUCUCUUUUGUAGAUCUAGUCUUCUGUAAAGCUUUAGAUCUUUGUAGUUCCAGAUCAAGCUCACACUCAGUUUCUUUCACAAAUCUAGCCAAGCCUUUCCUUUUCAAGCACGGUUUGUGUGCUUUAGUGAUCCAAAUAGUUUAUCUUAGAGUUUUUGUUCUGCCUAAUAGUUUUGGUCUUCAUGAGUAGUUUGGUGCUGCUCAUUUCCCUAGCUAGUAUAUUUUUUAUCAUGCUUGUUUCCUGUUCCUCUUAGAAACCUGUUUAUCAAAAGCUAGCUCAUAAUUACUAUGUCCUAGUUGUCUCUUUGUGAGUCAGCUAUGUUCGUUAUGGCCAAACCUUUCGCAGCCAUCUCUUUAGAGCUAAUCUUGUUAGUUGUGUCUCUAUCGACCAGUUCAGUUUAGCUUUGACUAGUUUGUUAUCUUUGCAACCUAGUUGCUCUCUUUGUAGACUAGUUUUCCCUAAACCAUAGUUUAAGGUUUUCUUCUGCGCUCUAAAGUCUGAUUUUGAUGUUCUUGUUCACUUAACCAUAACUUAUGCGAUAGCAAUGUGUAUUGCCUGUUGCUUGUCUUUAAAAUCAAAAUUGAAUGUCAAUUUGACUAAUACUUAUUAAACCAGUUUUCUAAUUAAAAGUUUACUAGUUAUACAAUAUGGGAUUUCAUAUAAAAUUUUAAACUUUACUAAUUCUUAUUCAAUUAGUUUUCUACAUAAAAAUUUAUUAGGUUCUAUCCCGGAUUUCAUAAACUAAGAUUUAAUUAAUUAAUUCCUAUUUAUAACUAGCUUUUCUAAAUAAAAUAUACCUAGUGUCAUACAUCAUUUUCCAUGAAUGAAGUUAAUAUGCUUAAUGGUAUUAUAAACACCUUUUUCACAUUAAUAUGUUUAGCUGAACACAAAAUACAAAGUUAUUCGAUUAGAUGUCUUAUACAUGCUCUGUGUUUCUAAAGUUAACUGUUAAAUUGGUGUAACUUGUACUUCAAUAUUUACAAAUAAAAUAUGAUUAAAUUUAUCACGUUUUCAAUGUUCAAAUAUACCUUCUGUUAAUUCCAACUAAGGAUAUUUCUCUAAAAUAUCUACGCAUUGUUUUUUAUUAAAAUCUAAAGUUAACUGUUAAAUUGGUGUAACUUGUACUUCAAUAUUUACAAAUAAAAUAUGAUUAAAUUUAUCACAUUUUCGAUGUUCAAAUAUACCUUCUGUUAAUUCCAACUAAGGAUAUUUCUCUAAAAUAUCUACGCAUUGUUUUUUAUUAAAAUAUAUCAAGCAUAUAGUCUUUUUAUUUCUUUGAUAAUUCAAACCUCUCGAUAGCUUUGUCUUUUCAUCCAUAGUUUCAUUUUCAGCAUUUUUUCUACGUUGCGAUCUUAGAAUCAAGCCCUAUCCUUUGGUAUGAUCUUUUAAAGCUUUUCUUUUGAUUGGUGUACUGUUCUUAGUUGUGCUUGUUUGUUUGCUCUGUAUGGUUGUGCCGAUGAUUGUUUUGAGUAGAAGGAUUGCUAUUCGAAAGCUUUGAAGAUUAAGAGUUUCAAGAGAGCAAGAGCUGAAGAGCAGUAAGAGUAAUUUUUCAUUGGAGAAAGGCAAGUGUCCCCAACCUUCCUUCUAUCUAUGAUUAUUUAAAUACCAUGCAUGCAUUAAUUGGAACAUUGAGCGACCACCCAAGAAAACAAUGCAACCACAAGAACUACAUGGCUCUAGUCUUGGCUAAUUAAUUAGAUACUCUUGUUUGAAGCGGUCUUACCGAAAGGGCAAGAGGGGUGACGGCAGAUGGGGUAUAACCCAACCCUCAGACCGAUAUGCUCAAUGGUAGCUUCGCAGUCUUGAGAGAGGUUUACGCUCUGCUACUUAUCCGGAAACCUUAGCUGGCUACAUCUUAUUAGGGAAUCUUUGUAGAGGUCUUAUAGCUUCCCUAUGCAGUCACAUCUCGGUAGUGUGAUGAGUGCUUGAUUAGCACAGUAUGGUUGGGUCUAAAGUUUUUCUGAACUUCUACGCAACUUGUGGUGAAAAUGUACAACUUCUGCAGAGUGUUAUAUCAACUGUGCUCACAGUCAAGAGUGGCCUGAACCCUCACAUGAUUAAUAAACUUGAAGAUAUACUUAAAUCAUUAUUUUGGUUAUUUUUUGUGUUCUUGCUGAGUAGCAACCAUAAGUGUACUCACCCUUGCUAACCGCUGCUCAGAAUAAGGUGUCUGAAGUUAUUGAAGAUGAUGCUAGGCGUACGCAGCCCCAAUUGAUUGCUUGUGAAGUCUGAAGUCUUUGUUUUCAGGAUUAAGCUGUAUAUCUCUGAUAGACUCGUAAAUUUUUAUUUAUAUUCCUUUACGUGAUACUGUUACUGUUAUUCACUGAUAAUGUCACUAUAUGUAUGAUACUUGAUUAUGGGAUACAUAGGUAGCACUUGGUUUUGUUUUAAAAUCUGGUGUGACAUCGGUUCACAUCAAGCGUGACGAUAAGAAUUUAUAUAAAUGUUGCCCAACCACCCGAAUAUCAUAAAUUGAAGGUAUGUUUGAUUUUUUUACCAUACUUACCUGUGGCUAAACUCCAAAUGCUAGUUUUAGAAUAGUCGUAAUGGAAUUGCCAAGGGCGAGAGAAGAAUUGUUACUGUUGUGCCAUAACCCACAUUGGCUUAUGUGUCUAGACAGCUUAGAUGUCCAGCGUGGCCUAGCGCAUUUUAUGUAAACAUUUACAGGUGCACUGCUGCUGAUUUUAUGUAAUUAUUAAACCUAAUGCAGUUUCAUCAUGGCAAGAUGCAUUAAAGAAAGAAAGGGAAAGACAAAAUGAAAUACACCAAAGAGUUCAGUUCCAGCUGAAAACGUGUCUGCCCCAAGCGAGCUCCUAUACAUCUUCUGUGUUGAUUGCACAGCCCAUAAGGCCCAGCAAUUUACAGCCCAAGCAGCAAUAAUACACAUGCGCCGCAGGCCCCAAUACGAAUAUGUAAGUAUGGGGAAAAAAAAAGAUACGUACCACCUAAGCAGCAUGCCACGGCAGGCCCCAUCAGCCACCAGCCGAAGAUACGUGUUGCUUUACUAUUUUUAUUCAUAUUCCAUUCUACAGUAAUCCUCCUAAUACUAUAUUCAACAUUUUGUGCGAAUUGAUUCAAACAUUCAAAAUAACUAGUUAAACAUUUUGAUAAAACGAAUGCAAAAUUUUCUUAAAAUGUUGAAAUAGUAUAUUAAAAAUGUUGAAUAAAAUGUUGGAAUAGUGUAUUAAAUUUCAACAUUUUUUAUAAAUGCAAAUUCAACAUUUUUAAUAAAAUAUUGAAAUAGCGUAUUAAAAAUGUUGAAAUAGAAUUUAUGAUCUAAUAUAUUCAAAUAAUAAACUAAUAUAGUUAACAUUUUAAAUAAUAGAUUCAUCAUUUCUUUGCAUACUUAACUGUUGGGUAGUUCAUCAAAAAUUUUGAAUUUUAAAAAUUAGCAAAGAUAUAUUCGGAUAUCAUUAUGUUCGAUUAAUUCUCAAUAAUGUAGUGGUUUAAACGAUUAAAAAGGGUUCCCAGUUUGGGAGAAAAAUGCAUUUGAAGUUUGGAAUCCAAAAGCACCAUGCAACCACCACAAGAACCACACUGUCUGUCCUCCCCAUCAGCCGUGCAUGUUCUUUUCUACCUGGAGCCAUGGUGCGCCUGGGCUGUUGCUGUCAAUUGUGGUGGAAAAGGCAAAAUCAUUCCUACAGCUUGGAGAGUACGACACAAGUCGCGAGCAUUGGAAGAUGCUUAAGAAAAAAUUCUUCAAGAAGACACAUAGGAUUUCCAGCCCGGUCCAGCCUAGAAGAGUUUGACCCGCCCAUCAGUCUGUUCAGGCCUAUUAACUUCAGGUCCAAUUAGAAUGUGGGUCGUCCAUUCUCUCUCCUCUCAUAAAAAGACUCGUUCUGUCCUGCGUAACCCAUGGGCCGGCCCAGCUUCCUGUCGCGCUCGUGCCCAGAGCUCGCAGACGGAGGACGGGGAGCCACCAGUGUGGCACUCCGAGGGGCGACCGCGGCGGCGGGGGCACUGAGCAGUGAGCACAGCACAACCCAAUGCUAGCGCAUCGGAGAAGGGCGCGGAUGCCUCGACGAUCUCCGAAGGGUCCCACUGUAAUCUCGUCCGCCAUGUCCGACGGCCUCCUGCAGCCGCGUGCGUUCAAGCAGGUGAGAUCCCACAACUAAGGUUCGUGGCCACGGUCGGAUUCCCGGCCUGAAAGAAACUUAUCAGCCACCUCGUUCUGUUCAUGCUUCUUUGUGCUCUCCAAAUUAAAGUUUCCCCAAUUUUGAUGUAAAUUUCGGUCACGCGCAUGUGGUGUGGCAGUCACCGGAGUGUUGGCAAUACACAUAAAAUCGACAAAUACAUAGACAUCGUAGAGUCUUGGCACUAUGCAUAACUAAUAUCUUACGAAUUUCCCUGUAUGGUCUAACAAGUGCCCUGAAAGGUUGUAACAAGUCUAAGAUGGUGUAGCUUAGUCUCCACUUACCGUCCAUAUCGACCGAGUCUGAGGAGGACGUUACUUCUUCCAGAUGCUGACAAACAACUGCAGAGCACUCCGUCCAUCCUUCUUACUCGCAUUGAGCCCCUUCUCUCCUUCUCGAGACCAAUUCCAAGAGGCAAAACUUUUGGAAACUUUGGAGCAAUGGCAUGGUGCUUAAGUGUAUUAUUGUCAUGCGGUGCAGAACCUGAUUCCUUUCACCCAUUAUUAUUGUCAUGCGGUUGAUUCUGAAAACUUUAUUUUGCUCAGGUUCUAUUUCCAUGUUGCAGAGCCUCCAUGCCUGGUCGAGGCACUUUGUCCUCAACAUCAACUAAAGGUGUGUUUGGAUGGAGGGACGUGACGGAAUGGGAUCAUCCCACUUUUACAUAUGUUUGGUUGGAGGUUAGGUGGGACGAGGACGGCAUCAAAGUAAAAUAUUCUUCGAAAAAGAGGGAUGAAACAGUUCCUCCAAAUCGGUCGGACCAAUCCGUCCCACUUCGAUGACACAAACACCGUGACGAGCAAGACGACACAAACGCCGUGACGACACAAACGCCGUGACGAGCGAGCGCCUCGAGCGCAAGCGCACGUCCAACUCCAGCGCAGCGCCACGAGAAAAGCCAGGCGGCAGGGGCACGUAGCUCGGGCGGUAGAGGAAUGGAGCUGGGUGGUGGGGAGGGUGGAGCCCGGUGGCGCAGGGGACCGCCAGGAGGAGACGGGGAUCGACCUCCUGGGUUCCAGUUCCACCCCACCAACGAGGAGCUGGUGGUGCAGUACCUCCGUCGGAAGGCCCUGUCCCGCCUGCUGCCCGCUGCCAUCAUCCCCGUCAACCACGACCAUGCCAGGCUGGAUCCAUGGGACCUCCCUGGUGCGUCCGCACGCUCUCUUUCAGAUUAAUGGGAAGGAAGGCUGAGACAGAGUGUUCUGAUGUUCCUUGAUUGAUUGGUGUGUGUACAGGAGCGAGCGAAGGGGAGGGGUACUUCUUCAGCGCGCCUUCGUCGAGCAGCGGCCGCUGGAGGAGAGCUAGCAGCGGGUACUGGAAGGCCACGGGGAAGGAGAAGCCUGUGUUCCUGCAGUGCGGCGGCAAGCGGCAGCUGCUCGUGAGCGUCAAGACGGCGCUCGCCUUCCAUCGCAGCGAGCCGUCAUCGUCACAGGGGACCGCCGGUAGGAGACGGGAGGGCGAAGCCUGGCGGCGCGGGGUGGUGUGGGCCUCGGCUGCGGUGGCGCGGGUGAUUGCGCCGCGACACGCCGAGAAGGGGAUGAGGCUCUGAGGCUAAUAGUGAGCUCCGCGGCUAACGGAAUACAAACACCGUUUAUUUCAUCGGUCCUCAUCCCUCAAACCAAACAACGAAAUUAGGAUGUUCCCAUCUUUCCAACCAAACAUUAAGUGGGAUCAUCUCAUCCUAAAAAAGAGGAUGAUCCUAUCUCAUCCCACCUGUCCCUCCAUCCAAAUACACCCUAACUGCGCCGGUCGAUGUGAUUGCGACUGCUUGUUCUUACCGGACUGGUUAUAUGAAGCUGGCAUCAGAAGUAACCAGGUUCUGAUCCUCCCUGUGUUGAGUUCCAGCUAAUAUCACUCUAGGAUCAGUGCAAUGAAUGGUUUCUGUGAAAUCCAUCUUCAUCUCCUUUCGUUCCAAAAAACUAUCCUGUUAUCUAAGGAAGCUCCCAACUGCAAUCCACUCCUCCGUAUUUUUUGGGUCCCGGAAGAUAGAACUCUUUUUCAGUGUACAUUCUAUUUUCGGUAUAAUUAACAUACAUUAUGAAAAUCUAAGAAUGAGGCCCCCUCCCCCCGAGAGAGGCGACGCCCAUGGUGACACCCCGCCCGUACACCAACCUCGUCCCAGACCCCCCACCCCAGUAACCUCCACCAACCAACCGGCCCCAGAUCCGAGCGCAUCUGUAGAAGACCUCCAAGCUCGUACUAGCCGUGUCGUGAGGGAGCAAGAGAAGGAGGAGAUCGAGUUCACUCAGAAGAAGGUCCAAGAUCCAGAUCCCAUCGGUGAGGUCGCAGUACAGGAGCAGUUAUCGCCGGAAGAUCGACAGUCUGGCCAAGCUAUGCAUACCCAGAGGCUAGAGGCAGCGACGGAGGCCAGCAUCCUCCCGGAUCUCGUCCAAGAUUUGCGAGCACAAGCUAGCCUUAAGUCGACGCGGCUGGAAACAGGCAUUGAAUGCGACGAGGCAAAUCACACGCCAAGCACAAGCAUGCCAGUGAGGCUGGCGAGGGGCUCGACGAGGAAGAAGAAGACCGGUGGUUCGCGCCCUCCUCCAACGGCUUGUCAAGCAAGAGAAUCCACAAAAUCUGCCGCACAGCAGAGUUUUUGAGCCUGUAAAGCAGAAGCUCACCAGCGCAGUGAAAGGAAAAGGAGCAGGGACAGAACGGCAACCAUGCCAGCCAUCAAAUCUGCAUCAGAGAAGGGAGCAGAGCAUUUCAACAAGCAGCUGGCAAAAGCAGCGGGGUCAAUGCUUGAGAGAAGGGGAGGUGGGUAACCUUCAAUUCCCCUCUCCUCCAUUCAGGUCCAGCUCAAGGAAUAGACAGCAAUGACAUCAGCAACAAGAUCCGACCAUGGACAAAUCUUCAAGGACACAACACACUGCACUGCAGUCAGAGACCUGGAUUGAUGAACACGGCUUCCAAGUGGUAAAACCAGCAUAUUGGUGGCGAAGGACUGGAGACCAUUCAAGAGAAGAUUCAAGGCUUCACCAACCGGACAUGGAAGAGCAUAGGAGGAAGAGGUACAGGGAACAUGUCAGGGGAAAAUGUCUCAAUUGUUUCUCCACAGAACACAAAGCAGCUGAAUGCAAGCAACGCACUAAAUGCUGAAGAUGUCUGCAGACGGGGCACAAGGCCCUCGCCUGCCCAACCUGGAGAGACCAUGUUAAAAGGCCACCACCGGAGACUUAUUCUCAUUCUUGUCAAACCAAGACCAUCCCCACCACCACAUCUUUCCCCCCACUCCUGCUGGCCGGACCGUCUGCACGGCCGGCCGUUUCUACCUUCGGGCAGCAAAGGGCGAGGCAGCUCCCAUGGCGACAUACCCGGGUGACCCGCGUGCCCGCCCAGAAUACGCGGUCUGUGCGCUCUCAGCGACUGGGCACAUCAAGCGCAAGCAGGAGUCCAUGAUCGGCAAGACAGCAGUCUGUUGGCUCAACGGCAACAGCCACGACAUGGAGAUAUGCCACGUCGCUGAUGCCCUUGAAGAACAGCUCCUCAUCAGCCGCCAUGAAGUGCGCGUCGUCAAGCACUUCCCCGAGCAAUAUCUGGUGUUCUUCACCGACUGCCGAGCAUACCAUCGCGCUAUCGACCAGUGGGGCGUCCACAAAUGAGGAAGAGUCUUCAACUUCGAGCCAUGGACAGAGCGUUGGAACGUCGUGGAGAGCAAGCUAGAGUUCCGGGUCAGGCUGCGCAUUGAGGGAGUGGCGCUGCUGCAUGCCUGGUCCGAGGAGGUGGCGGCCCAAGUCAUUGGCCAAUACUGCGCCAUCCACUACGUUGAGGAACACGCACGCCAGUAGGAGUGCACACGAACCUACGAUCUGUGGGCGUGGUGCUCCAACCCCCAAGAUCCCUAAGAAGUUGCUGCUCACCAUCACCGACCCUGACAGGGAGCAGCCGGCAAUCGACAUCCCGCGGCAGCUCGUCAACCCCAACCACGACACACCUGAUGACAUCAAGGGCGCGUACAACUACAAGCUGCACAUCCACCUCGACGUGGUCGAGGACCUCUCCUUCCUCAGAGGGAGGGACGGAGGGGACGGAUAGCACAACAGGAGGCCAUGCCGUGAGUUCCUCUGAAACUACGGGGCACCGGACUCCCAGGGGGAACGGCGCAGUGACCAGUACCAUGAUAACUUUGCAAGCCGCGACUACCACCCACGCCGUGACAGAGACGACCAUGACGACCAGCACCAUCGAGGCACAAGGCGCCACCGUAGUGCCUCUUCCUGGGGGCGAGUGACGCGCUGCCGCGGAGCCAUGGAGGACUGCUACAGCUCCACACACCGCAACGGCAACUAGGUACACUCGGGUCGCCACAACAGAGUCCAGAACAACACAGCUGGCCAGGACAACAAAAGCCAUUCUCUGAUGGCUUGGCGCAAGAAGAGCACAGGAGGCAAGAAGGUCUCCUUUGCAAAUCCUCUGGUGCAGAUCAUGGGUGAGUUUGAGUUUGACCCUAGUUGCUAUCAUUUCCCAGCGCCUUCGAAUUCUGACUUGGUGGGUGAGUGGUUUGACCCCAUGAGGGAAGAGAUGCUCAUCCCUAAUAUUUUUGUAGGCGACCCAGGCAAGGAGGAUCGUAUCCUGAACAUGCUGCACUCGGCAGUGGGAUGGACCCCGGUUGCUUCACCAAGGAGUGCUCCGGAGGAAGGCGAGCUGCCGGAGCCAGUGACCGAGCUGCAGGAACCAGAAGGGCACAACAUGCAUUCGCCAAUCACCAACAAGCAGUCACAGGUCUGUCUGGUUUCUACUCCUCUAGAUGCAUCAGUGAGGCACACACAACAAGCUCAAAUUUCAGAAACUGUCAACACGGAAAACACUAGCUCAUCGCCUUUUGCACAGUACACCAACAGAGUAGAGCCCCCUAAUGUCAACAGAGAAGAGGUGAACGGUAGCAACAUCAUUAGUGAAAAUAACAACAACAUAGCAGCACCGCACAACACCGUAGCUACUUCAGUUAUAUGCAAUGAUCAAGAUAUGGUAGCCACUUCUGUUGAAAAUGGGGAGGGUAACAUAGAGGUCGGUGAGGGUCCUAAAUUUGACGACCUUUCAGCUUUCAUUGAUUUCAUAGCCUGCAAGCCAAAUGCGCAUAUUGUUUGCACUCCACCCAGAGCAAACCCCAUCACAUCAGGCAACGAAAAUCAGGGCCAAAACACAGCACAAAGAAAAAGCUCUAGGCUAGCGGAUAAAGCUAAGCUAAACCCGGGCAAGGACAGCACCCAACUUGCCCAAAAAGUCCUUAGUAAUAAGCUUGGGGAGCUGUCUCCAAAGUCGAAAGUUAAUUCUAAUGCUGAGGUUGAUCAUUUGGUGCAGCACCUUCCAAAGCCACUGACGGACCUGAAGAUGAUGGCCAUCAAAACCUUGGUGGAGCAGGGAAACCAGGCCAAGCACAAGAACAUGAAGAGGAGCAAGAUCACUCCAUCAGCAAUUGGAGAGAUGGAGGCCCAAGUGGCCUGAGGGAUAACCAUCCAGGGAGGAAGCGUUUCAGUGGUUUUUACUUCCCUAAUGUUAGGCAUAAAAUAAUUGAACUUAAACUUAGUCGAAUCUGUAUCUUUAAAUGGGCCAACAAUUAGGCCCUGCGACUUCAGCGGUGCUUUGUAUCGGGCAGAAUGCCCAGCAUCGACGUCCACGAAGCUCGCCAAGCUCUCCUCGAGGCAAUGCUUUAGUGAAAAAACAAGUCUCCUGGGACUUCUCAGCUUUGUAUCAGGACCAUGCGCCAAGCAAUGUUGUCCGCAGGUUGACGCUUUCCAUGAGUCUACUAUUAGUUGUGCACCUCUGAUCCAUGUCACAAAAGGAUUGUAAUGUGUUGUGUUGGAAUGUUCGUGGGCUUAAUGUGGCAGCUAGGAGAGCAAGUGUACGAAGCACGAUUCGUUCAUCCGGAGCAACGAUAGUAUGUCUGCAAGAGACCAAAAUAGCACACUGGACAUCUAAACUCGUGGCAGACACCCUGGGCAAUAAUUUUGCAAAGAACUUUGCUGUGUUACCAGCCCUUGGCACAAGAGGAGGCAUCCUUAUAGCGACAACGGUGAACCAUUUUGAUAUGCACAACAUCCACACCAUCGAUCACACAGUAUCCACAACAAUCACUAUGAAAGUAGACAAAAAAAUCUUGGACACUCACUUGCGUCUAUGGCCCUCAGGAUGAACACGACAAGCUACUAUUUCUAGAGGAACUGAAGAGCCUAAAAGAACAAGUUCUCACGGAAUGGCUCAUAGUUUGUGACUUUAACCUUAUAUAUAAGGCAGAGGACAAAAGUAACAAUAGGCUCAACAGAAACUUGAUGAAUCGUUUCAAGCAGGCAAUUGACAAGAACCAACUGAUGGAAAUCGACCUCCACGGAUGGUGUUUCACCUGGAGCAACGAACAAGAUCACCCAACAUUCACAAGGAUAGACAGGUUCUUCGGUACACCAGAAUGGCAUCUUCUCUUCCCAAACCUUGACUUGCAAGCCUUGCCAACCAUGGGCUCAGAUCACUGCCCAUUAUUUUUAACAGGUGACGUAGAGAGACAGAACUAUAUGGGCUUUCACUUUGAAUCUUAUUGGGUGAACAUGCCAGGUUUCUUAGAGACUAUACAAGAAGUCUGGAGCCAGCCAGUGCAUACUCAAGAUGCCAUACUGCGUAUGCAUGUCAAACUCAUUCGCACAGCAAAGGCACUUAAAUUGUGGAAGAGAAAAAACCUUGGCAAUCUAGCCCUUAGACUGGCAAUAGCCAAUGAGGUGCUAUGCUUCUUGGAUGCAGCUCAGGAACAAAGAGCCCUUACAACAGAGGAAUUAGAAUUUCAACGAUACCUAAAAGCGAAGUCGGUGGGCUUAGCAACGGUUCAGAGAGCCCGUGCAAGACAACACUCCCGGCUCACAUGGAUGCGAAAAGGAGACGCAUGCACACGCCUGUUUAUGCUGCAUGCUAACAACACAAGAAGAAAUCUACACAUCCCGUCCUUAACCACCGUAAAUGGAACAACAAUCAACAACCACCAGCAAAAAGAGGAAAUAAUAUACGAUCACUUCGUAAACCUGUUGGGCAAAACACAAGAGAGAUCCCUCAGCCUAAACUGGACAAAUCUCGGAUGUCAUCCACAUGACUUGACCGACCUGGAAGCACCAUUUGAGGCAGAAGAAAUAAAAAAGGUCGUCAUGCACUUACCAGCAUAAAAAUCACCUAGCCCGGAUGGAUUUAUUGGUCUAUUCUAUAAGAAGUGUUGGGAUGUGAUCGGAGAGGAUCUGAUCCAAGCUCUUCAUGCCUUCCACUCCCUUAGGACCAGACGCAUGGAAUUGAUUAACGAGGCCAAUAUCAUUUUGCUGCCAAAGAAAGAAGGAGCAACCAUGGUUGCAGAUUUCCGACCCAUCACUCUCAUUAAUAGUCUAGCCAAGAUCAUAACAAAGGUGCUAGUAGAUAGGUUGGCUCCGAGACUGAAUGAGCUAGUUUCCGGAUGUCAGAACACCUUCAUCAAAAAAAGAUGCAUUCAUGACAACUUCGUCUACGUACAUAGUGUAAUCAAGGCGUUGCACAAAUCAAAGAGACCGGCACUCUUUGUAAAACUCGAUAUCUCAAAAGCAUUUCAUUCGCUUAAUUGGGUAUUUCUCAUCGAAACAUUACAGGCCCUAGGUUUUGGCCAAAAAUGAGAGAUUGGAUUACAACACUAUUAGCCACCUCAUCAUCCAAGGUGCUACUUAACGGGAGACCUAGGAAAAAAUUGAAGCAUGCUAGAGGCCUCCGUCAAGGAGACCCACUAUCACCCAUGUUGUUCAUCCUUGCCAUUGACCCACUCCAUAAAAUGGUGGAACUAGUAGCCGGCAACAACAUCAUAAGACCAAUCCUCCCCAGAGCGGCAAAGCUACGAUGCUCCCUUUAUGCAAAUGAUGCAGCUAUUUUUACAAACCCAGACAGAGAAGAACUACAACGUAUCGGACAGUUGUUACAUAUCUUUGGAGAAUGUUCAGGACUCAAGAUAAAUAUGACUAAAACGGAAAUAUUCCCUAUCCGGUGUACCAAUGAAACCAUCUUAGAAGCUCUAGAGCACUUCUCGGGAAAAAUUUCCUCCUUCCCUGGAAAAUAUUUGGGCUUGCCUCUUCACAUGCGCAAACUCCGAAGGGUGGACGUCCAACCAUUAAUUGACAAGAUCGGUGGAAGGCUUCCUGGAUGGAAAGGUAAAAUGUUAUCGUCGGCCGGGAGAGAAACACUGGUGAAGAGUGUAUUAACAUCACAACCAAUAUAUCACCUCACAGUUUUCCCUACUCAAAAAUGGCUGAUCAAACAGAUUGAUCACCUACGUCGCAGUUUCCUUUAGAAAGGAGAGGAACCAAAAAAGGUCAAUGGAGGACACUACUUGAUUAAAUGGCCAACAGUAUGCACGCCUAAGGACAUGGGAGGGCUCGGGAUUCUCAACCUCGAGAGACUUGCGAGGGCUCUAAGAAUGAGAUGGUGCUGGUUCCAGUGGAAGUAUAGUGAGAUACCUUGGGUAGGACUUGAUAUCCCGUGCGAUAAGAAUGAUAAAGACCUAUUCUAUGCGUCAACAGUAGUAAUGGUGGGCAAUGGAAAGAAAGCAAACUACUGGAUAGCGCAGGUUUACCCACUCAUGACAGGAGAGGAAAUCAGAGAGUAUGUGCAGCUAUUUGAGGAAAUAAACAUGCUACAACGUGACACUAAUGCGGAGGAUGAAAUAUCAUGGAGGUGGACGCAGGACGGGGAGUAUACCACAAAGAGUGUAUACCGUAUACAAUUCCAAGGCCAACUGAAGAAGUUGAGUAUCACCUCAAUAUGGAAAGCUAGAACUGAACCAAAAUGCCGGAUCUUUGCCUGGCUUCUCCUGCAUAGGAAAAUCUUAAUAGCAGACAACUUGGAAAAGCUGGGGUGGCCUAAUGACCCUCAGUGCAAGCUAUGCAAUUCGGACCUGGAGACACCCACACACCUGUGCAAAGACUGCCCUUACACAACGGCAGUCUGUGACCGGCUGCAGGGAUGGUUUUCUCUUAACCACUUACCCCCAGGCAACACAUCGCUUUCGAUCCACAAGUGGUGGAAGAAAUGUAGGAGCAUGAUCGACAAAAGGAACAAAACUUUCUUUGACGGCCUCAUCAUAUAUUUCUAGUGGAACAUUUGGAAAGAGCGCAACAGACGAAUCUUUAAUCACGAAACCAAACUGGUGGAAGACGUCGCGUUCUCUAUCAAAGAAGACAUCCAACAGUUCCAGUUCGCCAAUAAAACGCAUGAAGCUCCCGCGGUUGAGCCAACCUAGCAGCAUUUUUCAUCUUUUAAAGUGGGGUUUUGAAGUGGAGCUCGUAGUUGUUGUUGUUUUUUCCUUUCUCCCUAGGGAGUGCUAUUUAGUUGGUGCAGUGAGAGCCAUGUACAUAGAGUUAUUUUUUGUUUUAUUUUCUUGUCUUGUUUGGUUUUACCUCUUCUAAUAAAAAUUCGGCAAAGCUUUUGCCGUCCGUUAAAGAAAACAUACAUUAUGAUAAUUUUAUAAAUUUUAAUGGAGACGGGGAUGCAUAUGAUAUACUCCCUCCAUCUAUAUUUAUAAGGCGUGGAAGGACUUAGCACGGUCUUCCAAAUAACACUUUGACCCUUUAUUUAUCUUAUAUUAUAGUAUUUAUAGUUAUAAACUUAUAAUCAUCGUAGAGUAUAUUUGAUUACGAAUCCAACUAUAUAAAUUUUGAAUUAUAAAAAUAAAAAAAUAAUAGUUAAAUUAUUGGUCAAAAAUUGUAAAGUUUAAAUCUUGAUAUGCGUGUGCGCCUUAUAAAUAAAAACGGAUGGAGCAUAUCCCCCAAAUGUUUCUAUAUAUUGUGGAACUCAACUUAACUGAAGGAUAUAAAGACAAGAUUUUCAUAGGAAAUCGAACCAUUUUAAGAGGCGGUUCACACGAGGGAUCUCCUAGGAUAAUGCUAUUUGUGCACAACCAUACCCUUACAUGAACCGUCUCUGGAACCAGAAAUCAUUCCGUUUUCACUUACGGCAGACACGAGUGUAAUGGAGCCGUACAGGUGCAGGAGGGCGAUCCCCAUCUAGACUUUAAUUUGGCCAUGUGGAAGUAGGACACACUAUCUCUAGCACCAGCACCAUGUGUAGUUGGUCCCCCGUGUAUGCAUCAAUGCUGCACCUAUCGACUGUGACCUGGCACCUAACCGGACAGUUGGUUACGGUAGCCAUUCUUGUGAUUUCACAACUCAAAGGCAUCGUUUAUCCUCCCUCUCCCUGCUGCUGCUCAUCCUCCCUUCACUGAACUACUUGUUGCAAUCAGAAGAAAGAUCAAUCGAGUUGAAGAGACAGAUCGGAAGCUAGUCAACGUUGAUUGGUUCGUGAGUGAUGUUAUGAUCCGUCCCUCUGUUAUAACCAUCCAACCCAGCUGGUGCAGAAGCUAAUUACCUGAAGCAAUAUAUUUGUAGAAACGAAUAGUAAUAUAUUUAUAGAAACGAAUAGUACUGGUUAGUUCACUUAUUUCUUUGCUCAAACUUAGCCGUUUGGCAAGGCUUCGUCUUGGGUUAAAAUGACUCCGGAGCUUCGGCUCAUCAAGCAACUUUUUAUAUCUCUAGCUCAUCCUAUUAAAAAAUAUUUGGUAAAAUGAUUUCUCCAAAUUAGUUUGAGGUUGAUAGAAAGAUAAAAUGUCCAAAAUACUCUAAGAACAUAUAUUUUUCAUUCCAUUUUUUUCUUUUCCAUCAUUCUUUUAUUCCAUCUACUAUUUUUUCCUUACGCUUUUUUUUUUGGCCAGGUGUGCCUUAUCCGCUUCGGCCCUUCCCACCAUGCCUUUUUUCCUAUUUCUUUUCUUGCCGAGCGUGCUUUAUCUCCUUCGUUGACUUCAGUAGCACCUGUUGCGUUCGAUGCUCGCGCGGCAGCCCGGGGACCUCGACCUCGCCCGCCUAGGAGCUCCAGCAGCCGGUCCGCUCCGCCGCCGGUGCGGCAACCACGCCGUCGUCAGACCGCCUCACGCGGCCACCGGUCGUCCCCGCGAUACACCGCCGCCGGUGCGCCGUGCGCGGCGGCGCUGUCCCGCCGCUCCGCCGCCUACCGUCGGCCUGCGCCACCACCAGCGCACCGGCAGCACCGCGAGCUGCCGCGCCGCCCCGACAUUGGUCCUUCCCGAGCCCGGUGUCGUCACCAGCGUCGCGGAGAGAAGGUAAGGGGAGUGGCAAUUUUGCAGUAGUUUUGACGAACUUGAGGAGCAAAGUUAAAGCACAUGGCUGUGGGGAAGAGGAGAAGCGGGGAAAGCUACUUUUUAUGACUCACGCUGCUCAGUUCGAUUUGAUGAUUGGCUUCACACCGGCUUUUCCUGUGAAGCCCUUUUCAACUCACCCGUUUGGUAGGGUUUGGCCUGAAGCCGGUUCAUAAGCGGGAGCCAGAGCCCUACCAAAACUAUUUGGUGAGACUAUGAGCCGUUUGGUUCUCUGACUUAUUUUUAGCACAUGUCACAUUGAAUGUUUAGAUACUAAUUAGGAGUAUUUAACGUAGACUAUUUACAAAACCAUUACACAGCUGGAGGCUAAAUGGCGAGACGAAUCUAUUAAGCCUAAUUAGUCCAUAAUUUGACAAUGUGAUGCUACAUUAAAUAUUUGCUAAUGAUGGAUUAAUUAGGCUUACUAGAUUCAUCUCGUCGUUUAGCCUCUAUCUGUGCAAUUAGUUUUAUAAUUAACUCAUAUUUAGUCCUCCUAAUUAGCCUCCAAAUAUUCGAUGUGACACGGACUAAACUUUAGCUCAAGGAACCAAACCUCGCAUAAAUUAGCUGCUUAUUCUGCUGGUUGCAUGCAGGAGAUCGAGCUGCGGGCACACGGCCGGAUCGGAGGAGGACAUAUCAGCCGGGUUCCUGUUGGUUGUGUACUUGUGUUCCUGCCAGCGGAGAAGCAACCAUGGCCGAGUUAGUGAUCGGGCCACUGAUCUCCAUGGUGAAGGAGAAGGCAUCCAGCUACCUGCUGGACCAAUACAAGGUGAUGGAAGGCAUGGAGGAGCAGCGCAAGACCCUGGAGCGCAUGCUGCCAGCAAUCCUGCAAAUCAUCCAGGAUGCGGAGGAGAAAGGAGCCUCCCGACGAGGAGUAGCAGCUUGGCUCAAACACCUCAAGACAGCAGCCUAUGAGGCCAACGACGUCUUUGAUGAGUUCAAGUACGAGGCGCUUCGGCGAGAAGCCAAGAAGAAGGGCCACCACAGCAAGCUUGGAGUGGAGGUAGCAAGACUCCUAGUCCCCACUCGUAAUCCCAUUGUAUUCCGUUACAGGAUGGGCAAGAAGCUACGCAAGAUUGUGCAGACCAUCGAGGCCUUGGUCACCGAGAUGAAUACAUUUGGUUUCAGGCACUUGCAGCAAGCAAAGCCAUCAAGGCAGUGGCGACAGACAGAUUCCAUAAUCAUUGACUCCGACAGAGAUAUUCUUAGCAGAUCUAGAGAUCGGGAGAAGAAGAAAAUCGUGGGGAUGCUCCUUGAUCAAGCUAGCAACAUGGAUCUCAUGGUUCUUCCAAUUGUUGGGAUGGGUGGGAUGGGCAAGACCACCUUUGUGCAACUCAUUUACAAUGACCCUGCAAUCGAGAAGCACUUUGAGUUUCGGAGGUGGUGCUGCGUAUCAGAUGAUUUCGAUGCAAGUACCAUUGCAAGCAACAUCUGCCAGACCAACGAGAAAGGACGUGAAAAAUCAUUGCAGGAGCUCCAGAGUAUAAUAAUUGGAAAAAGGUACCUCAUUGCGCUAGCUGAUGUAUGGAAUCGGGAUGCUGCUAAGUGGGGAAAACUAAAGACCUGCCUUAAGCAAGGUGGCAAGGGCAGUGCAGUACUAACAACAACUUGUGAUGCAGAAGUGGCUUGCAUUAUGACCAUGGGUGUAGCUGAAGCCCAUAAUAUCGAGAAUCUGAGUGACAAGCAUUUAAAGGAAAUUGUCCAAAGCAGAGCAUUCAGCUUGCAAAAUCCAAAUAUUGAAGAGCAAGAUGGCAUUCUCAGUGGAUUUGUUCGUCGAUGCGUUGGAUCUCCCUUGGCUGCCAAAGCCUUUGGCUCUAUGUUGAGUAACAGGACUAGUAUAAAUGAAUGGAAGGAUGUAUUAGCUAAAAGUAACAUUUACCGAUCCUCAAGCUCAGCUUUGAUGACCUAUCCUCAGAUAUGAAGCAAUGCUUUGCAUUUUGUGCUUUAUUUCCUAAAGAUUAUGAGAUCGAUGUGGACCUCUUGAUUCAACUGUGGAUGGCACAUGACUUCAUACCUGUGCAGGAGGAUGACAAUCCAGAAACCGUAGGAAAAUAUAUUUUCGAGGAGCUAACUCAGAGGUCAUUCUUUCAAGAGGUCAGGCAAACACAUCCAAAGUGCUAUUAUGGAAGUCUUCGUAAGUCAACCAUAUGCAAGAUACAUGAUCUCAUGCAUGACAUUGCUCUAUCUGUUCUGGGGAAAGAAUGUGUCACUAUAGUUGGUAAGCCGAGCAUCAACAAGGUGUUGCUAAAUCCGACCCGCCACGUCUUCUUAUCAACAAGGUGUUCUCAUUUCUGGAAAGAACAGGUUACAAGUCUACUGGAUCAUCUAUUGAAGAAACAAACUGCAAUGGUCCACACGUUGUUUUUUACAGAUUAUUCUGACCCCCUUGAUAUAUCAAAGUACACUUCACUGCGAGCAUUACACCUUCCAGCAUAUAUAUUCUCAUGUGUAGGACAGGAGCAGCUUACAAGACACAUACAACACCUAAGGUAUCUUAAUCUGUCGUCACAUGAGUUCGAGAAACUUCCUGAAGGUAUAAGCAUUAUGUAUAAUCUACAAACGUCGUCACAUGUUCAGGACAGGAACAACUUACAAGACACAUACAACACCUAAGGUAUCUUAAUCUCCCACCUUCCCUCAAACAAUUAGGCAUCUGCAGCUGUGAGAAGCUCUGCUCUGUGUCAGGAGACCUGCGUGCACUCGAGGACCUACAUAUUUCUGACUGCAAUAAGUUACAGUCAGUCAAUUCCUUGGGAGACCACCCAUCAUUAGAAACACUGAUUCUUUCUCGCUGCCGAUGCCUUGCAUCUUUAGGAUGUGAUGGUGGUCGUGGGAGUUACUCUGCUCUUCAGAGCCGUAAGAUUGUAGACUGCCCAGCCUUAGACAUGAAGCAGUUUUACUAACGCCAUCAAACAGCUGCUUGACAGCUUUGAAAAUGAAGACGUAUCACACGUUCAUUCAAGCAGCUCUGAUGAAGGUAUACGACCUUUCACUUUCCUCUUAUUCAAUUUGUUUCCUUCAAAUUUCCCUGCUUUGCAUGCCCUCCUAUUUUGUUGACGAACUGGU
rnacentral:lncRNA from 1 species